AGCCUGCUCUAGCUUCUGCAGCGUGCAUGUUGGCAGCGCCACCGUGGUUGCUUAAGCAAAUGCAUCCAACUAGAUCGUCCUUGUGCUGAAUAAUUGGAUAUCGUAUCCACUUAAAGCUGCCUUGUGUAGUACGUCUUUGUGUCUCUCUUUAUAUUCCAAUAAGGUCGGUGAUCUUGAUGCCACACACUCAGAUGUGUGUUCAUCUCCAGAUACUACUCCAUGCUACCUGCCCUUUGUGUUUUGUUCAAUAACUGGGUAUCAUAUCCCAACCAGUAUGCCGUCUGUUUUGUGUUUGUUUCCUUCUAGUUCCAAAAGGGUCAUCAUGAUGUUACCUUCUUUCAAUAUGGUGCUUUGCAUGACUACUAUUGUAUGGUACCAUCUUGUGGCCAAUAAGUACAUCUUAUCCUAUGACCUUUGCUAUGACCCUUUGCAAAUAAGUAGAAGAUUGUUAUAAGCGUCAAUACUCCUUAUAAAUUGAUCGCUGCUGUGAGUUCCCUUUCAGCUUAUCGUAGGCAUACAUUAUUGCUAGCACGGUAAAGCCAAUCAACACGAAUGAUGAAGUAAAUGUAGCGGUACUUCUGUAUACCAACACCCUUACUUAAAUGUACCGGUGUCAUUCCCUACUGGCACAUAUAUUCUUAUAUGCUAGCCAGCUUGUAAAAUUAACCAAUUAAAAUAAUUAAUUCAAGAUAGAAAUAACUUAUCGGCUUCUCGAAGCAUGUGUAAUAUGAAUCGCUUCAUCUAUAUUGCUUUCAGGAUUUUGGGUAACUAAAUUUAACAUUUGCACAUACAAAUGUUAAAGUACAAAUGUUAAAUCUAGUUACCCAAGCAGAAUAUGAAUAUACUCUAUAGUAUAUAUAUACUAUAUAAAUCUAGUUAACAUUUAGUCUAAAUGUUAAAUCUAGUUACCUAAAAUCCUGAAAGCAAAAUGUAUAAAUAUAUAUCUUUUAAGGCAGUAUAAGCUUCGAUUCCUAUUGCUGCUCUGUUAAAUCUCAUCUUUCGUUGUGGCCCAACACUCUAGUAUGUAUGUUGCACCAAGCUUCCUUGAGCCGCUCUGCCCUCUGAUUUUGCUGCGUAGGGGAAUCUUUAUCAGGUUGGGCUGCUUCCAGUCAUACGAUGUGUGGCUUCAUAUCUUCUACAAGUUAGACAGGAAACCCGCGUUCUGGAAGAUUCUGCAACGUGCACGUUGGCGCUGCCACCGUGGUUGCUUAAGCAAAUGCAUCCAACUGAAUCGUCCUUGUGCUAAAUAAUUGGAUAUCGUAUCCACUGCUUAAAGCUGCCAUGUUUAGUACAUCUUUGUUUUUCUCUCUUUAUAUUCCAAUAAGGUCGGUGAUCUUGAUGCCACACACUCAGAUGUGUGUUCAUCUUCGGAUACUACUCCAUGCUACCUGCCCUUUGUGUUUUGUUCAAUAACUGGGUAUCAUAUCCUAGUCAGUGUGCCAUCUGUUUUGUGUUUGUUUCCUUCUAGUUCCAAAGGGGUUAUCAUGAUGUUACCUUCUUUUGAGGUGUCUAUGACUUUGUUAAUAUCAAUAUUAACCAAUUCAAUCUAUCUUAACUAUUUGUAAGGGGUAUGAUGUAUGCAUGAUUAUAACAAUGAUUGCGCAUACAAUCACUGCCAAAGAAACGGUCAAUACCAUAAAGACAUAUUACAGACAAUUCUCAUAAUUUAUAAUGAAUAUACAUAUUCACUACUGCAGAGACUGUCAUUUGUAUCAGCUCAUACGUGCCAGGGCAAAGGUCACCCUUGCAUUAAAAGUACAUUUGCACGGUAAAGAUAACCAACACGAAUAAUGAAGUAAACAUGCCGGUGCUUUUGUACACCAACACGCUUACUUAAAUGUACUGGUGUCAUUCCUCACCGGUAGCCGGCUUGAAAAUUAACCAAUUAGAACAAUUAUUUAUUGUAUCGGUGUGAAUUUUGACCUAUUGGAAUAUGAAUUUGACCGUUACUGCAUUCGUCAAGACUCAAGAGAGAAAUAACUGAUCGGCUUCUUAGAGCGUGUGCAAUGUGAAAUCAAGGACUGGAUGGAAGUUGAAGCGCUAGCUUCAUCUUCCGCUGCAUGUUAAUUGCUUGGAUAAGAAGUUGUAGCCGCGUAUAUAAAUAGUCCCGCUGAUGCUGUGCUCCGAAGUCUAUACUAUAUAUGCGAAAACUAGAUUGCUUUCAGGAUUUUGGGUAACUAAAUUUAACAUUUGUACAUAAAAAUGUUAGUUUACGAAUGUUAAAUCUAGUUACCCAAGCAGAACAAGAAGAUAGUAUAUACUAUAUACUAUGUAAAUCAAGUUAACAUUUAGUCUAAAUGUUAUAUCUACUUACCCAAAAUCUUGAAAGCAAAGAAAGAAUAAGUAUAUAUCUUUUGUUGGAAAAUUGGUCCACGGAGAGUGGCCUCGUUCGUUUCACCGGGAUGGAAUUCCAGUCAGGAUUACUUCCAAGUCCGGUUUAAGUGAUUCCACCCAUGUCACUCAAUUCGGCUAGGAUUCAUUCCAGGGGUGAGGAGGUAUGGUUUCAAUCCGGGCCAUCUAAUGUAGAAGGAUUCCAAUCCAGGCCGGUUUUCGUUCUAGGCUAGACUAAAACGAACAACACUUUCAAUGCAAGUCUGGUUUCAAACCGGGCCACUUCAAACCACCCGGAAUGGACCUCAUUCCGGGCCAAUCCGGUGAUAACAAACGAGGCCUUAAUGGAAUCCCAAAGCAAGAGUUCAGUGGCAUUCUAUAGUCCCAUGCUGCUAGUUUGAGUUGGUCGAAGCCAACUUAAAUAGGAGAGCUCUCUCACUUCUCUAAAAAUGUAACUGAAGGAGAGAAGGGGGCUUGGGUUACACAACGCACGCACGCACGCAUAUUUGCAUUCUUUUCGCGUAACCGACCGCGUGACUUGAAACUUGCGACGUAGCGUGCUGCUAAGUCAAGUUGAUAUAACCUUUUUGCCGUUUGCGUGUAAUCUUUUGACAACGGUCAUUGGAGGUGAUAAGCACGCAGUCAAUACCUUAAUCCUGAGUUAAUAGGGCGGUUACUACUGCCAAUUAGUGCAGCAAUUUUGUAGGGGAAACGGUUAGCAGAGGGCUACCGUCUUCUCUAUAAGAAGUUUUGGAGACGUUCAGGAACACACAUGUACAUGUGAGAGACCCACGGAUUCCUUCCCUUCUCCCUUUUCCAUCUGGUGAAGUGUGCUAUGGUACUGAGCUGCUGGAUCUCGCCGGCUCUUCUCCUUGGCGUGCACCGAGGAGGAGGGUGAGCGGUAUCUCUGAGCUAUUGCCGUCAGGAAGCCUGCACGAGGGACAACAAUAAAGUUUUUAGGUAGCGCCUGCCUAAUCUUCGAUCUGCACUGCAACGUGUAACCCUGCAGCAACUCUACACGAGGACGGAGCACUAAUCUGUAAGUCCUAGAUUGGUUUCUUACAUAGUUGUAGGUUACACAAGAUCUAGAAUGGUUACAUACCAAUUAUUAUGGGUUACAUGAUGUUUUGUACGGUUUCGUCUAUUUUGCAUAUGCUAUUUUUUCUAUUUUGCAUAUGCUAUUUUUACAUACCGUUUACAUGCAUAUGUUAAUGGUUACACCUAGCUAUUUGAAUCUAGAAUUGGGUUACAUAGCAGUAGCAAUGAGUUACGUAAUAUGCCUCACGUUUAUAUCUGGUAGAAUUUAACACGUAUCUCCAACAUAUUUUGAGGCAGUAUAAAUUUCAAUUCCUUUUGCUGCUCUGUUAAAUCCCGUCUUUCGUUGUGGCCCAACACUCUAGUAUGCAUGUAGCACCAAGCUUGUUUGAGCCGCUUUGUGCUUUGAUUUUGCUGCGUAGGGGAAUCUGUAUCAGGUUGGACUGUUUCUUUGUCUUGCGAUGUAUAGCUUCAUAUCUUCUAGAGGUUAGACAGCAAAACCCGCAUUCUCUUAAGGCAACAACCCGAAGAAUCUGCAGCGCCUCUGAUAUAUCACUGCUGCAGAAACGAUCUUUAGUACUGAUCUCCAACCCUCUUUAGUAUCGGUUGGGCAACCAGUACCACUAUGUCGGUACUAAAGGGAGUUCUCUAGAAUCGGAUCAAAUAACCGGUACUAAAAGGGCUCCUUUACUACCGGUUGGUAACAACAAUAGGUAGUGACUUUUUUGCACCCAAAAAAUUAAAGAAUAACAGCCGGGAGGCUCGCACACACACGCAUCAUGAGUAAUAUGCGCGUGCAUGGUUUGUGGGAUUUCAACCCACGACCAAGCUAUAAGAACGUAGUUACAACAAAUCAAACACUUAGACAUUUUAGAGCAUCCCAAAUAACUACAAAUUCUAUAGUUUACCAUAUACCAUAAAAUAUUAGUUAAAAUAAGAGCAUACACAUGUCGGAAGAGUCCCAAUGCACCGGUUGAGGAUCAGACCAGGCACUUUGAAUGCACAUGCCAUAAGAUAAUUCUGCAGGACAAUGAUUGCAAUAAUGGACCAUCGAGAAGAUAGGGGCGAUGGGGUUGCCUCAUCAAUUAUCACUUGGCGCAACAAGACCAGCAAAGUCUUUAUCGACAGGGGUGGAUCAAGGGGUGGGGCAGGCAGAGCUCCAGUCCUCCUACCGCCGCUCGAACAAUGGAGCCCCCUUAGCCCCUCCAUAAAUUUUUAGGUAGAAGAAAAAAGAAGAGAAGGGAAGCAAGGGGAAGAAGAGGGAGCCCCUACUAAGUAGGUCGCCAUCGUGCUUCCCAACGCAUGAUCGCCGCACCGCAUCCAUUCCUCUACAAGCCUUCAGCGUCUCUCCCGCCGCUACCUCUGAACCAUGUGCAGCUAUAGACCCAACUAGUGUGUUGUCGCCCAUCUCAGUCCCAACAGAGCGGCGGCGGCUGCCAACACAAAUCUCCCUCCGCCUCUUCUUCACGGUCGAUGGCCGCCACAAGCAUAAACCUCGCCUUCGCAUCCAAGCAAAAGGGUCGUUGGGGUGCCUUCUUGCAUCACUUCUCAGCCUCCUUCACUUGCGGCCAGCGAAGAACUGCGCCACCACCUCGGGUGCGUGCCACCACUCCAGGGCCGCUACCCCAUGCCUGCGGCCGCCACCGGCCACCACGCGUGUGCAACCGCGUUGCACCGCUUCCCUGCUUUGUGCCACCACUACUGCUGUACCACCAGCUCCACCACCUUGGGAUGGUCGCCAGGGUGACUGAUUGGUGGAUUAUUACUAAAAAUAAGUUCCUUAUUAUCUGCAACUACUAUUAACUCAGAGAUACAUGCGUCUUUUCCUUCUCCUGCUAAUAGGUCCUAAAAUAUCUAGGAUGCUUUAUAUUUCUGGACAGAGGAAGUAUUUGAAUAAAAUGAACCAAUUUAAAAAAAAUGUGUUGUACACUACUACAGAAAGACCUAUCAGUGUCAAACCCAAAAAUGUCGUCACCGCCAGUUUUAGGCAUCGUUGGUGAAAGGUUGGCGGUGAUGGGCAUCCCCUUCAACAACGGCACUGGAGCCGACGGUGAUUGACAUUAGAAAACAAAAAAGGGAACCCCACCUAGCCACCCCUGCAACCCAGCCGGCCGUGCCUCCCCUCAUGCCCACCACCUCGCCUCCCCCGUGACCCCCCGCCGGCGCCCUUGUGCCUAGCCCCCUCGCCUGCCCGGCCGGCCACCCUCGUCAUGAGAGAGAGAGGUGCAUGUUGUAUAAUUGCGUGAAUUUUUGAAUGUUUAAUUUUAUGUAAGUUCCAUGUAAUAAAUUGUACAAGUUUUAUUGUAUAUAUGAAUUCCAUAUAUAUAUAUUUAUAAUUUAAUGUAUGGUUUCAUGUGUAUAUUUCAAUCAUGUGUAUAAUUAGUAGAUUGCCGAUUUUCUUUUUCUACUAGACAAGGGUUGAUGUAUAAUUACGUGUAUAUGUUUAUUGUAUGGGCAAUUAGGACAAGUUUUGUAUAAAUUUCUUUUAUUUCAUGGUUGUUGUAUGGUUUCAUGUAUAUACAUUUAUUGUACUACUUGAGACAAUUUUAAUUUAAUAUUUCUAUGAUUACAUGUGUGUAUAACUAAUUGUAUUAUUAGUUAAGAUGGGAGCCAAAGAGGAUGAAAGGUAUAUAAUAGAGUAGAUUAUUGCUGGCGGUAGUGGCUCAAACGUUGCAAGAACCUACACCGAGGGUGAGGGUAGCUAGGUGGACAUGUACCUCAACAUGUCCAGUGAUGGCAAUGACGAUGAGGAGCACGAGCAUGACGUCUAUGAUAAUGCGGAACAAGACAUUGCAGAAUUGGAAGGUUCUAAUGAGGUGUGCUUCAUGUUGACGAUCUAGUUGGCUUUUUUUCUUUGGUCACACCUUAGUUACCAUAGAACUUCGUCUCGGGAGAAGAUUGGUGGUGCUAUGGUGAUUGGAAUUUUAUUGCCUCCAAAUUUGAUUUCCAUCGAAUCAUAUCCCUUGUAUUUAUCUUCUUUUUAUUUGUGAGAGCAUCUUCUUUAUGCUUGCAAAACAAUUCAAGUGCACAUACUACCCCUAGGGUGAUGAUUGGGAGUAGAAACAAUUGCCAACAAAACAACACCACAUCCUAAGAUUCUUAACUUGUGGCAUAAUUAAUCUAGUGAAAAGAAAGAUAAAAACCUAAUGGGUGUACGUGAGUGCAAUGUGUAUAUGCAUAUGAGUGGAAGGCAUAUAAGCAAAGACAAUAUUUACACAUAGUUCUAAACACGAUGUUUACAGCUAGGUUGCUGAAUUUCUCCAUAGCUAUAGAGAUUAAUUAACCAAGGUCAAAACACGAUGUCUAUCCCAAGAUCAGUAAUUCUUUAUAGCACAAGAAAAAGAAAGCGCAUUGCAAAGUUUAUAAACCAACCAAUACAGCAUGAAAACAAGAUGAAUAGCUAGCAAGGUUUAUUAAAUUGAAUGAUGACGGUCUGCAAGCAAGUUUGAACACCAUCUUUACACAAGAUUGCAAAUGGAAAAUGCCCAUAUGAAGCACUAACAUGGAUAUGAAAUCAUUCAUCAUAAAGCGUAAAGAACAACCAAGUAGUUUUUAAUGGCAUAUACAUGUAUAAUAUAGUUUAGGUGCUAAAAUUGAUAUUCACAGCUAUUUUGGGCUCCAAUUCGCGUCCAAACCAACCUAGCCCACAGACCACACCCGGCCGGCCAGCUCAUCGGCCCAUCUAGUCACUGAUCCUUCCACCACCACACUCAGCCCAUCAGUCGGUCAGGUCCCGAGCUCCUGCCUGACCUAGUCCGCUACCGCCGCCAGGCGCCAAGCACAGCCGUACGCACUGCACCGCCCCCGUCCACCCAUGUCCGCUGCGCGGCAAAGCCGCGCCCCCCAGCCCCCGCGGUGAGAUCUCGACGCCCGCUGCCGCCAGACCCCAUUAGGCCUCCACCGGCAAGUCCACCCACAGUCCCACACGACCUAGUCCGCUNNNNNNNNNNNNNNNNNNNNNNNNNNNNNNNNNNNNNNNNNNNNNNNNNNNNNNNNNNNNNNNNNNNNNNNNNNNNNNNNNNNNNNNNNNNNNNNNNNNNNNNNNNNNNNNNNNNNNNNNNNNNNNNNNNNNNNNNNNNNNNNNNNNNNNNNNNNNNNNNNNNNNNNNNNNNNNNNNNNNNNNNNNNNNNNNNNNNNNNNNNNNNNNNNNNNNNNNNNNNNNNNNNNNNNNNNNNNNNNNNNNNNNNNNNNNNNNNNNNNNNNNNNNNNNNNNCCCCCCCUCCACCAGGACUGCUUGUUGGCCCCCACCGCGAGGUAAUCAAAAUGGACGGCUCAAUCACUCAAUCUGUUGACAUGAUGCACACGGUUGCAAAAAUAGAUGUGUCAAAAUAGAUAUAUUGCUAAUUGCUAUAGAUGCAUACGGUUGACAUGAAGAAGUUAAAAAUGACAUUUGGUUCCUUGUAGGCAGUCAAAAAUGAAGUCAAAAAAUAUUGAUCUGAAAUCAAUGUGGGAAAGGGCUACGAAGACACACAGAUUCCCUUGUGAACUUUUUAUGUCAUUCGUCUAAAUAUUUUUUUGCAAUGGGCAUACCCUACUCUGAAAUCCUGGGUCUGCCACUGAUGAUGAUGGUCUAAACAUAAAACAAGCCAAGAUUAAUUAGCCACAACUGAAAUUAAACAAAGGUUAAUGUCAUUGACCCUAGCUCUAUCCUAGCUUUUACAAAAGUCCCGGCACAUAUAGUGGUUGGGCCCACUCUCUCUGCUUCCCUCUCUGCUGCAUGCAUGCACACGAGCAACGGGAGGCCCCACAAAGCCCAGAAGGGUUCGGCUGAACCCGGCCGAUCCAAUCUGAGCACCACUCCCUCCCAGCCUUCGCGCAGAUGCUCCUCCAACAUUCCUUGACCCCUCCCUCAGCGUCCCAUUGGGUUUAACAUUGCAGGAGAGGAGUCCCUUUUUUAAAAUCUCAACCACCUCCUCUCCUCAUUCACUCCACUCUCAUCUCCAUCAAACUCACCAAGAUCCACAUCGGAAAUCCCUGCUUACCACCAUGGCUGGCAAAGCCCUCGUCCCUUUCACCAACUUGGGCUUAACCAUUGAUCUCGAUGGGGAAAUCACUCCGGAAAUAGGGCAGUGACCCAGAGCAAAGGUGAUGCCAGAGUGUAGAUAGCAGUUAGCAUGCCAAAUUGUGAACCGCAAGCGCUCGGAUUAGUUGUUUUUUUUCCCUUAGAGAUUCCCCCAAGGUUUAUCAAUCCAUGGAACAAGGGAUUUGCACAUUUCACUAAGCAUUAAUCAAUGUAAUUGAAAGCUUUUUGAAUAAGAUAUGAUUAUGCUAACAAAGGAACUAAGCAAUCUAGAUUAAGAUGGAUAGAGAGUAAAGGUUGUGAACAAGAUAGAUUAAACGCUUAUAGAUGCAAUCACCAUGCAUGAAUGAAUUAGAUCUAGGUGUUAUUGUGAGUGGUUGUGAACCAUACCCCAACACUUUCCCACCCGCAACAUUGUCACUACAUGUGGGUACUCAACUAUCGAAACAUAAGAACACAUCAAGAUGAUCAUUCUAGGUAAGCAAAUAAGCAACCCAAAGUAGCGCUGGCCAGCCUUUUCAUGAAAGAGCAUCAUCAAGAUAAGAUUGAUAACAAAAUAGAUCUCAACCAAAGGUUCAGCGAUUACAAAUCAAGAUCUCCGUAUAACCCCGAUGACAAAUAGAGGUAUUACCCCCAUGAUCUUACACAUGUUGAUGAAUUUUAGGGUAAAGGACGCCCUGUAGAUCAACUGGACCAAAGAUGAUGAUGAACAGGGGCAGGGAAGGCCCAGGCUGAUCAGCCUGGGCACUUUUGAGCCGAUCAGCUUAGGGAGUUUCCUCCUCCCCUGGUGCUCCUCUUCGCGUGGCCUCCUCUGGAUCCAAUCUUCUCUUCAUUUCUCCUACUUGUGGUGGCAAUGGAUGGUGUUUGCAUGGUGAUUUCCUCUUCUCCCCAACUCUCCCUCCUUGAAGUCCAUGAGGGGGUAUUAAUAGUCUCCAAUAUGCGGCAGCUCUGGGUCAAUGUCGGUGAAAAAACCCUAGAGAUCAUCGUACACUUCACGCUGAGGAAACAAGAGGUCGACCGAGCCCUGGGAUAGACCAAGAGGAUCAGCCUAGAGGGUCCCAGGCCAAUCGGUCUAGGCCCUUCCUAGCCCUUCUAGUCCUCUCCUUCCUCGUGCUGGCUUUUCUCGAUGACCCUUGUCCAAAUAUCCAUUAAGCUCUAUAUACAUACCCCCUUGAUUAUGUCGUAUUUCCUGUCAAAAUACAAUGCUCCAAAAUACAACACAUAUGCAAUAAUAGGGUUAUUUCAUGUGCCAAUUGGUGCGUUAGUAUACGAAUAAGCAUGAAAAUACUGGUUAAAUGACACUAAAAGUGUGUCAAUAACGAGCACCAACAAUCCCCCCACGCUUAGAUCUUGCUCGUCCUCGAGCAAGUCUAGCGACUAAAAGAUCUUGAAUUAAACAUGAGCAAGCGAGUCAAGUACCUAGCCUUGAAACAAAAGAUUAGAGGAGCAGCAAAGAUAAUCAAAGUCUGGGUGUUCAAAGAUUUAUCUAAGCAAAGAUUCCCCUACAACUAUUAUUCAGAACCAAGUAACUUCAAGAAUCAACUACACUUAUUUUCUGGCUUUUUUCAGAGGGUUUUUCUUUCAUCACAAAACAAUCUCCCUGCAACAAAAUUGAAAAAAGAAUUAUUUUCCAGGUGCUUACAUGUCGUUUAAAUGAAUGUUCGCUAUCCUACUUAUUUGCAAGCUCUCAUCUCUCAAAAUUCAUUCAAUUAUAUGGUGGAGCUUGGGUAAGGUUAGCUAGAAUCAACACGUAUAUUAUUGAAUUAAGAAAACCCUCUAACGGUAGCCUACCUUUCGAGCCAUUGAUCAUAAGAAUAUCCACAUAAUGUGAAGUUUUCAAGGAUGAGAAUAGAAUGGUGGACAUGUGCAAAGGAAAAGAAAUAUAGUGACUCUGAGGCACAAGCAAUGUCCUCGUCGUUGGAUUGCAUAUGGUUGGAAUGAAAAUCUGUUCCUUAAACAAGUCCAUCUUUUCUUUGCACCACUCUUGAUCUUCAUGACAGUAAAAACUCCUCCUUUAUUUCUUUCUCUCUUUUCCUAUUAUUUCUUUUUAUUUGUCUCAAUACUUUUCUUUCUUUAUUUCUUUAUUUUAAUCUCUUCUCCGAACCUCUUCUGAACACCACACAAUAAAAAUCAGUUUUAGAUCCUUCUAGAGACCUUCCAGGAAUUUGCUACAUGAAAACCGAGGCAAGGAGACCCCAGGCCGAUUGGCCUGGCCACUCCUUUGCUCUCCUCUAGCUCUUCUUUCUUGUGAAGCUUCCUUAUCUUGUAUCUUUCCAAAAAUUUCAUAAAGCUCAACUAGAAACGGAACACAUCUUCAUAUAAUGAGUUGUGUUCAAGGAAUUGGUAAUAAAAUUGAGAAAUUUGUGGUUCGGGUUUACGAAUUCAGUACAAAAAUAUGAUUAUUCCAAUGAAGAACUCUCAUUACUGAAUAUUGACGAGGCAAGCAUUCAAAGAUGGUAAAAAGGAUAUGAUCAAUUCUCAGAAUUAAAGCAAACCAAGAGAGAGCGAUCCUAAUUCAAUUCAAAGUGUCAAAUGUUGCUUAUGGUGGUAUGAAUAAAUAUUUUUAGGCAUUGGGUAGGAUAAAUAAAAACUCUCAACCUGGUUAAAAGAUAUUGAUCAAUCUUGUUUUUGCAGAGGUUUUAAAUAAAAAAUAAAAUUUUAAAUCACCUCCAAUUCAAAGCCUUACUCAUAAAUCAUAAUCAAAACUGAAGCACUUGAUCAUCAUAAAGCAUGGGUAUUGCAUAAACAAAUCGAUUACUAAAACUCCACAACUACGAUUUAGAAUUCAAGACAAUGCUCAUAAUCUAAAGUUGCAAAGACAAAAUAAAAGACAAGCAAGCCAAGGUAGACACUAAAAACACUUGCACGAUCCUUGAAUUUUAUUCAUGCUUCUUCUCACAAAGACGCUAAAGUAGCCAUGUAGGCCUAAGUCUUCCCAAAAGCUUAAGAAGACUACUACUUUAUCUACUUUUGGUUGAAAUAAAAAUACUAAUCUAGACUCUCACAUGAUUCGACUCGACCAAACUAGAUCCAAAAACUCAUACGAGCGACAAUCUCCCCCCCCCCUCUCAAAUCUACGACCUCCUCGUGGUAACCAUAUGGAGUACAAGGAAAAGACGCUUGUAAACGCACUAAUGACGCUACCCGGACUACUUGCACACGGAAUGGUUGUUGUUUCCUUUGCUUUGUUCUUCGUCAUGUUGCUGCACAUCCCGAAGAGCUUCCUCACGUUCCUCUGCAAGAACUUGAACUUGAACUUGUCCUCCUGACGGCAAUCAUUAUCUUCUGCCUUUUGAUCCAGAGCUUGUAAGGCUUGCAUGAUGUCAUCGAACGCAUCGAAGAGGUAGUGGAUGUUCUUCCUGCAAGCUGUGGAACAUGUACGAUCAUGCUCCUACGAUUCUGGCCCGUCGUCUUCUAGAUCCUCCUCUUUGCCCUUGUCUUGACGGUGGCCAUCUUGCUCCUUGCUCGUCUUCUUGCCUUCAGCCCGAUCCCAGUACGUGUUGUCAUCUUCUUCAUCGUCACGGCCUGCAGCACCCUAUGAUCCAUUGUCUAUCUUGUAUGAAAGAAUCAGAAGCUUGUUCUCCUCAGGGUGUCUUGCGCGGUGCAGCGUUUGCAAGUGCAAGGCUUGCUAGUUCUUUUUACACAUUGUAAUGUUCAUUGCAUGCUCUAAUUGUUCUACAUUUGUAAUUUCUUGGUGAAGUUUGGUUACUGAUCCACUGUUUGAUUAACUCUUGGGCCCAAACACUGUACUACUUCUGAUUAGAUAUCUGUAUCUUAACUUUGACCAAAAAAAAUAUCCGGCAGUUUUUGCCAUUAAAGUUUCAUAAAUCAUCUUGCAAAAAUCGUACUAUACAACAAGGGACGGUUUAUUAUAAAAUAUACGUUCCCCUUAUCACAUGCCACUUCCACUCAAAAGGCAACGAAUCAGUUUUCAAUCCUGAGUGAGCAAUUUGCUUUUAUUACCGAUGCCUCCUAUUCCCUUGUGCACCAAGUUCAUUUUGGAUAGGACUGCAAAAAGCGACUAACCAGCUCGGAUUCUCCACCUGCAAAACCGCAUCUGCAGCAACCAACCCCACGCGGUGGAAAAAAAAACAAAACCCAGAAACCGGACGGGGGUGGAUGUGGGGCUCGGAGCCCAAGCAAAAAAAAGGAUCGGGAGCGCCGGAGCAGGCCAUCACCGGAUGUUAGAGAUAGAAAAUGGUUGAAGUUGGAGUGGAAAUCAAACAAGCCUUGGAGCAAAGGAAAAAAAAGAUCAAACCACUCAAGCAUUCAUUUGAUUUAGAAAAGAGAACAUUUGUUAAGGUGGGGAGUUGAAAUCAUCUUUUAAUUAGUUCCACGUAUCUGGUAUCAUUACAGUUGGUUUACUUGUGUAAGUAUAUAAGUAGCUCUGCCGAAGCCUUUGCUCCUAUAAUUUAGUAACUAGUACAAAUGGAUCAUUAGGAAAAUCAAGUUGCAAUCAUUUCUCAGCCAACCAAACCUAUCUAAAUCAAAUUAUUGUCCAUGCCCGGCAUGCACAGGUGCCUGCCAUGCAUGCAUUGUUGCUCCAUUGUAAUAACCAUUAUUGUCCAUUGAUGUUCCAGCGCAUGUGUGCACUGUGCAGACACCAAGCAUCGAGAUUAUGUACUAGUAAGGUACCAAGAACACGUGAAGCACACGGGGGAGGCUGCUCCACUCGGCAUGCACAGGUGGGGCACGGCACCACUACUCGUCUCCUUCAGGCAGAGGACAAGUGAUGUACGCUGAUCAACCACUAGUAGAAAAACGACUUUCCAUCCGCCCCUUUUGUCCCGGUUUAAAGUUGGCCCGGGACAAAAGGUUCACCAACCGGGACUAAAACUCGGUCACUGGUGGGGGGCUCACCAACCGGGACCUUUUAUCCCGGUUGCAAAGGCUAGUGGGAAAAAAAGACUCUGAGAGGCCUUUUAUCCCGGUUUGAAACACCAACCGGAAUAAAAGGUGGUCUUUUAUCCCGGUUGGUGUUUCCAACCGGGAUAAAAGGGUCCCCCACGAGUUAAUACAAAAGGAUAGUAUCCCCUAUAUAGUCAGAUGUGGUGUGUAGGUGGGAUGGCAAGGAAGCUACGCGCGAGGCUGGAGGUUGUGGGUUUGAAUCCCACGAACCGCGCACCCCCACCACGGCAAACGGAGGUGAUGGCGGAAGGUGAGGCAACGACAGUAGCUGGUGAGCUCCCGCUCCAAUGUCUCGCGAGUGAAGGAGGAGGAGGUGGCAUGGGAAUCGAAGAGGAGGCCGCCGCUGGCGGGUUUAGACUACGUGGAUGUGUGGGUAGGGUUAAGGUGACGGUGUGGACUAGUAUAUAUAAGAUGUCUGGGCUUGUUAGAAUAAGAUAACAUUCUAACCGGCCAAAUUCGGACCCGGUUAGAUUAAAUUGAUAUUCUAACCGGUCCUAUUUCUAGGUGGUAAGAAUAAGUUAACAUUGUAAUUGGCUUUAUUUGGAACCCGAUUGAAUCUUCUUGUUAUUCAAAAAAACAUCAAGUUCAUCAAUUUUAAUCCAGAAAAACAUCAAGAUAAUUUAAGCACGAUAUAUAACAAGAUUAAUAAAUUUAAUAAUUGUUUGAUCCACAAAUUAACGAUAUUUAACAAAUUCAAAAAAUCCAAAUUAACAGAACACAAUAACCAAUUGUUCGAAAAAAUCAAAAUAAUCCACACACAUUAAUAUAUUACAAAUUCAGAAAUAUAUCAAAAUAAUCCCCGAUCCACUCGAUACCGUCAUAGGACUUUUAAAUACUGAGCUUCUUGAUUCGUCUGAGGUCCACGUACUCGUCUCAGUAACACUAGUGAUGGCCAUGCAUCUUGUAGAUGUCUUCUAACGAAUCAAGCUUGACGUACAAGGUCAUGCCUUCCGCUCCUUGAGGAUAACCAUCUUUGGUGAUCUUGAAAUGGCAGACGGUGGAUGUGCCAAAGGUACGUAACGAUCCUUCUAAAUGUAUGCCACCACAACUUCCGUCUGAUCGCCAUGGGUGACACCAAGAAGAGCUACCAUGCGGCAAGGGACGAACAAUUUAUCAAUUAGUGCCGCUGUCCAUUCGCCAUCAUCUAAUCCAGCCAUAUCUUGAUGUAUAUUUAAGUAUAGAAAUUAAGAUUUAAAAAUAAACAGAAUAAAUUGAGAUCGACUAUGUAUGUAUAUCAGAACAUUAGCUUUUGGAAAAAGGGCUUCGAUGGAAGAGAGGCACGGGGCAUAGAGACAACAACGAGUGACAAUAUGUCAGAAGAAUACCCGAUCACAAUUAUUGGCUACAGGACGGGCACACACAGCCGAUAUUUACAGUAGUCAAUACCCCUGGUAAAUAACCACACCAUCAAGAGUAAAUAGUGACAAUAUGCAGUAUAUACACGACAUAGCCUUGGUUGCCGUGGAAGCGCCAGAAGGGAGACAAAUAACAGGGACCACAACAUCAAGUAGAUAGUGACAAUAUGCAGAAGAAUACCCGCGCCUGUUAGCAUGUGUGAACUGACCACACCACGAAACGUGAUACACGGCAAGCGUACCAAGGCCUUGCUGUGCAGACUAUGCAUGGACAACACAUGGUACCUGACCGCUUUUGGCCUCAGACACAUCGAAAAACUGCAUCGUUCCACGUUGUACAUCCAUUGCUAGUUUAUCUAUAUUACAUAAUAUAUUAUUAGCUAUUUGAAUAGAAUGAACCAAUUAAAAAAUUGCGUUGUAUUUUAGUACCGGCUGCAGGAUGGUGUUACCAACCAGUACUAAUUGGCCUGUAGGAGUGAUGGUUAUUAGACUUGGUACUGUUGUUAGCAUCAUUAACCUAAUUGUGCGCGGUAUGAAUUUGGGGAUGCAAAGCUAGCUCUCUAUGAAUGUGAGGGAUGGAAAGCUAGUUCUCUAGUAGUAAUUAGCUAUAUAUAUAUGUCAGUCAAGAAAUCGAACACUAUGCUGCUACGAGUCACCAUCAUUUCCUUCAUUGACAAUCUGACAUAGGUGAAGCUGCUUCAAGAAUUUCCUUCGCGCAGUCGUGGAGCUUAUUGGAUUAUCACCAGGACGGGACACGGAAAUGGCCAGCAAUGAAGCUGAUUGCCGUCUGAGGAAGAUUACAUACUUACCUAUGAAAUGAAGCGAUUGCAUAGACUAAUGAAGCAUUGCAUAUUUGCAUGUGAGUGUGGCAGAUAAUUCUGCAGGACAUGAUUGCAAUCCACGCACCAUCGAGAAGACUGGGGCGAUGGGGUUGCCUCAUCAAUAAUCACGUGGAUGCAUGCAUGCAUGUUCCCGCAACCGGACAAGGGUCUGAUAUAUGGCUAUAGUAUUACUGAGCCCACAUCAAUAAUUUCCGCUGGUGUAUCGUGUGGGAAGAAUCAACAUACUACACCUCGAGUUCUUGGAACUAACUGACGUUCACAUGCAACCUCCACAAGGUGCUGUAUAUAUGCUUUUGACAUUCACCUGCCAGUUCGUGUAGAGGACACCCUAACGUAUGGUUAAUAUUAUCCAUUUCAUGAGUAAAAUACUGUGAUUCAAAAAUACUUCAAAUCCCUUGAGACAAUACUUCUCACUUGACUAACCACUAACCAACCCCGAAACCCUAACUCAACUCCGAACCCUAACACCUAACGGCAUAACCACUCCGUUUUGCCAGCCAGAUGGAGGAACUGGCUGGGAGGGAGAGAGGGCAGCGGUCCAGGGUUGAAAACGACGGGCGAGCGCAGUAACAUGUGGAGGAGGAAGUGCCACGUAUUCGUUCACCGCUAUUGGGCAGCGACACACAACACGCCCAAUAAGAUUUUCGCACGGUAGAAGGGCGCCAUGUAUUCAAUAAUGUUAUUGGUCCUCCAUGUGCAGAAGGGCGCGUAUGGAAUAACAAGUAGGGACACUGCAACUAAUCUACUCUGCUCGUCCAGUCCCUAGCCUAUAAAUAGAUGCCAUGCUAGCUCUUGUUGUGCUCACAGUUAAUCCGAUUACACACGAGCUUCUCUCCCUGGCCAAGACACAAUCAUAGUAUGAUGAAGAACAUGGCACUAGCCGGCAAUGGUAUGAAGAAGUUAAUCCUCGCUGUUCUCUUACUGUGUCUAGUUAUAGGGCAGAUACAAGUGGAAGCUAAGAGCUGCUGCCCAUCCACCACUGCAAGAAAUGUCUACAAUACCUGCCGUUUGACGGGUGCAUCCCGUCCAACGUGUGCAAAACUGUCAGGCUGCCAAAUUAUCAGCGGGAACAAAUGCAAGCCCCCUAACGACCACCUCACCCUUGACCCGGACACUGGUAAAUAAUAAAUUUAUCUCACUUGAUUUCUUUGUGUUUUGAGUCGUUAAUGUAUUUUCCAUCUGAUGAAACGCAUUGGUUUUGCAUUGAAGAGGAAGUUAAUGUGCUUAACUUCUGCAAGUUGGGGUGUGCGUCGUCUGUGUGCAACAACAUCAACGCUGGUAAGCACCUUUUGCUCAGACAGAGAAAACAAUAAUCAUUAAUUAGCGGCAGCUAGAAUCCUAUAAUCUAAUAUAUAUAUAUAAUUUUAUCAGCUCUGGGAAAUGAAGAGGCGAACGAUGCCGUUGAGAGUUGCGACCAAGCCUGCUCUAGCUUCUGCAGCGUGCAUGUUGGCAGCGCCACCGUGGUUGCUUAAGCAAAUGCAUCCAACUAGAUCGUCCUUGUGCUGAAUAAUUGGAUAUCGUAUCCACUUAAAGCUGCCUUGUGUAGUACGUCUUUGUGUCUCUCUUUAUAUUCCAAUAAGGUCGGUGAUCUUGAUGCCACACACUCAGAUGUGUGUUCAUCUCCAGAUACUACUCCAUGCUACCUGCCCUUUGUGUUUUGUUCAAUAACUGGGUAUCAUAUCCCAACCAGUAUGCCGUCUGUUUUGUGUUUGUUUCCUUCUAGUUCCAAAAGGGUCAUCAUGAUGUUACCUUCUUUCAAUAUGGUGCUUUGCAUGACUACUGUUGUAUGGUACCAUCUUGUGGCCAAUAAGUACAUCUUAUCCUAUGACCCUUUGCUAUGACCCUUUGCAAAUAAGUAGAAGAUUGUUAUAAGCGUCAAUACUCAGUAUAAUUGAUCGCUGCUGUGAGUUCCCUUUCAGCUUAUCGUAGGCAUACAUUAUUGCUAGCACGGUAAAGCCAACCAACACGAAUGAUGAAGUAAACGUAGCGGUACUUCUGUAUACCAACACCCUUACUUAAAUGUACCGGUGUCAUUCCCUACUGGCACAUAUAUUCUUAUAUGCUAGCCAGCUUGUAAAAUUAACCAAUUAAAAUAAUUAUUUCAAGAUAGAAAUAACUUAUCGGCUUCUGGAAGCAUGUGUAAUGUGAAUUCAAGGACUCGACGGAAGUUGAAUCACUUCAUCUAUAUUGCUUUCAGGAUUUUGGGUAACUAAAUUUAACAUUUGCACAUACAAAUGUUAAAGUACAAAUGUUAAAUCUAGUUACCCAAGCAGAAUAUGAAGAUAGUUUAUAGUAUAUAUAUACUAUAAAUAUACUAUAUAAAUCUAGUUAACAUUUAGUCUAAAUGUUAAAUCUAGUUACCUAAAAUCCUGAAAGCAAAAUGUAUAAAUAUAUAUCUUUUAAGGCAGUAUAAGCUUCGAUUCCUAUUGCUGCUCUGUUAAAUCUCAUCUUUCGUUGUGGCCCAACACUCUAGUAUGCAUGUUGCACCAAGCUUCUUUGAGCCGCUCUGCCCUCUGAUUUUGCUGUGUAGGGGAAUCUUUAUCAGGUUGGGCUACUUCCAGUUGUGCGAUGUAAAGAUUCGUAUUUUCUAGAAGGUAGACAAAAAACUCGCGUUCUCUUAAGGCAACAACCGGAAGAUUCUGCAGCGCAUAGGGCAUACCAUUAUUGUAGAAACGACCUUUAGUACCGAUCUCCAACCCCCUUUAAAACUGGUUUUGCAACCGGUACCGUUAUGUCGGUCCUUUAGUACCAGAUCAAAUAACCGGUACUAAAAGAGUCAACUAAAAGGACUCUUUUAGUACCGGUUGGUAACCAGUAUCAACUUGUUUUGUGGCCAAAAAAAUAAAGAAAAAAACAGUCAGAAGGCUCGCACACACGCGCAUCACAUGAAAUAUGCGUGUGCGGGGUCCAUGGGAUUCGAACCCAUGAAAUCAAGCUACGCGCGACCCUUCGUUACCAUCUCACCUGAAGUAACCCGUGGAGGAGGCUUUAGUACCGGGUCAUAACACCACCCGGUACUAAAAGUGACUCUUCAGUACCGGGUCAUAACACCACCCGGUACUAGUAUCGGAUGGUGUAAUGACCCGAUACUAAAAGGCCUCUAGGGACCCUCAAAUUUGAACCCGGUACUAAUGCUAAUAUUAGUACCGGGUCAAAGUGCAGCCAGAACUAAAGCAUGGGAUGAAAGGUCAUAUUUCUAGUAGUGUAUAGUUGUUGUGAAGGACUUACUUGGCUGUCCUCUCUCUUCUCCAUCCCCUUGGUCUUACGCCGCCGCUCGCACGCGAGCUGGUGCCCAACCAGAGGAGUGAGAGCUAGGGGCAGGUUGGGAGGUGGGGAUAGCGACUGGUGGCCAGGGUGAUGGUUGAUCCUGGCGGGGUUAGGGUUUUAGGGUUUUCGAGCUUCCUAUGGUCGGCGAACCUAGAGGAGGAGCUCAACAUCAGCUGCAACCCGCGAUGGUGGUGGUUUGGCCAGCGCCCGAGGCGAGGCAGCGCGGGAGUGCUGCCGGUGGGUUGGUGUUGGCACUCAUUAUUGACAACUAUUUUGUUCAUAAAAUAACACUCAAACUUGCUGCUGCUGCCGCCGCCAUCGCCACCCUAGCCAUAAUAUAAAGGCAAAAUUUGCUAAAGGACAUGCAAAAUGAUGCUAGUUUGCUGGCGGGCAUCGUUGACCUUGUAAUAUGCUACAAGACACUCUAGUUGUGUAUCAAUUUGCUGAAAGACAUUGCUAUGACUAAAAUAAUGUUUCUGGACUGAGUUGGAGAGAGAGAUGGAGUGAAAUGUCUGUUUUGCCCAUGACCCCACUGGUCAGAUCCUUCUUCUUCCACCCUCCUUUGUUCUUUCUUCAACCAUUACCCAGCUCCAGCGUGUUGCAGAUCUACGAGGGUGGCGGCCUGGGGCGAGGGGCAUUGCUCGCCCUCGGAGGAGCGCUGCGAGCGACGGCGCGGGGGCGGCAACCGCGCGUCAGAACCUGACUGUUCGUUAGCUCCUCUCGCUGCUGGGGAAGAAGGAGGGGGAUGGGCCAUGGACGGGGUUCCCUUGAAAACCUCAGCGUCGAGCUCGGGCGGCUACGCGCAGGCAGCACUAGGCUGCUUCACGGGGAGGGGGCGCGGCCAAUCAUUGGCACCCCACUGGUCCAAUGCUGAUGAAGAUGGUGCCAGCGUCGUGUGAGGACAUCUCAUCUCCUCGAGUUCCAUGGCCAGCACAGGUGAGCUGCCGCUACCACAAAACAGAGAUUUCGUGAGAGUCAAAAAACCUUAUGAAAAUAGCUAAAACCAUCAUGAAAAUAAUCCGUGACAUGACACUCUCACGAAAAUCCUCUCACAAAUAUGGUGCCAUGAAAAUACCAUUUUCAUGAGAGUGAACUGUCAUGAUUUUAUUUCGUGAGAGUAUUUCCUAUCAAUGACCUCCACGAAAUACUUUGUGCCACCAGGUCUUCAAGAUCAUUUUCAUGAGAGCUGAACAUCAGGAAAAGUCCGCCACAAAUGUUUUUCUUGGAGCCUCUAACUCUCAUGAAAAUCAUGCGGGCCGCCACGAAAAACAGCAUGACCAAAUGACAAAUUUUAUUUUCAUGUGUUCAUACCGUGAAAAUGGUCAUUUUCAUGAGAGUUGAUGAAACAAAAAAUAGUGCCAUUUUCAUGAGAGUUCAAGCAACCAGGAAAAGACACUAAUAAACAUCCAGAUCCCAUCCAGCACACAUCCAUGCACACAUAUAACCCACAUAUUGCUCCAGCACACAUCCAUGCAUAUACAAGAUCCAAAUGUUAAUAUAGUAGACAUCCAUGCCUGAACUAGUCUGCCACACAAGUCAUUGAUGCUACAAAUCCUACAAUCGCAGCAUGUGCAUACAAGUCACAGAAUGAGACAAUGUACCCAAAACUAAAAGGUUAGCAUCAACUGUGCUUCAACCAAAGUUGUCAUCCCAACUCUCCUCUUCAUCCAUGCCAUUCUUGUCAUGGCCGUCACUGUCAGUCCCCAUGGCAUUGCCAAUGCUGUGCAUGUCUUGGUAGGAACCUACAUGUGAUGAACCAGUAACCUGCAAAAAGAACUCAAAGGAUCUUGUUCUCAUAUUGUUCUCAUAUUGUAGCUGUGAAAUUCUUACAAGUAGUGUUGCAAUCAGUUCACUUUGAACCAAAAGAGCUCAAAGGAUCUUGUCCUAAAAGUUCCUCAUAAAGCUUAUGGGUUUGCUGGUGGAACUGGAAGGGCUUGAUGCAGCAGAUGCCAUUCUGCAAUAGAGAAAAAUUUAGAGAGCAGUAAUAGUUAAAAUUGGAUGCAGCAGAUACACAUGAAACUAGUAUUUAUACAAGUCUAUACAAUUAAAAUCUAAGGAGACUUAUCAUCGUUUUCAUGUGUUGCGAAUUAAAAUAAUGAAGGAUACACUGUUAGGUGAAAAUUCAAGAAACAAAAUUUUGCAUAGAGAUAAAGGUCCAACAUUAUUACAAGUUAAGGUAGUUUUAAAUAUCCUUGUAAUCUUCCUUUGGUUUCCUCAACGAUUCGAAGACAAUAACCUUGCUUCUAUCAAUGAUAAUUAUAAGGAGAAUCCAGUGGAAACUGUGUAUUCAUAUUAGAACUACCUAAGGUUAAUUAGGUUAGGAAAGGAAAUCGAAAAUAGAUGGUACCCACACUUACUUAAAGUUGUCGGGCAAUAGUAUGUAAUGCUUGUAAUUCCGUUGCUCCAAGAAUUUGUAUAUGUGGUCCAAUGUAGACUUUGGUUGAUCCCGUAUCUGCUGUUGGUUAAAUAAGUGUUUCUAGCCAUUUCUAGCCAUUAGAACUGGGACUAAAGGGGGCUCUUUAGUACGGGUUGAUAUUACUAACCGGGAUUAAAGAGCCCCCAUUAGAGUUGGUUUUUGGAUGCGGAACUAACAACUCCUUUAGUCCUGAGUACGAAAACGACUGAGAUAUUUGUUGCUUGGUUGAAGGUCCUUUCUCUACCGUGAAUAUUGCCAGAAAGAAUUGAAAGAGACUGCUUGCUAAAAAUAUGUCAUAGAUGUAGACCAAGCUACCAAGGAGGUAGCACUAGUAGAGAAUUGACUUUCGAGCCGCCCCCUUUUAUCCCGGUUUAAAGUUGGCCCAGGACAAAAGGGGGUGCGCCGGGGUGCGGAAAUUUGGAGGGGAGCAUUACUCCCGGUUGGUAAUUGCAACCGGGACUAAAGGCCCCCCUUUAGUCCCGGUUGCAACGGCUAGCUGGGGGGCAUCGGUGGCCGGACCCUUUUAUCCCGGUUGGAUCCUCCAACCGGGAUAAAAGGGACUCCCUUUUAUCCCGUUGGAGGAACCAACUGCGAUAAAAAGUUUAGUCCCGGUUGGUGCCUCCAACCGGGAUAAAAGGGUGUCCCUUUUAUCCCGGUUGGAGGAUCCAACCGGGACUAAACUUCCAACCGGGACAAAAGGUGUUUCCUUUUGUCUCGGUUGGAGUUUUUAACCGGGAUAAAAACUCAUCCCCCACUAUGUCCCGAGACAUAGACUUUCUUCUUCCUCCAGCCCGAGCCAGUCCAGCACAUUGAUAGAGAGCUGAGCUUCACCUACUCUCCGGUGGUGCCAAAGCAAGGGAGGUGCUGCCCGAAGUUUUUUCCCUCAUUUUCGUGGGAAUUUGACUCAGCCAACACAAGUGUUGCGAAGGUUUGCUACUUCAUCCUCGUGUUAUGCUUUGAUUUAUGCUUUGGAGAUGGAAAGAUUAUUUGCUACAAUGUGAUGAUGAAGUAGAAAAAUGGAGAGGUAUUUUGAGCUAGAAUGUGAGGGAGAUUGAUGUGUCAUAUAUAGUAUGCAUUAUUUCAGUGGUUUAAAAAUGAUGCUACCUUGUCUAGACGGUUUAUCUUAUCAAAUUCAAUAUGGUUUUUUAAAUCCAUAUACUUGUUGAACUUGCAUACCGUGUUCAUUUCGGCGAGAAUGUUCUCCGCCGAGCAGCAACGUAUGUCAAGAAGGAGGUUCGAUUCUACGAGAAAGAGUGGAUACGGACAUCGUGACCAUGUCCCCUUUUCCGUAGCAUCUAACCUCUUUCAUGACGAAGUGCGGUGCCACCCAGCUGAGGACAUCCUCGCGAAAUGAACACGGUCUUCAAGUUCAACAACUUCUGUAGUGGUAAGGAAAGAAUUUUUGUACAUAGAUGACUUCUGCUACUUGUUGAACUUGCAUACCGUGUUCAUCUCUCCGAGGAUGUUUUCCGCCGAGCAGCAACGUAUGUCAAGAAGGAGGUUUGAUUCUACGAGAAAGAGUGGAUACGGACAUCGUGACCGUGUCCCUUUUUCCGUAGCAUCUAACCUCUUUCAUGACGAAUACCGGUCCCGCCUAGUUGAGGACAUCCUCGCGAGAUGAUCACGGUCUUGAAGUUGAACAACUUAUGCAGUGUUAAGAUGAUCACGAUCUUUAAUCGAUUUUCACGCGUAAUCCAUUAUCAAGUGUAAUCCAUUUUCAUGCGUAAUACGAUGCAGAUGGACUAGCAAUGGAUGUAUAAUGCAGACAGGCGGAGCAAGGCGUUUAUUGAUGGCUUGCAUUAUUUUCUCGAAGUGGCAAAAGCGAACAAGCCAGAGAAUGGGUUCGUAUGUUGUCCAUGCUUCCAAUGCAAUAACAGGAAGGAGUAUUCAAACGAUUCCUGGGGGACUAUUCACAGCCACUUGUUUAAAUACGGUUUCAUGCCUAACUAUUUGGUUUGGACCAAGCACGGUAAACUAGGGGUUGUAAUGGAAGAUGGCGAGGAGGAGGAGGAAGAUGACACCAUUCCGGACUGGGUUGCAGGCCAAGCUUUUGCAGGUACUACAAUGGGCGAGGCUGAUGAAGAUGAGUUUGCAGAAAAUGACCCUACUGAUGACCUUGGUCAGGUGAUACAAGAUGCAUACAGAGAUUGCGAAACUGAGAAGGAAGCAGCAAAGUUGCAGCGCAUGAUAGAUGAUCACCAAAAAUUGUUGUACCGAGGUUGCCAGCAGGACCAUAAAAAACUAGGUACGACACUAGAAUUUGUGCAAUGGAAGGCAAAAAAUGGUGUGUCCGAUAAGGCAUUUCAGGGGAUGUUGAACAUUGUCAAGAAGAUUCUCCCCGAGAAUAAUGAAUUACCGUCCACAACAUAUGAAGCUAAACAGAUUAUUUGUCCUCUUGGAUUGGAUGUUCAGAAGAUACACGCAUGCCCUAAUGACUGUAUCCUCUAUCGUGGUGAUGAAUACGAGAAAUUGGAUGCUUGUCCCGUCUGCGAAGCCCUGCGGUAUAAGAUCAGGCGAGAUGAUCCUGGUGAUGUCGAGGGGCAGUCUCCCAAGAAGAGAGUUCCCGCGAAGGUGAUGUGGUAUUUCCCUAUAAUACCACGCUUGAAGCGCUUGUUCAGGAACAAGGCGAAUGCUAAGUUGAUGCGAUGGCACAAAGAAGACCGUAAGGAAGAUGAGAUGCUGAGACACCCCGCAGAUGGGGCACAGUGGAGAUCAAUUGAUAGAAAAUUCCCAGACUUUGAAAGUGAAGCAAGGAACAUAAGGUUUGGUUUAAGCACUGAUGGAUUCAAUUCAUUGGGUGAGUUGAGUAGUGGUCAUAGUACUUGGCCUGUGACCCUUUGUAUGUUCAACCUUCCUCCUUGGCUGUGCAUGAAGCGGAAGUUCAUUAUGAUGCCGGCGCUAAUCCAAGGCCCAAAACAACCCGGCAACGACAUUGACGUGUACCUAAGGCCGUUGGUUGAUAACCUUUUACAGCUCUGGAAGGAAGAAGGUGUACGUGUGUGGGAUGAGGAUAGACAAGAGAUCUUUAAUCUACGAGCACUGUUGUUCGUAACCAUCAACGAUUGGCCUGCAUUGAGUAACCUUUCAGGACAGACAAAUAAGGGAUAUCGGGCAUGCACCCACUGUUUAGACGACACAGACAGCAUGUACUUGAAGCACUGUAAGAAGGUCGUCUAUAUGGGUCAUCGUCGAUUUCUCCCUGCUCACCACCAGCUGAGAAAGAGCGGGAUGCAUUUCAAAGGGGCGCCAGACCAUCGUAAAAAACCUGCACACCGUAAUGGAAAGCGUGUGUUUGAGAUGAUGAAGGAUGUAUAUGUAGUCUUCGGAAAGGGACUUGGUAGCCAACCUGUUCCGAACGACGAUAACGGACAUGCACCCAUGUGGAAGAAAAAGUCAAUAUUUUGGGAGCUACCUUAUUGGGAAAUCCUAGAGGUUCGCAACGCAAUAGACGUGAUGCACCUGACGAAGAAUCUUUGCGUGAACGUGCUAGGCUUCAUGGGUGUUUAUGGAACCUCAAAAGAUACAUUGGAAGCACGACAGGACCUGAAAGCCAUGGGGCAACGAGAUGACCUACAUCCGGAAAAGAGAGAUAAUGGACAGCACUACUUACGUCCUGCCAGUUACACUCUCAGCAAGGAAGAGAAGGAUAGCAUGUUUGAAUGCUUGAAUAGUAUGAAGGUCCCGUCUGGGUACUCCUCGAAUAUAAAGGGAAUAAUAAAUAUGAAACAAAAGAAGUUUACAAAUCUCAAGGCUCAUGACUGCCACAUGUUGAUGACCCAGUUGCUUCCGGUUGCACUGAGGGGUGUUCUACCAGAAAAUGUCCGGUUGCCGCUCGUAAAGCUAUGCGCGUUUCUCAAUGCGAUUUCGCAGAAGGCAAUCGAUCCAUCCAAGCUAUCAAAGCUACAGAACGAUGUGGUGCAAUGUCUUGUCAGUUUUGAGUUGUUAUUUCCACCAUCCUUCUUCAAUAUUAUGACGCACUUACUGGUUCACCUAGUAAAAGAGAUUGGUAUUCUCGGACCUGUAUACCUGCACAAUAUGUGGCCUUUCGAGAGGUGCAUGGCAGUCCUAAAAAACUAUGUUCUUAAUCGUGCCCGUCCAGAAGGAAGCAUCGCCAGGGGAUAUGGAACAGAGGAGGUGAUCGAGUUUUGUGUUGAUUUUAUUGAUUCAAUUGACUCGAUUGGGGUUCCAACUUCACGCCACGAGGGGAGGCUCCGAGGAAUGGGCACCAUUGGAAGGAAAUCAAGUUUGAGCAAUGAUACUGAUUUGUUCGACAAGGCACACUACACUGUUCUACAACAGUCAUCCUUUGUGUCUCCGUAUAUCGAGCAGCACAGGCAGAUGGUAGCUUCCAAAAACCCGACCAAAUCCGAUGCUUGGCUUACCCGUCAUCACAUGGAAACUUUUCCCUCCUGGUUGCGCCAACAACUUAUGGGUAACUCUGAGAUUCACCCACAGCUUGCCUGGUUAGCCAGGGGACCUACUACCACAAUCGUCGAAUUCCAAGGCUAUGAGAUAAAUGGUUACACAUUUUACACGAGAGCCAAGGACCAGAAAAGCACGAACCAGAAUAGUGGUGUCCGCAUAGAUGCCAUGGACAGAAAUAAUAGCAAGGAGUCGUAUUAUGGUUUCAUACAGGAGAUAUGGGAACUCGAAUACGGACCGCUGUACAUCCCUCUAUUUCUUUGCAAUUGGGUGAAGCUAACUGCCGUCACCAAAGAUCAGUACGGAAUGACAAUAGUAGAUCUGAGCAAGACUGGAUACAGUGAUGACCCAUUCGUACUUGCCAAUGAUGUGCAUCAGGUGUUCUAUGUGAAGGACAUGUGCAGCAAACCCAAGAGGAAUCCAGAAGAGACAUGGGAGCCAAAGUGCCACAUAGUUCUUCCAGGUAAAAGAAAAAUCGUGGGAGUCGAGGAUAAAACAGACCAAUCAGAUGAUUAUGAUCAGUUUGAUGGCAUGCCUCCAUUCGCCGUUGAAGUUGAUCCAAGCAUCCUGCUAUCCAAAGAAGAGGCUCCGUACUUACGCCGCGAUCAUGAUCAAGGAACUUUCGUGAAGAAGAAAUUUUACAACGUUGUAUUGUAAUGCGUUAAAUGUACAUGACCUUUGUGUAUUAAUUGAUACAAUUUGUAAUGUACCCUAUGUAUGAUUUCAUGUGUUAUUAAAUUUGUUAGGUGAAGAUUUUUUAGAUAAACAUGAACAUUGUUAACCACAUACUAACAUGGAUUUUUCUGCUGUUGACGUCGGAUUUCGUCAUCAGUAGAAUCGGCGCCAAAGAGGAAAGAAAUCGAAGGAGGACGGAUGGAAAUCGGCCAAAAGGUGUUACAGUGCGGAAUCGGUCAAGUGGCUUUUACUUCGCUUCAGAGUGAAUACGCCGGGUUCCCAAUCGGCAAUCCUUUGCUGAUAAGAAAUCGGCCGAUCAGGAAGGUGGACUAAGGUGGGCCUGUAUGGGCUUGGAAAGAUGGAAGGAUAAGGUGGAGUUCAGCCCAUGAAGCGUGGGGUAAUUAGUUUAGCUCGGAUUGUGCUUGUAGAUAUUUGUUUUCUGUUUAAAUUAGAGAUAGAGUCCUAGUCGGUUAAGAAGAUUAUUUGUACGGGGCUAUAAAUAGCUACCUUUGUAAAUCUGUAAAAAAAAAACAAUCAAUCAAUACAACAAGUUACUUUAUUCUUCGUACUUACUUUCGAGCAGGCGACUUCGCCAUCACUUUUCCUUCUCACGAGUUCGUGCGGGUUGGCAGGGCUGCAUCAUCUUGAUCUCCGGCCGAUUCUGUAAGUUCCGUUUAUCGAGUAAUAUCUAAGCUUUAACUUCCGGCGCAUCGCUGUUGUUUCGUUUAGAUUUUAUUCAUCAGUUAUCGAUAUCGACUAGAUUCAUAGGUUUUUACCUGUUCUCCUAGUUUUUAUCACCAGUUACCCCGCUAGGAAUCGGUAGUAUCGGCUUUCAUUACUUUCUGUUACCAAAUCCAUCUGUUGCCGAUUAGAUCUUUUCCUGGUGCUGUUACUACGUGCCUUGUACCGAUUACUUUAAUAUUUUUCUAUCUACAAGGCUACGGGGGUCGUGCUGUCUUGUAGCCGAUUUCUUUACCACAGUAAAUCGGCCGAUCUGCCGAUAAGCUCUCUCGAUCGGAAACUUAGCCGAUCGUAGUUACUGAUUUUGACACGUGUUCUUCCUUGCCAAUCAACAGGUCAGAUUGGCUGGCACGCCGCGCGAACCGCACCAGGGCAUUCACCCGAACAGGAGCUAAGCAGAUUCUCCCGGGUCGUGUGUCGGCCGCUGGGAUUCGGUUGACCGAUUUCUAGCGCCAACACACUUUUGGCACGCCCGGUGGGACCAUUACAACCGCUGUCUUGUCGAAAGCUGCUGAAGUCUCCGAAGAUAACGUCAUCGAAGUGACGGAGGCAGAUCUAAAGGACGACCAAAAAGAAGAUCUAAAUCAGUAUUUGGAGCAAGUCCGGAAAACUUGCUUGAAAUCCUUCAGUCGUUCCAGGAGCGGGGAAACUGUUAAAAAGUCUCCUUUCCCUACUCCCCGCCAGAUCACGAUUUCAGAAGAUUCGGACAAAAUGUCCGAUAUGAUUCAGCAAUCUCUUCAUCACGCCUUCAUCAACCAAUCCCCGGUACUUUCAAACAUGGUGCACAAUGCUGUUGUCAACUCUUUCGCCGGAGGUAUACCACAGGGGUACAGGGGGCCUACGUAUUUUCAGCCGAUUCCACCAAAUCAGGCUUAUCAGGCUUCACAGCCGAUCCAAUCCUCUGUCGGAGGAUCUGGUGCUUCUACGUCAUCAACUCCUUUGGGAUACGGCUCCACUGCACCACUCCCUCCAGUCAUUCCUUUACCCUGGGGGGCACCCUUAAACACGACCGGUUUGAAUCAAUCGGUCAGCCAAGGAAAUCCUCCGUUCCAGACACCCUCCCAAACGGCCACUCGGCCGAUCAUACCACCAUACCAGCCUAUCGCUCCGGAGGUCAACAAGACGUCAGAGCUCAUGCUAUAUGAUGGAACAAGUGGUUCAUACAAGCAGCCGUCCUUUACUACACCGCCGGCUUAUACUCAGAUACCACCUUUUCAUCAACCUCCUUUUAUUCAACCUCCGAUUUAUCAACAUGUGCCGAUUCCGCCGCCAAUUAUUCCCCAACAACAACCGGAUUGGACGGCGCAAAUCGCGGAGGUAAUGCAAGAACAAUUCGGACUGAAGCCGAAGGUGCAAACUUAUACCUACAGGACACCAUACCCAUCUACGUACGACUUGUUGCCGUUUCCCCAUCGGUACAAAGUCCCGGAUUUCACUAAAUUUUCCGGAAUAUAUGAUACUUCUACCGUGGAACAUGUGAAUAGAUUCAUCAUCCAAUGCGGAGAAGCAGCUACGCAAGAUGCCCUACGGGUACGGUUGUUCUCGUCAUCUUUGUCUGGAUCGGCUUUCCAAUGGUUCACCACUUUGCCACCAAACUCGAUUAUCACAUGGGCCGAUCUAGAGAGGCAGUUCCACAAGUACUUCUAUGCUGGAGUCCACGAAAUGAAGUUGUCUGAUUUAACUAGCCUCCGGCAACGAAGUGAUGAGCCGAUACCCUCGUACAUACAGAGGUUUCGGGAAAUCAGAAACAAAUGCUACUCCUUGGCUCUAACCGAUGCGCAGUUGGCCGAUAUAGCUUUCCAAGGCCUGCUGCCACACAUUAAGGAGAAAUAUGCUUCGCAAGAAUUCGAGAGCCUGAGCCAGAUUGUCCACCGAUUGUCCGGACAAGAGGUGCGUCCAUUCGAUCCAAGAAGGAAUUUCCAGAAGAAAGUGGCGUUCCUGGAAGAAUUAGAGGACGAGGAAGACGCCGACAUCGGACUUGCAGAGUGGAUUAAAGGAAAGAAGCCGAUAUCAUGCCCGUUCGGCAAAAAGGAGCCGGAAGCAUUUGGUUUCGAUACAACUAAAGCUGACAAAAUCUUUGAUCUUCUACUCCAGGAAGGACAAAUUAAACUCUCGCCUUACCACACGAUACCCUCUGCCGAACAAUUGAAGAAGAUGAAGUAUUGCAAGUGGCAUAACGCCACAUCACAUGAUACCAACGCCAUUGAGCAAGGCAGACUCAAAUUUGAAGUGCCGGCAAAACUGGCUAAACCUAUGAAGAUUGAUCAACACCCUUUUCCUACCAACAUGGUGGAUACGGGUAAGAAUCCCCUCCAAACAAAAGUGCUGACGUCCGAAUCGGCAAAAAGGAGCGGCUCUGUCGACCCCAGAAAUCAAGUUACACCCGAAGACAUCAAAGGGAAACGGCGAAUGGAGGACGACGAUGGUGAGUCUGAUAGACCACGUAUUACUUCCCAGUUCCUGCUCCAAAAGUACCAACGCCAACAUGAACGAUCGAGGUCCCGAGAGGAAGCAAUGCGUCGACACGAAGAACACUGGAGAUGCCCAUUCUUCAUCCAUUGUUGGGAAAAUAACCUCAGGCUUCCAUCAGCCGAUACUUGCCCAGAGUGCAACGGUCCCUAUCGAAGCAAUCGGCCGAUUACAAGGUCUCGCUCCAGAGACGGAAGGCCAGAACCGAUCAGCAGGAAUCGGCGCAACCCAGAUGAUCAGCGCCCUUCCAUGCGUGAUCGGCUGGGGGGCAGAAGUGACCGAUAUGAUCGGUCAGAAGAUAGAAGCCAUAAUAGGCAGGGGGGCAGGACCGAUCGACAUGAUCAAUCAAGUAGCAAAGCCAGCGUUCACAGUCGGCUCCAAGACAUGGCCGAUGCUCGGGUAACAGACGAGAACCCGUUAGGACGCGAGCCAGAAUGGGAACGCGCCAGGAAAGAAGGGAGGCCAAUAAACCCCAGAUGGUGUCCCGAUGGUUUGACCAAAUCACAAAAACGAAGAGUCCAACGCCUCCGCCAAUGGGAACAGCAAGAAGAAGAAAGCGCGAUGGACAAGAAGGAAGGGAGGCCUCGGGUAUGGCGCCCCAAAGGAAACGACAAGGGCAACGAUGAAUCGGCGGGUGAUGAAUCGGCAGCCGAAAUCGGUAUGGUUUUCAUAUUGCCGACGGAGUUUAUGACCCCUGCCGAUCAACAGAACGUGUCGGCAAUAGAGGAACAAACAGCACGGUUGGCGUUAGAACCAAUGAUGGCCACGUUCGAAAAGCCCGAAGACGACGAACGACAACAUAUGAAGGCGUUGUUUCUUAAAGGGCAUGUUGACGGUCGCCCCCUCACUAAAUUGAUGGUCGACGGGGGAGCUGCCGUCAACAUCAUGCCGUAUGCCAUACUCCGAAAGCUGGGAAAGAGCGAUGACGACCUAACCAGGACGGACAUGAUGCUCAAGGACUUCGAAGGCAAGGUGUCAAACGCUCGCGGUGCCCUCUGCGUUGACCUCACCAUCGGCAGUAAGACCCUUCCUACCACGUUUUUCGUCAUUAAUGGCAAAGGGUCCUAUAAUAUGCUUCUUGGACGAGACUGGAUACACGCAAACUGCUGCAUACCGUCAACUAUGCAUCAAUGCCUGGUACAAUGGGUCGGCGACAACAUCGAGGUGGUCAAAGCCGACUCCGCGUACAGCAUCGCAGCAGCCGACGCACAGCAAUGGAGCUGCGAAACCGUCAGGUGCAUAUCAGGUAGGGUGUGGGAAACUGAUUUCCUGAAGGUCACCGAUUUUGGCCUACAGCCGAUCCGAGCAGUCGGCUCUGAAGAAGCGCAAUAAAUGGAUCAGUUCGCCCGAGAAGACGGGAAGCUGGGACACGGAUUCACGUCGGCCGAUUCAUUGGAAAUGGUAGAUUUAGGUGACGGGACCAAACCAAGGCCGACUUUUAUUAGUGCAAAUUUAGAUCCAGAGUACAAGUGUAAAUUGACAAAUUUAUUAAGAGAAUUCAAGGAUUGUUUUGCGUGGGAGUAUCACGAGAUGCCCGGAUUAGAUCGAUCUAUUGUUGAACAUCGGCUACCCAUAAAACCAGGGUAUCGGCCGUACCAACAACCCGCACGGCGAUGCAAUCCUAAAAUUUUACCAGACAUAAAAGCCGAAAUAACUCGGCUAAUUGAAGCGAAAUUUAUUCGGCAAUGUCGUUACGCCGAGUGGAUUUCUAAUAUCGUACCGGUGUAUAAGAAAAACGGGAAACUGCGCGUUUGCGUCGAUUUCAGAAAUCUUAAUCAGGCCACACCGAUGGAUGGCUACCCCAUGCCUACGGCCGAUGUACUGAUCGACGCUGCCGCGGGGCACAAAAUUAUUAGCUUCAUGGAUGGGAACGCCGGAUACAAUCAAAUACUUAUGGCCGAAGAGGACAUACCCAAAACGGCUUUCAGAUGUCCAGGCCAUCUUGGUCUAUUCGAGUGGGUGGUGAUGACUUUCGGUUUGAAGAAUGCUGGUGCUACAUAUCAGAGGGCCAUGAACUAUAUUUUCCACAAACUCAUCGGCCUCCUGGUGGAGAUCUACAUCGACGACGUUGUGGUCAAAUCCAAAAGCCACGAGGAACACCUAGCCGAUUUGCGAAGGGUCCUAGAGUGUACCAAGAAACAUGGUCUUAAGAUGAAUCCCAACAAAUGCGCUUUCGGCGUCUCCGCCGGACAGUUCCUAGGAUUCAUGGUGCACGAACGAGGCAUUGAAGUCAAUCAGAAGACCAUAGCGGCCAUCAACAAAGUCGUCGCUCCGCAGAACAAAACUGAACUACAAUCUCUAAUCGGCAAGGUAAACUUCAUCGGAAGGUUUAUAUCUAAUCUAUCUGGACGGAUCCAGACGUUCACACCACUUCUGAAGUUGAAGCCAGACCAAGAAUUUAUUUGGGGAGAAGAACAGCGCAAGGCGUUAGAAGACAUCAAGCGAUACUUAGUCUCGCCCCCAGUCCUGGUUCCCCCCCAAACGGGUAAGCCGUUUAAACUAUAUUUAUCAGCCGAUGAAAAAGCUAUUGGGUCGGCUCUAGUCCAAGAGUUUGAAGGCAAAGAACGGGUGAUUUAUUACGUUAGUAGAAGACUCCUGGAUGCCGAAACAAGAUAUCCUCCAGUAGAGCGUUUGUGUUUGUGUCUUUACUUCUCGUGCACCAAACUCAGACACUAUCUACUGUCGGCAGAAUGUAUAGUCGUAUGCAAAGAUGAUGUAGUGAAAUACAUGCUGUCACUGCCGAUAUUGAAAGGGCGAAUCGGUAAAUGGAUUUUAGCUUUAUCAGAAUUUGACCUACGGUACGAAUCGGCAAAAGCCAUCAAAGGUCAAGUCAUGGCCGAUUUCGUCGCACAGCACUGUGGGCCGGAGAUCGCCUUCGUGGAACUAGCGCCUUGGCAGUUAUUUUUUGAUGGGUCAUCAUGCGGAGUCGGAUCGGGAAUCAGCAUCGUUCUCAUAUCGCCUCGGGGGGCAAGAUACGAUUUUUCUCUGCCGAUAGAAACCGCCACCACAAACAAUCAAGCGUAAUACAGAGCUGUAUUAAAAGGCUUACGAUUAUUGAGAGAAGUCAAGGCCGAUUCUGUCGAGGUCUUCGGAGAUUCGAUGUUAAUCGUGGAUCAACUAACCGGGAAGGCUGAGUGCAAAGAUGACAUAUUACGAAUUCAUCACGAAGAUUGCCUACAGCUGUUAAAAGAAUUCAGAUCGGCAGUAAUCGAGCAUGUCCCAAGAGACCGCAAUGAGGAAGCGAACAAACUCGCUCAACACGCAUCUGGGUAUCGGCCGAUUCUAGGCGCCAUGGCCUUAGAGCUUGCAGCUGACGAUUGGCGCAAAGAAAUUGCCGAUUACCUAAAGGAUCCGUCUAAAAAGGUGGAGCGGCGAGUACGCUUUCACGCUACCAAAUACGUAUUACUCGAAGAUGAUCUGUUUUACCGAACGAUCGAAGGUGUUCUUCUUAAAUGCCUUGGGACAGAAGAAGCCAAGACUCUAAUGGGAGAAAUCCACGAAGGGGUAUGCGGAGCUCACCAAUCAGCACAUAAGAUGAAGUGGAUGAUCAGAAACAAUGGGUACUAUUGGCCUACGAUCCUUGAAGAUUGUUUCAAAUAUUAUAAGGGUUGUCAGGAGUGUCAAAAGUUUGGAAAUGUCCAGCAUGCACCUGCAUCGGCCAUGAAUCCCAUCAUCAAACCAUGGCCGUUCAGAGGGUGGGGAAUAGACCUUAUCGGCCAAAUUUAUCCACCAUCGAGCAAGGGGCACAAGUUUAUUCUGGUCGCCACCGAUUAUUUCACCAAAUGGGUGGAGGCAAUCCCAUUAAGAACUGUGACUUCGGCUAUCAUGGCCGAUUUUGUAAGGGAUCAUAUCGUCUACCGAUUCGGUAUCCCUCAAACUGUAACAACCGAUCAAGGAACGAUGUUCACAUCGGGGGAAUUUGAGGAGUUUACAACCGAUAUGGGCAUCAAAUUGUUAAAUUCUUCUCUGUAUUACGCUCAGGCCAAUGGUCAAGCAGAAUCUUCCAACAAAGGAAUAAUCAAGUUGAUCAAAAGGAAGAUUGAAGAAUACCCGAAGAAGUGGCACCUGUGUUUAACCGAAGCCCUAUGGGCAUACAGAAUGGCCUGUCAUGGGGCCACCAAGUUAUCUCCUUAUCAGUUGGUAUACGGUCACGAUGCAGUACUUCCAUGGGAAUCGAGGGCAGGAUCAAGGCGCAUUUCACUUCAAGACCAGUUAUCGGCCGACGACUACUCGGCACUUAUGAAAGAAGAACUUGAUGAUGUGGCCGGUCAUCGACUAAGGGCUCUGAUAAGUAUCGAAGAGAAUAAAAAGAGAGUGGCCAGGUGGUACGAUAAAAAGGUCAAAGUCAAGCAGUUCUCCCCCGGAGAUUUGGUAUGGAAGUUAGUACUACCGAUCGGGUCGAAAGAUCCUAAAUUCGGUAAAUGGUCUCCUACCUGGGAAGGGCCGUAUAAAAUCGGCAAAUGCUUAUAUCUUGGAAACAAUAGAAGGAGAAGAAUUCACUAGAGCUCUGAAUGGGAGGUAUUUAAAAAGGUAUUACCCAAGUAUAUGGGUCGGUGCCUAAGGAAUUAAACACGAUCAUACAUGACCGAUACGAUUCGGUCUUGAGACACACAUAAAGUCAACCGGAACGGCCGAUUACAUUCAUUCGGUACGGGCGACGGGUUACAUGGCCGACAAAAUGUUUAGUCGCCCUUAGAACAAAAAUACAGCAACUAAUUAUUCUUUUUCUUACGCUCCCUCUCAGCCCGACCUAACUCUAUCAUGAGUCGGAUGUAUUCUUCUUCUAUGGCCUUCAUUGAAAUCUCCGCUUCGACUUGACCGGGGAGAUCUACGGGAGGGCGCGAAGUCCCCACUCCCGCAUCUUCAAGAACGACUUGCCGAGGGAGUGGAUGACUCCUGUCAAUGGGAGGUCGACGGCUGCCAUUCCUCUCCACGAAGUCCAGGAUCAUUCGGGCCUCCGUGGCGAUGUCGUCUUCAAGAUCGCCACAACGAUCGCCCCUGACAGGUGGAGAUUGCUGGUUACUUUCACUCACCACGGAAUCCAAGACUACGCGAGCCUCCGUGGUAAUGUGAUCCUGGAGCUCUUCUCGGUGAGCCGCGAUCAGCAUCUUGUCCUCCGACGUUAAUGGAUCUUCGGAAUGAAUGCACUCAAUGGCGCGCACGAGCUCGGGGCUAAGACGUUGAGGCUGAAACAAAGAAGGGAUGAGGAGGGAUAUUCUCUUCCUUAGGGUCUAAAAAAGAAAGGAAGGUAGAGGUCAAAAAACUUCACCUGGUUAACAGAGGAAGAAGAAGAUGACGAGGCCAUAGCGAAGAAAUUGCACCGAUGAGAAGGGGCAGAAAGGUUGAACCGAGAGCCAAGAUUGAUGUUACCAGGAGUAAGCGCCGAGCUUGGUAUUUAUAAAAGAAUGCGUGGAAAUCUGGUAAAGCUACGUCCCAUCGGUAAUAAGAAGGCAAUAAAUAGAAAGGGCGUCGCGAGGGGCGGUCAAAGAAGGUAGUAAAUGAUUCGUACAAAACGGUCAGUGUUUUACAGAUUACCCAGAAGGGUAUCGAUGGCCGUGAUGGCCCGACGCCGGAUCUGAUCGGCAGAGUCAAGUACCCGUUGGUCUUCUUCCGCCGAUCCAGGAACCUCCGAUGCGCUGCGAUGGAGUCUCAGUGCCUCGUGAGCAAAGCGUUGCCUCUCCCGUGUUAAAUCGGCAAUAACAGAAGGUAGCUCUUCGAGUUUGUUCUCUUCGGCACUGAUUGCCUUGAUCACUUGCUCCAUUUCCUUGGCAAGCUCCGCCCUACGACGCUUGAGACGGUCUAUUUCUCCUAUGAUCGCCGGACGGGAAUCUUCUAGGACAUGGAUACGCCGAUUCGCCUCUUGAGCCUGACGUUUGAAAGCGUCUUCCUCUUCGCGAGCCUUGGUCAGCUUAGCGCGAUCGGCCAUGUGACGAAGGGCUCUGAAGACCGGGAUCCUCAUAGACUCGAUGAAGGCCGCCGGCGCCAGGGCCUCCUCCGCCUCUUCUGGUACUCGUCCGCUGACGUCAUUGAAGAGCUGCCGAAUCGGCGAGGCGUCUUCUACUAAUCGGCCGAUGUCCCCUUGAAGGAGGGAUCGGAUGCUGGAAAGUUUGGCUCGGACGUCGUCAGGAACGGAACUCAAGGCGACUUGGCGAGAAGCAACUUCUUCGUCGUCAGAGAGGGCGACCGCAAAAGAAAAGAGACUGUUGUCGGGGGUAUCCUGUUCCUGAAGAUAAUAAAGAAAAGAAAUGAACCAGCUGUAAGAAAGAGCAAAUCGGCUAAGAUGGAGGCCGAAACAGAAAAAUACCAUUUUGAAGCGAAUCUCCUCAUGUUGCACUUGAGAAGCCGCCAUGCCUUGCUCGGGGGCCUGCGCCAUGGGUUCAUCAGAUGGAGAGGACUCCACGAUAAUUGGCGCAGUGUUUGGACCAGCCUCCUGACAAGAAAUCGGCGAUCGAGGAGCGAUUGAUGUGCCGAUGGCCUGUGUCAGAAGUUUGAAUAAAUACGGUACGUAAAUGCCCAAAGGAAAUCGGUACGAGAAGUUCUAUACAUUAACGGAAGGAAACGGGGGCACGUCAAUAGCUGGAGGGGCUGCUGCCGAUUGUGGUACUUCUGUAGGGAUGCUCUGUGCAGUUUAAAGAUAAAAGAAAAAUUAAUAUCAAAAAUAAUAAUCGGAGACAGCGCAACUCAGUUUUACCUGUAUGGCCUCCAACAACAACGAUGCGGCGGCCGCCCCAGCUUGCGUCAUGGUUUGAGUAUCGGCACCUUGAAUGACUUGAGGAGGUGGUACGGCCGAAGUGUCUGCCGAUACGCUCACGGGAGGAUCCGCCGAUCCCGUACGAGCCCGGACUCGGCGACUGGUCUUCUUGGUAGUCCUUUUAUGAACUUGUUUCGAUCGGCCAGUAAUCACGUCAACAGACGGGGCGUUAUAGCCGAUAAGGGGAUAAGUAGUGUAUGGAUGACUCUCUAUCAGUCGUCCGCUGCGGCUGUGUGUUGGAGGGAUCCGAUUCUCGGCCUAAAAUAAUAAAAUCAUUAGUACUCGGUCGUGUUAAGGGGAAUAAAAGGGAAUAAAAAUCGGCUAUGUGAAGUACCUCGGCGUUUGGAUCAAUGUUGGUCGGGUCCAGAAGAUUGCAGUAUGCCGAUGCUGAGUUGCAGAAGAGGAAUUGCUUCCAAUCAGCCCACCAUAGUUUGAACGGCUGAACAGCAAAUGGAGCUACUAGCCAGUCGUUCAAGUUAAUUGUACUGGAGUCUGGAAUUCGGUCUCGCAACCGACCGUAAUCUAGGCUAGAUUUGAGAUCAUCUCUAAACUUGAUUUUGCCAGCAAAGUACACCUGAAUCGGCAGCUGACCCAUGCCAAAUUGUCGUGCCGCAGCAGAAGGGUUGUAGAAUUCAUACGUAGGGGCAUCCUUCCCUGAGAAGAAAUUGGCCGGUAGGAUCCCUGGCUUGAUCAACCCUUCAUAGAGAUCUUCAUCAAACCGGCCAGAAGUUGAGUCAAAGCAGGAAGGGAGCUCGAAGAUGGGAAUGUCUCGCUGGUAUGGAAACCAGAUAGUUGCGUCCUCAUUAAAUCCAUCGUAAAAGCACCGAAAGUACUCGGCUACCUUUGUAGCGGAAUACGCACAACCUGGAAAAGCUGAUGCCGCUUCACCAUAAGACAUGCAUCGGCGACGCUCGGUAGGGUCUUCCGCCGAUUCAAUAUUGGGAAACGUCAUGUGGUCCACUGGCUGCCGGGUGAUCCUGUUCAUGUAAAGGUUCAACCAUAGAUUGACGAACCACCAAGGCCCACCUGGGUUGCCGAUUGGUUCUCCCUUGGAAAGUUUUGUGCCGAUUUGGUGGAGCAUGUGGUACACAGCACCCAGAAGAUGUUUCCCGAGAGGAAUGUGGCUUCCUUUGGACAGUGCCUCGGCUAAAGAUUGGGUGUUGGUUGUUGGGCCGGCGGCUCUUCCACAGAAAAGGUGUUUUUCUAGCCACAUCAUCAGGAAAGCGGUGUGCUCCCUAUUAUCAAUAGUACCGGUCUUCUUGUUAUUACUAAUAAAGCCCUUCCAGCUGCCGAUUCCUCUUACGUCCAGCCGAUGCGACGGUACGGUCAGAAGUUGGAAAGGCGUGUCAGGAGAGGAUAUGUCCAGGCCGGUCAAGAGGACCACAUCGGCCAGAGUGGGGGUCAUAGGACCGUGUCCAAAUAAGAAUGCAUUAAGAGCGUCAGACCAAAAAUAGGAAGCCGCCAUCACUAGCGGUUCGUUUUUCUCCAUUUGCGACAGAGAGAGGUUGAUACAUUGGCCGAUUUUGAGUUCAUCCCACAAGACGCUCUUUGACGUGGCCAUCCGUUGGUACCAUUCCCUCCAACCGGGGGUUUCAUUCGGCCAAGAUCUAAAAGUGCUGGCCCAUUGAUCUAAGUUCAUGUCAGAUCGUUUGAAAGGUAUCCGGUCAGUUUCCAAGUUUAUGAGGUCUGCUGGAUCUGGGUCUCCCAUGGGACCAAGGCAAACAAGGCCAGGACUACCCGUGAGAUGGAUAGUGAUUCUAUGUCUAACCGCCUAAAUGAGGAAAAGAGGCAUAAGAAUAUAAGGAAUAGAUCUAAGAUAAAUACGUUACCGAUAGAGGAAAAAUUCGGUGUUUACCUCCGGUAUAAAAUUCUGAGUAAUCGGUGUGGUCGCCGAUGCAGAUGCAGAUGAUGAAGCCGUAAUGGGGAUCGCCAUUGGGAUCUCUGAUGAAGCUCCUUCAUCUAUGGAUGGAGUGACGGUUGUUGCCACCGUUACCGGAGGUGCUACCUCCACCGGGGGCAUUGUCCCUGGAGCAUCGCGUGCUGGGGAAUUACCGGAGGGAGUCGCCAUUGAAGGGGAGGGGAAGAAGUGACAGGAGCUGGAGCUGGAAGGCUUCGAUGGCAAGAUUGAAGAAGGAAGGAAGUGCGCGCGCUGGAAAGAGGGAUGUGAGCUUGAAGAUGAGUUGCGGUGAAAUGAUAUUUAUAGGGUGCCUGAAGAAAGGGUAAAGAUGGAAUUUUCAACGCGCCGGCGCGUCGAGUUUUUCGGGGUAGUGGCUGUCGUGGGCGCCCGUUUCAAAAAAUUGCAAUGAUCAGCCGGGAGACCGCGAAACGGAAGGAUAUUUUCACUGCGGCCGUUUCGGAAGAGAGGUUAUAAAGAAUUUCGAAGUAAAAGGCUAUGUUUUACUCCGAAACUGGGGGGCAUGUGUUGACGCCGGAUUUCGUCAUCAGUAGAAUCGGCGCCAAAGAGGAAAGAAAUCGAAGGAGGACGGAUGGAAAUCGGCCAAAAGGUGCUACAGCGCGGAAUCGGUCAAGUGGCUUUUACUUUGCUUCAGAGUGAAUACGCCGGGUUCCCAAUCGGCAAUCCUUUGCUGAUAAGAAAUCGGCCGAUCAGGAAGGUGGACUAAGGUGGGCCUGUAUGGGCUUGGAAAGAUGGAAGGAUAAGGUGGAGUUCAGCCCAUGAAGCGUGGGGUAAUUAGUUUAGCUCGGAUUGUGCUUGUAGAUAUUUGUUUUCUGUUUAAAUUAGAGAUAGAGUCCUAGUCGGUUAAGAAGAUUAUUUGUACGGGGCUAUAAAUAGCUACCUUUGUAAAUCUGUAAAAAAAAAAAACAAUCAAUCAAUACAACAAGUUACUUUAUUCUUCGUACUUACUUUCGAGCAGGCGACUUCGCCAUCACUUUUCCUUCUCACGAGUUCGUGCGGGUUGGCAGGGCUGCAUCAUCUUGAUCUCCGGCCGAUUCUGUAAGUUCCGUUUAUCGAGUAAUAUCUAAGCUUUAACUUCCGGCGCAUCGCUGUUGUUUCGUUUAGAUUUUAUUCAUCAGUUAUCGAUAUCGACUAGAUUCAUAGGUUUUUACCUGUUCUCCUAGUUUUUAUCACCAGUUACCCCGCUAGGAAUCGGUAGUAUCGGCUUUCAUUACUUUCUGUUACCAAAUCCAUCUGUUGCCGAUUAGAUCUUUUCCUGGUGCUGUUACUACGUGCCUUGUACCGAUUACUUUAAUAUUUUUCUAUCUACAAGGCUACGGGGGUCGUGCUGUCUUGUAGCCGAUUUCUUUACCACAGUAAAUCGGCCGAUCUGCCGAUAAGCUCUCUCGAUCGGAAACUUAGCCGAUCGUAGUUACUGAUUUUGACACGUGUUCUUCCUUGCCAAUCAACAGGUCAGAUUGGCUGGCACGCCGUGCGAACCGCACCAGGGCAUUCACCCGAACAGGAGCUAAGCAGAUUCUCCCGGGUCGUGUGUCGGCCGCUGGGAUUCGGUUGACCGAUUUCUAGCGCCAACAUCUGCGCAUUCAAAUAAUUUAAUUGAAUAAUUUCUUGAUCACAGCAAUGCAGUAAAAUAAAUAUUUUACAGGCUAAAUGAGUUGGUAUAGAAUUAAUGAUUACUUCAUACUUAUUGUCAAUUUACUCGUUAAUUAAAUAUAUUUUUGCAUGUACAAAAUCUGUGAAGGUUUUGUUUUUCAUCCUGAAAUGCAGUGAAAAGGUAAAAUAAAAUCCAUUUCCAAAAAACAGGCGGGAGAAGAAAAAUAGGAAAAAAGACCUUUUGUCUCGGGGCUAACAGCAACCGGGACAAAAGGCCCCCCUUUUAUCCUGGUUGCCAACGGCAACCGGGAUAAAAGGGUACGUUUCGUCUCCCGCCCAAACGUACCCUUUUAUCCCGGUUGCCAACUGCAGCAGGGAUAAAAGGGUACACUCCCAGCCCCACCUGGCGGGGGUACCCUUUUGUCCCGGGUCCCGUCGCCAACCGGGAUAAAAGGGGGGGGGCCUUUUAUCCCGGUUGGUGNNNNNNNNNNNNNNNNNNNNNNNNNNNNNNNNNNNNNNNNNNNNNNNNNNNNNNNNNNNNNNNNNNNNNNNNNNNNNNNNNNNNNNNNNNNNNNNNNNNNGACGAGACGACGACGCGAGACGACGACGGCCGAGGCGAAGACGACGACGGCGGCGUAGGCGGGACGGCGACGAGACGGCGACGAGGGGCGACGAGGAUGGAGCCGGCGACGAGGAUGUGGAGCCGGUGGCCGGAGGCGACGAGGUGGCCGGGGGCCGGGCGCGUCGACGGACGAGGAGGGGAUCGAGGAGGGCCGGCCGGGGGACGACGACGGCGCAAUGGGGGACAUCGACGGCGCAAUGGGGGACGACGACGGCGGCGGCCGGUGAGGGAGGCGGACGGGCGGCGACGGCGGAGAACGCGCGGGACUUGCGAAAUUUUGGCUAAGUGUGUAACUGGCAGGGGGUAGAAGGGAGUACAGUGCCUUUUAACCCCCCCCUUUUAUCCCGGUUCGUAAUAGGACCCGGGACAAAAGGCUCUUUUGUCCCGGGUCCUAUUACGAACCGGGAUAAAAGGGGGGGGUUAAAAGGCACUGUACUCCCUUCUACCCCCUGCCAGUUACACACUUAGCCAAAAUUUCGCAAGUCCCGCGCGUUCUCCGCCGUCGCCGCCCGUCCGCCUCCCUCACCGGCCGCCGCCGUCGUCGUCCCCCAUUGCGCCGUCGAUGUCCCCCAUUGCGCCGUCGUCGUCCCCCGGCCGGCCCUCCUCGAUCCCCUCCUCGUCCGUCGACGCGCCCGGCCCCCGGCCACCUCGUCGCCUCCGGCCACCGGCUCCACAUCCUCGUCGCCGGCUCCAUCCUCGUCGCCCCUCGUCGCCGUCUCGUCGCCGUCCCGCCUACGCCGCCGUCGUCGUCUUCGCCUCGGCCGUCGUCGUCCCGCCGUCGUCGUCUUCGUCCUCGUCGCCGUCCCGCGCGCCGCCCGGCCGCCGCCGUCCCGCCGCCCCGGCCGCCGCCGUCCCGCCACCCCGGCCGCCGCCGUCCCGCCGCCCCGGCCGCCGCCGUCCCGCCGACCCGGCCGCCGCCGACCCGCCGACCCGGCCGCCGCCGUCCCGCCGUCCCGCCGUCCCGGCCGUCGGCCCGCGCGGGAGAGGUCCGCUGCCGCGCCGGCCGGCAGCGCCGGGAGGGUUUUCUUUUUAAGUUAAUUAGAAAAUUAAGUUUUAUUUUUAGAUAGAAUUGUAAUUUUGUUAAGUUAGAUUUUUAGAUUUCUAGUUAGUUUGUUAAGUUAGAUUUCUAGUUAGUUUUUUAAGUUAGAGUUGAUAUAGAGAUCGCCGAGUAGCCGCCGUGAUCGUCGCCUUGUAGCCGCCGUGAUCGCCGCCGAGUAGCCGCCGUGAUCGCCGCCAUCCCGCCGCCCAUCACAACCUAGUAGGCACCGCCCGUGGUUCCGGUGAACCGUCCCCGCCGUACCGCCGCCCUGACCGCCGCCGUCCCGCCUCCGCCGCCCUGAUCGCCGCCGUCCCGCCUCCGCCGCCCUGAUCGCCGCCGUCACAACCUAGGCACCGCACGUGGAUAUUGUUACAAAUUCGUAGAAAUUCGUCAAAAUUCGUAGAAAUUCGUCAAAAUUCGUAGAAAUUCGUAGAAAUUUGUAGAAAUUCAUAGAAAUUCGUAGAAAUUCGUAGAAAUUUGUAGAAAUUCGUAGAAAUUCAUAGAAAUUCGUAGAAAUUCAUAGAAAUUUGUUGAAAUUCGUCAAAAUUCAUAGAAAUAUUUCGGACUUUGUACGAUUCAUGUUAUUUUAUGAUUUCAUUAUAUACAUGUAUGAUUCCAUUCCGGACUUUGUACAAAUUUGUAUUAAGACGAUUUCUAUGACUGUCAUGUAUGAUUCCAUGUAUGUUUCCAUCAAUAGUUGAAAUGGCAGACGAUGAGACCGCAAGGUAUAUCAUGGAGCAGAUAAUCGCUGGUGAUGGUAGUGGCGACAACGUUCCACUAUCAUACACGUAUGAAGAGGGCACCCAGGCGGACAUGUUCCUCAACAUGUCCGCUGAUGGGAAUGAAGAGCAACAGCCGCAACAACAACUUGCCGUGGCGGAAGGUUCCGGCGAGGUAUAUACAACCAUUCUUGUAUUGUUUCACGCCACCGCUACUACUACGUACUAAUUAACGAAUCUUGAACUGUUAGCCCUCCGGAUCGACACAAGGGCAGAAGACCUGAGGUCGUACAAAGGUGAUGGAAGGGAGGCUUGUCAUCACCGAAGUUACAGAAGAGGGCAAGCCGGUUGCUCCCGAGAAAGUAGCAAAGAAGUACGUGAGUCAAAUCGGGGCAAUCGUUCGGGACAACGUGCCUAUCAGCAUCAGAGAAUGGAAGGGCAGAAGAGAUAAUCCGUACGCCCUUCCAGAGAUAGAAAAGAAUAUGCUGUGGGAAGACGUGAAGAGACAUUUCACAUUCCCCGAAGGAUAUAGCGAGAAGGAUGUCAAAGCGUGGACGCUUAAGAAGAUGGCUACUCAAUUCCAGACAUUCAAGAAGAUGCUGGACACCCACUACAUCAAGAAGGGCAAAACUCCAGACUUCAACGCGUGGCCAAAGUUGAGGGACCACUGGGAUGCAUUUGUUGAAUACAAGAGGAGUGAAGAAGGUGUGAAAAAGAUCACGACCAACAUAGCAAAUGCUAGUCAGAAGGGCUACCACCAUCAUUUGGGGUGAGGUGGGUAUGGCUCAGCAAUUCCCAAGUGGAGGAAGAUGGAACAAGAUCUGAUCGAACGGGGAAUCGUACCUGCAACUAUUGAAUGGCCCGAACGAUCAAAGAACUGGUACUACGCUCAUGGAGGCUCCCUAAGCCAAGAGGAUGGGACGCUGAUUUUCAAUGACACAAUACGUGAGAAGGCCGAACAUCUCAUGAAGAACAUUGAAGAUUCCAAGGCUGGGAGGUUGAGGGUGGACCAAGAAAAUGAUGAGCUCACAUUGGCCCUCGGUAAUCCAGAGCACCCAGGACGUUGCCGGGGGUUCGGGGUGGUUCCGUGGAAGUUCGCUUUCCGAGGCGACAGCGCCUCUUACAGAAGCCGGAAGCGAAGAAAGGAACAGAUGGAGGAGAGCUGGUAGCAGAUGGUAGAACAAAGAAUGAUGGAUGAAAUCAAUCGGCGGGUGGCCGACGCAGUUGCGGAGUUGGCGCAAUCUGGAGCAAUGCCGAAUCCUAACACCGCCAGCCCUUCUCAACGCCUCGGGAGCAGUUGUGCUUCUACAGGGGUCCCCGAUGCGCAGACGCCCAGGUUACCCGUGGAGGAGCAAUGGUUCCCCGUGGAUGCCAUCACGCAACGGACCUCAUGUAAGCUGCAUGCACCGGUCGGCAACCUCACUAUUAAGGUAUACUUAUACAUAAUAUUUAUGCAAUCUUGUCAAUUGAUCCAGGCCUCGAGAUCGGAGUUCAACCUGUUUACUUCUACUAUAUGUACAGGUAGCGUACGGGAGUGUGUUACCAACCCUGGCAGGGCAGAGCAGUCAUGGCAUGGACAUUCCAACAGGCUACGCCAGCGUCUGCGUCGAGCAAAUAGUUGAUCCCCAGUAUGAAGGUCUAGAGCUCGACUUCCCGGGAGGCGACGGGGAAAAGACAUUGGCAGAUGCGCUUCAUGGGAUCAUUCUAUGGAAGAAACGCUACAUCAUUAUUCCCCGCACGGAGCCAUCUCCUCAGACCUCAAGACCACUCCCCGUAGAUCCCCAGCAGCGACCUUCUCCUCAUACCUCGAGACCGGCAUCUCCUGCUCCAGGACCGUCUCUUCCAUCUAUAUCAAGGUCUCCAUCUCCACCACAUCCUGGUGCUGGGAGCGACGACGACAAUAACAACACCCCUCCCCGAUCACCGUCACCGGCACCAAGAGCGGCCCCCUCGAAGGAACCUGCAGCACCACUCAAGAAGUCACGAGCACCGCCUCCCAAGCAAAGACAGAGAAAGAAGAAAACAAAGGUCGACCCUGAAGUGGCUCGCAAGGAACGCUUUGAGGCAAUGUCUCAUGAAGAACAGUGGGCAGAAAUCCAACGAGAGGCCAGUGAGUGGUUCAAGAAACAAGCCGAAUUAAAAAAGGCAAGGGAGAUGGAGCCACCGUCAGUAAGUCGGCGAGAUUUAAACUUUUUUAUCAGGAUGGAGGAAGAAGCCAAGAAAAGGAUACCACUCUUGUCAAACUAUGAACGGGCUCUAGUAAAGGCUGAUGAAAAGGAUAAAAGGAAAGGAAAAUCAUCCUCCAGCAGUCCAGUCCCCGACCUCAGCCAUUUAUCAAAAAAAGAUGCUCAACGGGUAAAAGCAAUGCCCUUGGAUCAACAAGCAAAUAUAUUGAAGUUCAUGGAAGAAACAGGUCUGGGACUUGAUGAAUGCAUAGGGCAAGUCGAGACGCCAACUGCACCGCCCCCUGAGCCGAAGUGGACUUAUGAGCUAGGCAAACCUCUAGUAAAGCCUUCAAUGGUACGGAAGCUAUCAACAAAGAUGUACGAAUUCCAUCAAUGGUCGGCAUGAAGGUAAAACCGAUAGAUUUUCACGGUGAAGGGGAGAAAGUGCUGUGGCUAGACUUCAAGGAUAUAUACGAAGUGUACCAUCAUGAUGCCCUGGACGUCUCUCUGAUCAGCGCUUGGAUUCUGUAAGUGUCCGUUUAUUAUCUCUACAUGUAAAUUUUGGCGUGCGUCACCGUACUAACUUCAUCUUCCAUUUCAUGUAGGAUGCUAAUUCAGACAUGCCGCCGAGAGGCGUACCUACAUGUAGGCUUCAUGGAUCCAUCUGUAGUUAACCAACAACAGAUACAAUUAGCGCCGGAAAAAACCUUUGCGGAAAUAUACAAUUUCCUACACAAACAAACAUUCAAGGAUUUCAUACUACUUCCAUACAACUUCAAGUAAGUGUGUGUAUACCGUCUACUUUCGAUGUCUUUUUCCUUAUCUCUACAUGUUAGUUAGCUCUAAUAUGCAUGAACAUUUUACGCACGCAGCUUCCACUGGAUCCUUAUUAUAAUUGAGCCUGAAAGAAGCCACGUCACUGUCUUAGAUUCGUUAAGGAAAGAUCCGAUGGACUACCAAGAAUUGCAAGACAUGCUAGGCUUGUAAUAAUUCUGGACCUUUAUCUCUAUGCAAAAAUUUAUUUCCUAAAUUUUAUCCCUGUUACACUAUGUCAUUCAUUAUUCUAAUCCGCAGCGCAUGGAAACAAUUCAUAAGGACACACAAAGGUCCAUUCAAAGAAAAUCUUACAUGGAACACAGACUUCCCGGUACGUAUGCAGUCUGCACAUUUAUUACAUUGUAUAACACAAAUAUUUCAUAACUUAUUUUUUUCCGCACUGAAGUGCUUAAGACAGGAACCCGGGAAUAAUCUAUGUGGCUACUACAUCUGUGAGCACAUGCACAGUUUUUUGGGACCCAAGGGACCGAAGAUGACGCCGCACAACUUUAAAGUACGUAAAAUAACUAUAUUACUAGUUAAUUAUUUUCUAGCUCCUUAUAUGUAUUUGUUCAUGUAACAUUCACAAAUUUCCAAAUUAUAGAUGUUAAAUAUUCAACAAGGACUCUUGAAGGAAGAAAGAGUAGCGGCAAUAUGUGAAGGUCUCAUUGGAUUCAUAAUGGACGAGGUGGUGGACGAGGUGGUAAAUCCAAGAGGAGAAUUUUAUUACGAUGGACGACAAUUAGACACUCCGAUCAGCAACACCACGAUGGAUACUUUGAUUUAUUUGUAUAUAUAAUACGCGCUAAUUAUGAUCGAUUUGUACUAAGCUAGUUGAAUUGUGUAUAUGAAUUGUGUAUAAGGAUUGUGUAUAUAUAUAGUAAUUGUAUAAUUACAAAUCCCAUUCGUUUAAAUACUAGUUGAUUUCGUUCUAAAAAAAUCUCAACUACAAGGUUAACAAAUUAAAAGGGCUGCGGUACUACUAUACGUAUACGUGAUGCAUGCAUGAAAAAUUCAGACGUCACGGCUGUGCCAUGCAAGCGCCAUUUAGUCCCGGUUGGAAUCGAGCCGGGACUAAAGGGGACCCCUUUAGUCCCGGUUGGGAAAUCCAACCAGGACUAAAGGGGGACCUUUACUCCCGGUUAAAAGACCCGGGAGUAAAGACCCCCCCCUUUUGUCCCGGUUGGUUUAUCCCGGAUGGAUAUCCGAGAGAUAUGCACCCUACCAACCGGGACUAAAGGCCAAUUCUCUACCAGUGUAGACCAAACAUGAUACACACCAUGCGUACCUUGCUGUGCAGACUAUGCAUUGACAAGAUACCCGACCACAUGUUGGCCUCGGUCACAUCAAAAGAAUCAUGUAGGCCACCAAUAAACUACUUGAAGCGGCAUUCCGUAUCGUAUAUGCAUUGCCGGUUCAUCUGCAUUACAUUACAUAAAGCACUAUUAACUAUUUGAAUAAAAUGAACCAAUUUAAAAGUAAUGUGUUGUACUCUACUAUAGAAAGCCCUAUCACUGCCGGAUCCAAAAACAUCAUUGUUAAUGGUGGUUAAGUACCAAAUAUGAUGGUCAAUAUUCUCAAGAAUAAUGGAGAAUUAGCAUUUCUUAGACACAUAUUUGGUUUUGAACAAUGUAGUUCCACAUGUCUUUGGAGAUUAUUUGGGUGUGGGUGAAAUAAUACAAAAAUAAGGAGAAAACACACUCCCAUGGCAAAGAAACACAACUCCAACCAAUGAGAGAUAGCCACAGGGGCAGCACACGGAUCCAUGGGCCCACAAACCGCAUCAAACCGUCUUACCAAGGCAGGUAGCACCCACAACCGUCAUUAGGACCCACCUGGAAGUCUACCAAGAAGAAGGUUGCGAGUGGGGCCAGGAGGGGUUCGGUUGAAUCAUCUCUAGCUAGCUCCCCUCAUCCCCAGCUGGUGGGUGGUGGUGGUUGAUGGUGUCCCUACAUCGGUUAGAGGAGAUUCCCCCAAAUAUUCCUCCUGUAAACCACCUCUAUGGACCUAUACAUAGAGGGGUGUGCUCUCCAUUCCAACACACACCACAAGUUGAAUCACUGUCUCCCUCUUUAGUUUCCAAGUUUAUGGAGUUAGGCUAGAGUAGCUCUGCUCAAGGUUCCAAGUCCACUUGGAGUUAAGCAUAUGUCUCUUGUAUCGUUAUUUCCUAAAUUGACUUUAUGCUUAGUUCUUAUAUGCAUGAGUUAGUCUAAUACCCUUGCUCUAUUGAUAUGCUCGACUUAUAUGCUCGUAUGCUAGUCAUAUACCCUUGCUGUCGUAGUAUAGGCUUAUAUGCUCUCAUGUGUGCCUGUAGACCUUGCUAUAGUAUAUACUUGUUGUGUAUACAUACCAUGUAUAGGCUAGUCGAUCUAUACCAUGGCAUUGGUUCAAUAGCCAUGUUUUUGGUGGCUCCAGCCCUAGUCACAAUAGCUCGGGACAGCUGGAGUGUUGUUAAAAAUGCAAGAGUGGUGCUUGGGUUGUUUAGCAUCGUUGGAUAUGGGUUUGCCCCACAGGUUUCUAACGGUAGGCGACAGCUAGUGACAUCCCUGUCCGUCCUUCGUAAUCCCCCCACAUUCAGGUACGCCAUAAAUGUUCGUAAAUUAGCAGUAACUACGCCGGUACACCCAUAGGGUAUUGUCUCCCUGUAGUACCUUGGUGCAUAGAACUAAGUCCUAUACACUGUGUGUGUAUGUUUACGCUGAUAUGAUCUGUGCAGUAUAUAGGAUGUAUAUAUGAACCUAGAGCUAACUCCUAGUCCGUUCUCCAUAGCUUAGUUAUCUUGAGAUGAUUCUUUUGUAUGUGUAACACUACCCAUCUUAUCAUUAUCCUUGCUCCUGUCUUGUGUAAUAUAUCUACUCAUCCUAUGAUAUACUCAUAUGCAUAGUAAACUAUUUUGACCUACCCGCCUUCCUUUGGGAAAUAUGAUACCCUGGAAUAAUCCUAGGUGAAAUCCUACAACGGUAUAUCCAUGUGCUUGCGGAUUUAUUCAUGACCAUUAAAUAUACCAACAAUCAUCACUGCCGGUUAUGGGCGUCGUUAGUGAAGGGUUGGUAGUGAUGGGCAUCCCCUUCACCAAUGGACCUGGAACCGGCGGUGAUGGCUGUUAUAAAAAAGGGGACACCACCCAGCGUACCCCGCGACCCGGCUGGCCGCACCUCCCAUCAUCCCCGCCAGCCGCCCUUCCUUUUCGCCGGCCGAGCAUGGUCCUGGCCUUUGUCCCUACCGCCUCGCCUCCACCGCGACCCCCCGCCGAUGCCCUCAUGCCUGGCCCCCCUCAUCUUGCCGGCCACCCUCCCGAUGCGUCCACUAGGGCCCUCACACCACCAACCGCCCUUGCCUAGAGAGGGAGAGAGAGGAGGGAGGUGAGGCCACGCACCUCGUCCUACACCGCCGCUGUUUCUCCUCGGCCCACCGCGCCUCACCCCACACCACAGCCGCGCCUUGCCAUCUUACCGGCUGCGACGCCUCAUCUCACCGGCCACCGUUCCUCACCCCCACUUCGGUCGUCGCCGCUCCUUGCCCUACUGCUGCUCUUUGCCGCUGCGACUGAGCGGCGAGUGGAGGAGGAGGGACGGGGCAGGAGGAGGGCAAGAUCCGGGAGGAAGGGAGAGAUCUUGGGAGGUGGAGAUGGAAGGAUAUGGCGGAAGGGAGAGAUCCAGAGGGAGAGAGCAGGGGAGAGAGGGGGGCAUGUGGGGAGAGAGUGCGUGUGGGGUGGGGCCAGGCUGGUGGGAUGGAAGGGAGAGGGGCUAGACGGGCGCAGUGCAUUCAACUGGAUGAAGUAAAUAUUUCGGAUUCGAGACCCCAGCUUUAUUAUCACCGCUGGUCCGUAGUACCAUCCGGUGCCUGCUCGUAAUUUAAUUUGAAUCUGCGGUGAUGUUUUAUUAUCACCAUCGGAUCAUAUAAAAAAUCCGGCGGUUAAAAAUCCGCUGGUUUCGAUGAAAACCGACGGUGAUAGGAUGACUGUGAUAGUCUCUUCUCUAGUAGUGGUAUAUUAGUACCGGCUGCCAGACGGUGUUGCCGACCAGUACUUCUCCGGAGGCGAUUCAGUACUGCUGUUAGCAAAGCUUGUUCUCUAUGAAUCUGGGGAUGGAAAGCUAGUUCUCUAGUUGUGAUUUGUUACAUAUAUAUCUAUGAUAGUCUAGAAAUUGCAUGUCCUUCGUUGACAUAGUUGAAGCUGCGCGCUUCAAGAAUUUACUUCGUGCAGUCGUGCAGCAUAUUGGAUUAUCACCUAGACAGGAUACAUAGGUGAAGCAUUGGAUGUGAUUGUGGCCGAUAAUUAUGCAGGACGCUGUUGCAAUCAACCACCAAGAAGUCUGGAGUGAUGGGGUUGCCUCAUCAAUAAUUUUUAUAUAUGGCUGCAGUAUUAUUAAGCCCACGUCAAUAAUUUUUUCUCCGCACCAUAUAUCGAUGGGGUUGCCUCAUCAAUAAUUCGCGCAACCAGACAAGCUGCAGACUCAAUAUGGUACGAAGCUAGUUGCUCAGCCCACAUGCUCUGAUAUAACAUUGACAUCUGCUGAUCUACAGUAUAUAUGACCAGAAAUAUUGUGCCCACCUCAAUAACUUUCUGAAGUAUCGUGGGGAAGAACCUACUCGUACUAUGCCUCGGAACUAACUGACAUAUCGGCCUAGGCGGUCUAGGCCGAUUGGACUGGCUCUUCCUUGUGGCUUCUCACGUCCCCUUCGUCCCCAAGUAAUUUCAGGUGUUCUGCAGUUUCCUUUUCACUUGCAUCUGAGCCUCAUAUAUCAAUAGCUUCGGGAUAAGAAUGCCUCUUGAUAACCUUCCAAAUCCUCGCUUGAUUCACAUUGAUUCCGAAAUCAUCUUGCCAUAUCUUCAGAGACUUAGGUCCUAAGGCAUCAUGGAGGAUUGCUCGCCAGGAAUGAGCACCAUUGGGCUCCUGAGGACCCUAGGCCGAUCAGCCCGGGCUCUAUAGGUCGAUUGGCCCAGGCCCUCUCUGGGCCCGUUGGCCUUCAUCUUUCUCUGAGUCGACGCUUAUUCAGGGCUUUGUCCAAUUAUAGUCUAUUAUAGUCUAAUUUCCUACAAAAACAGAAUGUCCUCCAAAAUACAAUGCAUAUGUGAAAACAGCCCAAUUAUUAGGUAUGAUCAAUAGUUUAGGUAUAUAAAUUAAUAUUAUUAUUUAAGAUAAACAGGGGUAAAGGGUGUCAUUAAUAACAAGCGCCAACAAGCGUCCUGGCUGUUCAAUAAAUUUUUUCUAGUACCGAUUGGUAACACUAACCGGUGCUAAUAUGUACCCUUUAGUACCGGUUAUUUUACCAGGUACUAAAGGAGACAAGAGCAUCCUAACAUAAGGUUAAUAUCAUCCAUUUCAUGAGUAAAAUACUAUGAUUCAAAAAUAAUUCAAAUCCCUUAAGACAAUACCUAUCAAAUGAGUAAAUUGUAAAUAGAGUAAUCUUGAUCAAACAAUGUCCUAAUGAAACGGAACACUUCUGGUUCGUGUAGAGCACAAUAUAGAAAACAGUAGGGUAGCUGUACGAUUGACACGUGGUCCAUUAAUUCUUGAGCCAACACUAUGGACAUGUCUUCAUGAGUAGUGUACUAGUCAUGAUACAUGGUAUGCAGUAGGUGGAGGUAUUGACUUAGCCAUGCUAUGAGCACUUAGUUACAACAAACACUUUGCCAUUAUCGAGCAUCCCAAAUCACUACAAAAUCCAUAGUUUACCAUAUACUACAAAAUCUGAGUUAAAAUAAGAGCAUACACGGAAGAGUCCGAAUGCACCGGCACAUUGAAUUACUAGACAAAAAUUAUGGGACAAGGUUUUGGGUAACCGCAUGAAAAAUAUUGGAUUUUACUGAACACUUAGUUACAAUUACCAUGCCGUGAGCACUUAGUCACCACAAACAUUUAACCACUUUAGAUCAUCCUGAAUCCCUAUAAAUUCUAUACCUUACACCGUACCAUGAAAACGACAAGAACAGAGACAGAUGCGGUGAAAAUCUCCAGAGCAAGCCUGAAAUUAAAAUAAGAGGAGGCAGUCACUAUCGACAGGACACGGAGAUUGCUAGCCAUGACAGAGGAAGACAUGAUAUGAUAUUCACCUCUGAAAUGCAGCGUAGACUAAAUGAAGCACAAUUGCAAGUGAGUGUGGCAGAUAAUGGACCAUCGAGACCAUCGAUUGGUAUGAAGCAUGAUUAUCACCUAGACAUGAUAUCCUAGACAGGACGGUGAAUUGUAAAAAGAGUAAUCUUGAUCAAAGAAUGUCCUAAUGAAACGGAACAUUUUUGGUACGUGUAGAGCACAAUAUAGAAAACAGUAGAGUAGUUGUACGAUUGAACUGCAUCCAUCGACGUGGUGCAUGAAUUGUUGAGCCAACACUGGGGACAUGUCUUCAUGAACACCAUCUAGUGAGGACAGCAUGCAGAAAAAUAUCAAAACAUGUCAUAGGGAGGCAGACCAAUCUUGCGAGGUAGACGAAACGUGAUACACGAUCUGCCUACCUUGUCGUGGAUACCCCAAGUGAAGAUGUCAUAGAGGUGCAGACCAAGCUAGCAAGGAGGUAGAUGAAACGUGAUACACGGCCUGCCUACCUUGCCGUGGAUAUUAGUCCUGAUAUCAUUCUAUUGUUCAAGGAAUAACACUCAAUGCUGCUGCUGCUGCUGACCUGGCUCCAUAAAGUUAUAUUCCUCUAGCCGCUUGCACUAACUUUAUCUGAAGUAUUAUUCUCUCUGCACUGUAUAUAUGGUUACGGAGUUUGCUGGAGUAUCCGGGGGGAAGAACCUACAUAAUAUGUCUUGGAACUAACUGACAUUGAUUCACAGACAAGGUGCUGUUGUUGCCAUAUUUUAGAGCAUCCCAAAGGACUAUAAAUAAUAUAGUUUACCAUAUACCGUAUACCAUUAUAUGUUAGCUAAAAUAAGAGCAUAACAUGUCGCAGGAGUCCAAAAGCACCGGUUGAGGACCAGGUACAUUAAAUUACUAGAAAACGAAAGGGGACAAGGUUUAGGUAGCCACAUGAAAAACAUUUGAAUUUACUGUACCAUGAACACUUAGUUACCAUGCCGGGAGCACCUAGUUAACACUAACAUUUAGCCACUUUAGAUCAUCCCGAAACACCAAUGACCCUCAAUAGCGACAAAUUUUGGUUUAAAUGCCGUCACCAAUGAUCCUCAAUAGUGACGUGUUUAGGUUUAAAUCCCGUCACUAAUAACCCUUGGUAGUGACGUGUUUUGGUUUAAAUCUCAUCACCACUGAUCCUCACUAGUGACGUGUUUUUAGCAACACACGUUAUGAAUGACUUGUCAUUGGUGACAUGUUAAACGCGUUAUCUCAAUGGCAAAUCAAUGGUGACGUGUUUAAAAAAACAUGUCACCGUGAGAGUUAUUGGUGAAGGGUAAUUAAAAUGCAUCACUAAUUUUGUAGCAUUAGUUAUGAUAUAAUUUUGUAACGCAAAAAUCUACCAUAGUAACGAGGUUUAGAGCCGUCGCUAAUGUGGGUUUCUUACGUAGUGAUGCAAGCUCUACAAGGUGCUGUUGUUGCCAUUUUAAAGCAUCCCAAAUGACUACAAGUGUCUGGUUGAGGACUAAACAAAUUGAAUUACUAGAACCAAAUGUAUGUCCAGAACAAAGAAAGGGGUCAAGGUUUGGGUAACCGCAUUAAAAACAUUGGAUUUUACUGUACCAUGAACACUUAGUUACCAUUACCAUGCCUUGAGCACCUAGUUACCACAAACAUUAAUUUAGCCACUUUAGAGGUUCCUCAAUCACUAUAAAUAAUAUACCAACACCGUACCAUGAAAACAUCAAGAAGAGAGACAGGUACAUGGACCACCAUCAAGUGAGUAGUGACAGCAUGCACAAGAAUACCCGGAACCUUUUAGCUUGUCUGUAGUGAUCUGUUUUCUUCCCCGUAAAAUCCAUGAGUAUUGCCACAAAUAAUGAAAGAGGCUGACCAAGCUAGCAACGAGGUAGAGCAAACGUGAUACACGUAGGUUUCAUUCAAGACAUCCAUGUAAGAUUCAUUCAAAACAUUCAUGGAAAUUUCUUAUAAGUUUUCAUGUAAAUUUCAUUCAAGACAUUUGUUAGAGGUGUUGUAUAUAUACUUAACGUACAUAUAUCUAUGAUUUCAUGGUUGUUAGUGAUGGCAGAUGAGGAGCAUGCAAGGUAUUUAAUGGAGCAGAUUAUUGCUAGUGGCAGUGGCUCCAACCUGCCCGUAACGUACACCGACGAAGAGGGCAGCCAGGCGGACAUGUUCCUCAACAUGUCCGGUGAUGGCAAUGAAGAGCCCGAGCAAAACCUUGCCGUGACGGAAGGUUCCAGCGAGGUAUAUAUCAUUUCCAUUAUUUUACCCCAUCUAUAAUUUCAUAUUCAUUAUUACUAUGUACUAAUUAACGAAUCUUGAACCGUUAGCCCUCUAGAUCAACGAACCGAAAUAAGCCCCGAGGUCUUACAAAGAUAAUGCAGGGAAGGCUUCACAUCAUGGAAGUCACAGAAGAGGGCACCUCGGUUGCUCCCGAACAUGUGGCAAGAACGUACGUGAGUCAAACCGGGGCAAUCGUAAGGGACAACGUGCCCAUCAGCAUCAGGGAAUGAAAGAGCAAUAGAAAUGAUCUAUACGCACCCCCGGAUACACAAAAGGAUAUGCUGUGGGCAAAUAUCAAGAAACACUUCACAUUUCCCAAAGGAUAUGUUGAAAAAGAUGUGAAAGCGUGGAUGCUGAAGAAGAUGGCCACCCAAUUCCAAACAUUCAAGAAGAUGUUGGAUGCCAACUUCGUCAAGAAGGGUCGAACUCCGGGUUUCGAUGAGUGGCCAAAGUUAAGGGACCACUGGGAGUCAUUUGUCGAAUACAAGACGAGCGAAGGUGGUGCCAGUAAGGUUCGCAUCAAUGUUGCCAAUGCUAGCAAGGAGUACCAUCAUCAUCUAGGGCGACGUGGUUACAGCACUGCAAUUCCCAGAUGGCGCAAGAUGGAACAAGACUUGAUCGAUCGGGGUAUCGUACCAGCAACUCUUGACUGGCCUGAUCGAUUGAAAAAUUGGUAUUAUGCUCAUGAAGGCAAUCUGAGCCAAGAGGAUGCGACAUUGGUCUUCAAUAAAACAAUACAUCAGAAGGUCGGAAGGCUUAUUAGGAACAUUGAAGAUGCUAAAGCUGGGAGGUUCAAGGUGGAUAGAGAGAAUGAUGAACUCACAUUGGCCCUCGGGACUGUCAUCUCUAGCACUUCCAGCUCCAGGACUAUCAUCACCACCGGGACCGUCGCUUCUUGCUCGAUCACAGUCUCCAUCUCCAGCACAUCCUGGUGGUGCGAGCGACGACGACAACAACACCCCUCCCUGCCCACCAUUGCCGGGACUAAGACCCGCAUUGUGUAAGGAACCUGCAACACCACUGAAGAAGUCGCGACCACCACCUUCAAGGCAAGUCAGCAAAAGAAGAAAGCAGAGAAGCCUAAACCCACUGAGAAGCCAGCGACUGAUAUGACCGAUGCGGAAAGAUGGAAGGCACUCAAAGAAGAAUGCAUGGAGUGGUUCAGAAAAAGGACCAAAGAAAGAAAAGGAAAGGAGAUGGAGCCACCGCCAGUAGAUCCAAGAAAAUUAUAAUUUUUUAUUAAGAUGUCAAAAGGAGCUAAGAAGAUGAUGCCACAACUAUCAAACUACGACUGGGCGUUAGUCAAGGCUGAUGAGAGUUAAAAAAGGAAAGGAAAGUCAUCGUCAAGUGGUACUGUCCCCCAGCUCGAGGAUCUACCAGAAAAAGAUGCUAAAAAGAUAGUAGCAAUGCUCUUGGAUCAACAAACACAUAUAUCGUGAGAUUAAUGCAAGAAACAGGUAUGUCCCUUGCUGAAUGUCUAUGGCAAGUUGAUAUGCUAGCUCCAGAGCCAGUUGUACCGAAAUGGACCUUUGAGCUAGGCAAGCCUCUAGUAAGGCCUGAGUUGGUACAGAAGCUAUCCACAUAGAUGCAUGAAUUCCAUGAAUGGUACAUGAAGCAGUCUGCCAAUGAGAGGGAAAUGUUCGGUCUCGAGGAAAAACUAAUAAUUUUUUUCGGCGAAGGCGAGAAAGUCGUAUGAAUCAAAUUCAAGGAUAUAUAUGAAGUGAACCAUCAGGAUGCCCUUGAUGUCUCUCUCAUCAGCGCCUAGGUUUUGUAAGUGUAUGUUUAUCUAUACGUAAAUUUUGGCUCAUAUCAUUAUUUUUUUUGCGUGCGUCACCCUACUAACUUCGUCUUCCAUUUUAUGUAGGAUGCUAAUUCAGACGUGCCGCAUAGAAGCGUACUUCCAUGUUGGCUUCAUGGAUCCAUCCCUAGUUAACCAAAAGCCGAUACGGAAGUAGCUAGAGAAAACGUUGGAGGUGGUGUACAACUUUCUGGACAAACAAAACUACAGAAUAGGGGCAAUAUGUGAGGGUCUUGUAGGAUUCCUAGUGGACGAGGUGAUAAAUCCAUAAGGAGAAUAUCAUUACAACGGACGAGCAUUAGACACACUGAGCAACACCUAGACGGGAGGAUCCUAGGAAUGACCUCAACAGAUUUUGGUAUAAAUAGUAAUUGUGUAAAUACUAGUUUGAUUUGUAUAGGAAUAUACUAAGAAUUGUAUAUAUAGUAAUUGUACAAAUACUAGUUUGAUUUGUAUGAAUACUAGAUUGAUUUUAUUAUAAAAAAGUUUUAAGUCGUACGUGCAUGCGCCUACAAAGGCGCGGAUGCCCUUUAAUCCCAGUCGGAAAAACAAACCGGUACUAAAGGGGCUCGUGCCGCACCUGGCAUGACCACCCCUUUAGUCCCGGUUGAACGACCCAGGACUAAAGAUCUCCGCGUCUCAAAAAUUUUAUCUCGGAUGCUUUUUAGAGAGAUUUGAGGCCUAUCAACCAAGACUAAUAUCGAGUUUUCUACCAGUGGAACUAACUAACGUUCACAUGCUUUUGACAUUCACCUGCCAUUUGGUGUAGACAAGGGCACCCUAACAUAUGGUUAAUAUUAUUCUUGAAAGAAAAUCCUUUGAUUCAAAAUACUUCAAACCUAAUAAUACAAUACUUCUCACAUCUCAAAAAUAUGAGACGGCCCGACAGUAUUCUAACCGACGCAAUAAUAUUUUGAGGGCAGCACUACUACAGCGACCCUCAUUCGUGCCGGUGCUGGGACUCCUAUCACGACCCUGAUACAAAUGAGGGUACAUUAUUGGUGCCAGUGCUAGAACAGCCACCAAUAACUUGCUAAACGUGCUGUUACACUCACUACAGGGACCAAGAAGGUAGAUAAAUUACACGACAUAGCCUUGGUUGCCGUGGAAGCGCCAAGAAGGGAGACAAAUUACAGGGACCACACCAUCAAGUAGAUAGUGACAAUAUGCAGAUGAAUACCCGCGCCUGUUAGCAUGUGAACUGACCACACCACGAAACGUGAUACACGGCAAGCGUACCAAGGCCUUGCUGUGCAGACUAUGCGUGGACAACACAUGGUACCUGACCGCUUUUGGCCUCAGACACAUCGAAAAACUGCAUCGUUCCACGUUGUACAUCCACUGCUAGUUUAUCUAUAUUACAUAAUAUAUUAUUAGCUAUUUGAAUAGAAUGAACCAAUUAAAAAAUUGCGUUGUAUUUUAGUACCGGCUGCAGGAUGGUGUUACCAACCAGUACUAAUUAGCCUGUAGGAGUGAUGGUUAUUAGACUUGGUACUGUUGUUACAUCAUUAACCUAAUUGUGCGCGGUAUGAAUUUGGGGAUGCAAAGCUAGCUCUCUAUGAAUGUGAGGGACGGAAAGCUAGUUCUCUAGUAGUAAUUAGCUAUAUAUAUAUGACAGUCAAGAAAUCGAACACUAUGCUGCUACGAGUCACCAUCAUUUCCUUCAUUGAGAAUCUGACAUAGGUGAAGCUGCUUCAAGAAUUUCCUUCGCGCAGUCGUGGAGCUUAUUGGAUUAUCACCAGGACGGGACACGGAAAUGGCCAGCAAUGAAGCUGAUUGCCGUCUGAGGAAGACUACAUACUUUACCUAUGAAAUGAAGCGAUUGCAUAGACUAAUGAAGCAUUGCAUAUUUGCAUGUGAGUGUGGCAGAUAAUUCUGCAGGACAUGAUUGCAAUCCACGCACCAUCGAGAAGACUGGGGCGAUGGGGUUGCCUCAUCAAUAAUCACGUGGAUGCAUGCAUGCAUGUUCCCGCAACCGGACAAGGGUCUGAUAUAUGGCUAUAGUAUUACUGAGCCCACAUCAAUAAUUUCCGCUGGUGUAUCGUGUGGGAAGAAUCAACAUACUACACCUCGAGUUCUUGGAACUAACUGACGUUCACAUGCAACCUCCACAAGGUGCUGUAUAUAUGCUUUUGACAUUCACCUGCCAGUUCGUGUAGAGGACACCCUAACGUAUGGUUAAUAUUAUCCAUUUCAUGAGUAAAAUACUGUGAUUCAAAAAUACUUCAAAUCCCUUGAGACAAUACUUCUCACUUGACUAACCACUAACCAACCCCGAAACCCUAACUCAACUCCGAACCCUAACACCUAACGGCAUAACCACUCCGUUUUGCCAGCCAGAUGGAGGAACUGGCUGGGAGGGAGAGAGGGCAGCGGUCCAGGGUUGAAAACGACGGGCGAGCGCAGUAACAUGUGGAGGAGGAAGUGCCACGUAUUCGUUCACCGCUAUUGGGCAGCGACACACAACACGCCCAAUAAGAUCUUCGCACGGUAGAAGGACGUCAUGUAUUCAAUAAUGUUAUUGGUCCUCCAUGUGCAGAAGGGCGCGUAUGGAAUAACAAGUAGGGACACUGCAACUAAUCUACUCUGCUCGUCCAGUCCCUAGCCUAUAAAUAGAUGCCAUGCUAGCUCUUGUUGUGCUCACAGUUAAUCCGAUUACACACGAGCUCCUCUCCCUAGCCAAGACACAAUCAUAGUAUGAUGAAGAACAUGGCACUAGCCGGCAAUGGUAUGAAGAAGUUAAUCCUCGCUGUUCUCUUACUGUGUCUAGUUAUAGGGCAGAUACAAGUGGAAGCUAAGAGCUGCUGCCCAUCCACCACUGCAAGAAAUGUCUACAAUACCUGCCGUUUGACGGGUGCAUCCCGUCCAAUGUGUGCAAAACUGUCAGGCUGCCAAAUUAUCAGCGGGAACAAAUGCAAGCCCCCUAACGACCACCUCACCCUUGACCCGGACACUGGUAAAUAAUAAAUUUAUCUCACUUGAUUUCUUUGUGUUUUGAGUCGUUAAUGUAUUUUCCAUCUGAUGAAACGCAUUGGUUUUGCAUUGAAGAGGAAGUUAAUGUGCUUAACUUCUGCAAGUUGGGGUGUGCGUCGUCUGUGUGCAACAACAUCAACGCUGGUAAGCACCUUUUGCUCAGACAGAGAAAACAAUAAUCAUUAAUUAGCGGCAGCUAGAAUCCUAUAAUCUAAUAUAUAUAUAUAAUUUUAUCAGCUCUGGGAAAUGAAGAGGCGAACGAUGCCGUUGAGAGUUGCGACCAAGCCUGCUCUAGCUUCUGCAGCGUGCAUGUUGGCAGCGCCACCGUGGUUGCUUAAGCAAAUGCAUCCAACUAGAUCGUCCUUGUGCUGAAUAAUUGGAUAUCGUAUCCACUUAAAGCUGCCUUGUGUAGUACGUCUUUGUGUCUCUCUUUAUAUUCCAAUAAGGUCGGUGAUCUUGAUGCCACACACUCAGAUGUGUGUUCAUCUCCAGAUACUACUCCAUGCUACCUGCCCUUUGUGUUUUGUUCAAUAACUGGGUAUCAUAUCCGAGCCAGUAUGCCGUCUGUUUUGUGUUUGUUUCCUUCUAGUUCCAAAGGGGUCAUCAUGAUGUUACCUUCUUUCAAUAUGGUGCUUUGCAUGACUACUGUUGUAUGGUACCAUCUUGUGGCCAAUAAGUACAUCUUAUCCUAUGACCCUUUGCUAUGACCCUUUGCAAAUAAGUAGAAGAUUGUUAUAAGCGUCAAUACUCAGUAUAAUUGAUCGCUGCUGUGAGUUCCCUUUCAGCUUAUCGUAGGCAUACAUUAUUGCUAGCACGGUAAAGCCAACCAACACGAAUGAUGAAGUAAACGUAGCGGUACUUCUGUAUACCAACACCCUUACUUAAAUGUACCGGUGUCAUUCCCUACUGGCACAUAUAUUCUUAUAUGCUAGCCAGCUUGUAAAAUUAACCAAUUAAAAUAAUUAUUUCAAGAUAGAAAUAACUUAUUGGCUUCUCGAAGCAUGUGUAAUGUGAAUUCAUGAGACUUCAAGCAACCAGGAAAAGACACUAAUAAACAUCCAGAUCCCAUCCAGCACACAUCCAUGCACAUAUAUAACCCACAUAUUGCUCCAGCACACAUCCAUGCAUAUACGAUAUCCAAAUGUUAAUAUUGUAGACAUCCAUGCCUGAACUAGUCUGCCACACAAGUCAUUGAUGCUACAAAUUCUACAAUCGCAGCAUGUGCAUACAACUUACAGAAUGAGAUAAUGUACCAAAACUAAAACGUUAGCAUCAACUGUGCUUCAACCAAAGUUGUCAUCCCAACUCUCCUCUUCAUCCAUGCCAUUCUUGUCAUGGCCGUCGCUGUCAGUCUCCAUGGCAUUGCCAAUGCUGUGUAUGUCUUGGUAGGAACCUACAUGUGAUGAACAGUAACCUGCAAAAAGAGCUCAAAGGAUCUUGUUCUCAUAUUGUAGCUGUGAAAUUCUUGCAAGUAGUGUUGCAAUCUGUUCACUUUGAACCAAAAGAGCUCAAAGGAUCUUGUCCUAAAAGUUCCUCUUAAAGCUUAUGGGUUUGCUGGUGGAACCGGAAGGGCUUGAUGCAGCAGAUGCCAUUCUGCAAUAGAGAAAAAUUUAGAGGGCAGUACUAGUUAAAAUUUGAUGCAGCAGAUACACACGAAACUAGUAUUUAUACAAUUCUAUAUAUGUAAUAAUUUGUCCCCUAAAUUUUUAGGAUCCUCUUGAUGGUGGUGAGUCUUCCAGUAAGGCAAUUGAAUGUCCGUCAUAAUAAAAUUCUCCUUAGGAUUUAUCAUCUCGUCAACCAGAAAUCCUAGGAGUGCUUCUUGGAUUGCCAAAACCCUAUCCUGAUGCAGGAGUUCGUCCUUAAGCCUUAACAUUUGUAAUUUGGAAAUAUGUGAAAGUUAAACCAACAAUUAAAAUAUAAGGAGCCUUAUCAUCAUUUCCAUGUGUUGCGAAUUAAAAUAAUGAAUAAUACAGUGUUAGGUGAAAAUUCAAGAAACAAAAUUUUGCAUAGAGAUAAACGUCCAACAUUAUUACAAGUUAAGGUAGUUUUAAAUAUCCUUGUAAUCUUCCUUUGAUUUCCUCAACGAUUCGAAGACAAUAACCUUACUUCUAUCAAUGAUAAUUAUAAGGAGAACCCAGUGAAAACUGUGUAUUCAUAUUAGAACUACCUAAGGUUAAUUAGGUUAGGAAAGGAAAUCGAAAAUAGAUGGUACCCACACUUACUUAAAGUUGUCGGGCAAUAGUAUGUAAUGCUUGUAAUUCCGUUGCUCCAAGAAUUUGUAUAUGUGGUCCAAUGUAGACUUUGGUUGAUUCCGUAUCUGCUGUUGGUUAAAUAAGUGUUUCUAGCCAUUACUAGCCGUUAGAACUCGGACUAAAGGGGGCUCUUUAGUACGGGUUGAUAUUACUAAUCGGGAUUAAAGAGCCCCCAUUAGAGUUGGUUUUUGGACGCGGAACUAACAACUCCUUUAGUCCUAAGUACAAAAAUGACUGAAAUAUUUGUUGCUGGAUGGAAGGUCCUUUCUCUACCAUGAAUAUUGCCAGAAAGAAUUGAAAGAGACUGCUUGCUAAAAAUAUGUCAUAGAUGUAGACCAAGCUACCAAGGAUGUAGACCAAACAUGAUACACACCAUGCGUACCUUGCUGUGCAGACUAUGCAUUGACAAGAUAGAAAUAAUUAAUUCUAAUAUGCGUACCCUUACUUACACUAGUAGAGAAUUGGGCUUUAAUCCCGGUUGGUAAGGUGCAAAUAUCUCGAAAAUGCAUCCGGGAUAAACCAACCGGGACAAAAGGGGGAUCUUUUAUCCCGGGUCACUCAACACGCGAUUUUUCACAAAAAAAAAAUUCCCGAGCUCCCAGGCAGGCCCCCCACACGCGAUUUUUCACGCGAAAUAUGCGCGUGCGCGGUUCGUGGGAUUCGAACCCACAACCUCCAGCCUCGCGCGUAGUUUCCUUGCCAUCCCACCUACACACCACAUCUGACUAUGUAGGGGAUACUAUCCUUUUGUAUUAAAAGGCUCUUGACCCUUUUAUCUCGGUUGGUGUUACCAACCGGGAUAAAAGGGGGGGUCUUUUAUCCCGGUUGGUGUUUCAAACCGGGAUAAAAGGCCUCUCAGAGUCUUUUUUUCCCAUUAGCCUUUGCAACCGGGAUAAAAGGUUCCGGUUGGUGAGCCCCCCACCAGUGACCGAGUUUUAGUCCCGGUUGGUGAACCUUUUGUCCCGGGCCAACUUUAAACCGGGACAAAAGGGGGCGUAUGGAAAGCCAAUUCUCUACUAGUGUUAAAUAUACCGGUGUUAUUGCCCACUGGCACAUAUAUUCUUAUAUGCUAGCCGGCUUGAAAAUUAACCGAUUAAAAUAAUUAAUUCAAGACAGAAAUAACUUAUCGGCUUCUCGAAGCAUGUGUAAUAUGAAUUCAAGGACUCGAUGGAAGUUGAAUCGCUUCAUCUAGAUUGCUUUCAGGAUUUUGGGUAACUAAAUUUAACAUUUGCACACACAAAUGUUAAUGUACAAAUGUUAAAUCUAGUUACCCAAGCAGAAUAUGAAUAUACUCUAUAGUAUACAUAUACUAUAUAAAUCUAGUUAAUAUUUAGUCUAAAUGUUAAAUCUAGUUACCUAAAAUCCUGAAAGCAAAAUGUAUAAAUAUAUAUCUUUUAAGGCAGUAUAAACUUCGAUUCCUUUUGCUGCUCUGUUAAAUCUCAUCUUUCGUUGUGGCCCAACACUCUAGUAUGUAUGUUGCACCAAGCUUCCUUGAGCCGCUCUGCCCUCUGAUUUUGCUGCGUAGGGGAAUCUUUAUCAGGUUGGGCUGCUUCCAGUCAUACGAUGUGUGGCUUCAUAUCUUCUACAAGUUAGACAGGAAACCCGCGUUCUGGAAGAUUCUGCAACGUGCACGUUGGCGCUGCCACCGUGGUUGCUUAAGCAAAUGCAUCCAACUGAAUCGUCCUUGUGCUAAAUAAUUGGAUAUCGUAUCCACUGCUUAAAGCUGCCAUGUUUAGUACAUCUUUGUUUUUCUCUCUUUAUAUUCCAAUAAGGUCGGUGAUCUUGAUGCCACACACUCAGAUGUGUGUUCAUCUUCGGAUACUACUCCAUGCUACCUGCCCUUUGUGUUUUGUUCAAUAACUGGGUAUCAUAUCCUAGUCAGUGUGCCAUCUGUUUUGUGUUUGUUUCCUUCUAGUUCCAAAGGGGUUAUCAUGAUGUUACCUUCUUUUGAGGUGUCUAUGACUUUGUUAAUAUCAAUAUUAACCAAUUCAAUCUAUCUUAACUAUUUGUAAGGGGUAUGAUGUAUGCAUGAUUAUAACAAUGAUUGCGCAUACAAUCACUGCCAAAGAAACGGUCAAUACCAUAAAGACAUAUUACAGACAAUUCUCAUAAUCUAUAAUGAAUAUACAUAUUCACUACUGCAGAGACUGUCAUCUGUAUCAGCUCAUACGUGCCAGGGCAAAGGUCACCCUUGCAUUAAAAGUACAUUUGCACGGUAAAGAUAACCAACACGAAUAAUGAUGUAAACAUGCCGGUGCUUUUGUACACCAACACGCUUACUUAAAUGUACUGGUGUCAUUCCUCACCGGUAGCCGGCUUGAAAAUUAACCAAUUAGAACAAUUAUUUAUUGUAUCGGUGUGAAUUUUGACCUAUUGGAAUAUGAAUUUGACCAUUACUGCAUUCGUCAAGACUCAAGAGAGAAAUAACUGAUCGGCUUCUUAGAGCGUGUGCAAUGUGAAAUCAAGGACUGGAUGGAAGUUGAAGCGCUAGCUUCAUCUUCCGCUGCAUGUUAAUUGCUUGGAUAAGAAGUUGUAGCCGCGUAUAUAAAUAGUCCCGCUGAUGCUGUGCUCCGAAGUCUAUACUAUAUAUGCGAAAACUAGAUUGCUUUCAGGAUUUUGGGUAACUAAAUUUAACAUUUGUACAUAAAAAUGUUAGUUUACGAAUGUUAAAUCUAGUUACCCAAGCAGAACAAGAAGAUAGUAUAUACUAUAUACUAUGUAAAUCAAGUUAACAUUUAGUCUAAAUGUUAUAUCUACUUACCCAAAAUCUUGAAAGCAAAGAAAGAAUAAGUAUAUAUCUUUUGUUGGAAAAUUGGUCCACGGAGAGUGGCCUCGUUCGUUUCACCGGGAAGGAAUUCCAGUCAGGAUUACUUCCAAGUCCGGUUUAAGUGAUUCCACCCAUGUCACUCAAUUCGGCUAGGAUUCAUUCCAGGGGUGAGGAGGUAUGGUUUCAAUCCGGGCCAUCUAAUGUAGAAGGAUUCCAAUCCAGGCCGGUUUUCGUUCUAGGCUAGACUAAAACGAACAACACUUUCAAUGCAAGUCUGGUUUCAAACCGGGCCACUUCAAACCACCCGGAAUGGACCUCAUUCCGGGCCAAUCCGGUGAUAACAAACGAGGCCUUAAUGGAAUCCCAAAGCAAGAGUUCAGUGGCAUUCUAUAGUCCCAUGCUGCUAGUUUGAGUUGGUCGAAGCCAACUUAAAUAGGAGAGCUCUCUCACUUCUCUAAAAAUGUAACUGAAGGAGAGAAGGGGGCUUGGGUUACACAACGCACGCACGCACGCAUAUUUGCAUUCUUUUCGCGUAACCGACCGCGUGACUUGAAACUUGCGACGUAGCGUGCUGCUAAGUCAAGUUGAUAUAACCUUUUUGCCGUUUGCGUGUAAUCUUUUGACAACGGUCAUUGGAGGUGAUAAGCACGCAGUCAAUACCUUAAUCCUGAGUUAAUAGGGCGGUUACUACUGCCAAUUAGUGCAGCAAUUUUGUAGGGGAAACGGUUAGCAGAGGGCUACCGUCUUCUCUAUAAGAAGUUUUGGAGACGUCCAGGAACACACAUGUACAUGUGAGAGACCCACGGAUUCCUUCCCUUCUCCCUUUUCCAUCUGGUGAAGUGUGCUAUGGUACUGAGCUGCUGGAUCUCGCUGGCUCUUCUCCUUGGCGUGCACCGAGGAGGAGGAUGAGCGGUAUCUCUGAGCUAUUGCCGUCAGGAAGCCUGCACGAGGGACAACAAUAAAGUUUUUAGGUAGCGCCUGCCUAAUCUUCGAUCUGCACUGCAACGCGUAACCCUGCAGCAACUCUACACGAGGACGGAGCACUAAUCUGUAAGUCCUAGAUUGGUUUCUUACAGAGUUGUAGGUUACACAAGAUCUAGAAUGGUUACAUACCAAUUAUUAUGGGUUACAUGAUGUUUUGUACGGUUUCGUCUAUUUUGCAUAUGUUAUUUUUACAUACCGUUUACAUGCAUAUGUUAAUGGUUACACCUAGCUAUUUGAAUCUAGAAUUGGGUUACAUAGCAGUAGCAAUGAGUUACGUAAUAUGCCUCACGUUUAUAUCUGGUAGAAUUUAACACGUAUCUCCAACAUAUUUUGAGGCAGUAUAAAUUUCAAUUCCUUUUGCUGCUCUGUUAAAUCCCGUCUUUCGUUGUGGCCCAACACUCUAGUAUGCAUGUAGCACCAAGCUUGUUUGAGCCGCUUUGUGCUUUGAUUUUGCUGCGUAGGGGAAUCUGUAUCAGGUUGGAUUGUUUCUUUGUCUUGCGAUGUAUAGCUUCAUAUCUUCUAGAGGUUAGACAGCAAAACCCGCAUUCUCUUAAGGCAACAACCCGAAGAAUCUGCAGCGCCUCUGAUAUAUCACUGCUGCAGAAACGAUCUUUAGUACUGAUCUCCAACCCUCUUUAGUAUCGGUUGGGCAACCAGUACCACUAUGUCGGUACUAAAGGGAGUUCUCUAGAAUCGGAUCAAAUAACCGGUACUAAAAGGGCUCCUUUACUACCGGUUGGUAACAACAAUAGGUAGUGACUUUUUUGCACCCAAAAAAUUAAAGAAUAACAGCCGGGAGGCUCGCACACACACGCAUCAUGAGUAAUAUGCGCGUGCAUGGUUUGUGGGAUUUCAACCCACGACCAAGCUAUAAGAACGUAGUUACAACAAAUCAAACACUUAGACAUUUUAGAGCAUCCCAAAUAACUACAAAUUCUAUAGUUUACCAUAUACCAUAAAAUAUUAGUUAAAAUAAGAGCAUACACAUGUCGGAAGAGUCCCAAUGCACCGGUUGAGGAUCAGACCAGGCACUUUGAAUGCACAUGCCAUAAGAUAAUUCUGCAGGACAAUGAUUGCAAUAAUGGACCAUCGAGAAGAUAGGGGCGAUGGGGUUGCCUCAUCAAUUAUCACUUGGCGCAACAAGACCAGCAAAGUCUUUAUCGACGGGGGUGGAUCAAGGGGUGGGGCAGGCAGAGCUCCAGUCCUCCUACCGCCGCUCGAACAAUGGAGCCCCCUUAGCCCCUCCAUAAAUUUUUAGGUAGAAGAAAAAAGAAGAGAAGGGAAGCAAGGGGAAGAAGAGGGAGCCCCUGCUAAGUAGGUCGCCAUCGUGCUUCCCAACGCAUGAUCGCCGCACCGCAUCCAUUCCUCUACAAGCCUUCAGCGUCUCUCCCGCCGCUACCUCUGAACCAUGUGCAGCUAUAGACCCAACUAGUGUGUUGUCGCCCAUCUCAGUCCCAACAGAGCGGCGGCGGCUGCCAACACAAAUCUCCCUCCGCCUCUUCUUCACGGUCGAUGGCCGCCACAAGCAUAAACCUCGCCUUCGCAUCCAAGCAAAAGGGUCGUUGGGGUGCCUUCUUGCAUCACUUCUCAGCCUCCUUCACUUGCGGCCAGCGAAGAACUGCGCCACCACCUCGGGUGCGUGCCACCACUCCAGGGCCGCUACCCCAUGCCUGCGGCCGCCACCGGCCACCACGCGUGUGCAACCGCGUUGCACCGCUUCCCUGCUUUGUGCCACCACUACUGCUGUACCACCAGCUCCACCACCUUGGGAUGGUCGCCAGGGUGACUGAUUGGUGAUUAUUACUAAAAAUAAGUUCCUUAUUAUCUGCAACUACUAUUAACUCAGAGAUACAUGCGUCUUUUGCUUCUCCUGCUAAUAGGUCCUAAAAUAUCUAGGAUGCUUUAUAUUUCUGGACAGAGGAAGUAUUUGAAUAAAAUGAACCAAUUUAAAAAAAAUGUGUUGUACACUACUACAGAAAGACCUAUCAGUGUCAAACCCAAAAAUGUCGUCACCGCCAGUUUUAGGCAUCGUUGGUGAAAGGUUGGCGGUGAUGGGCAUCCCCUUCAACAACGGCACUGGAGCCGACGGUGAUUGACAUUAGAAAACAAAAAAGGGAACCCCACCUAGCCACCCCUGCAACCCAGCCGGCCGUGCCUCCCCUCAUGCCCACCACCUCGCCUCCCCCGUGACCCCCCGCCGGCGCCCUUGUGCCUAGCCCCCUCGCCUGCCCGGCCGGCCACCCUCGUCAUGAGAGAGAGAGGUGCAUGUUGUAUAAUUGCGUGAAUUUUUGAAUGUUUAAUUUUAUGUAAGUUCCAUGUAAUAAAUUGUACAAGUUUUAUUGUAUAUAUGAAUUCCAUAUAUAUGUAUUUAUAAUUUAAUGUAUGGUUUCAUGUGUAUAUUUCAAUCAUGUGUAUAAUUAGUAGAUUGCCGAUUUUCUUUUUCUACUAGACAAGGGUUGAUGUAUAAUUACGUGUAUAUGUUUAUUGUAUGGGCAAUUAGGACAAGUUUUGUAUAAAUUUCUUUUAUUUCAUGGUUGUUGUAUGGUUUCAUGUAUAUACAUUUAUUGUACUACUUGAGACAAUUUUAAUUUAAUAUUUCUAUGAUUACAUGUGUGUAUAACUAAUUGUAUUAUUAGUUAAGAUGGGAGCCAAAGAGGAUGAAAGGUAUAUAAUAGAGUAGAUUAUUGCUGGCGGUAGUGGCUCAAACGUUGCAAGAACCUACACCGAGGGUGAGGGUAGCUAGGUGGACAUGUACCUCAACAUGUCCAGUGAUGGCAAUGACGAUGAGGAGCACGAGCAUGACGUCUAUGAUAAUGCGGAACAAGACAUUGCAGAAUUGGAAGGUUCUAAUGAGGUGUGCUUCAUGUUGACGAUCUAGUUGGCUUUUUUUCUUUGGUCACACCUUAGUUACCAUAGAACUUCGUCUCGGGAGAAGAUUGGUGGUGCUAUGGUGAUUGGAAUUUUAUUGCCUCCAAAUUUGAUUUCCAUCGAAUCAUAUCCCUUGUAUUUAUCUUCUUUUUAUUUGUGAGAGCAUCUUCUUUAUGCUUGCAAAACAAUUCAAGUGCACAUACUACCCCUAGGGUGAUGAUUGGGAGUAGAAACAAUUGCCAACAAAACAACACCACAUCCUAAGAUUCUUAACUUGUGGCAUAAUUAAUCUAGUGAAAAGAAAGAUAAAAACCUAAUGGGUGUACGUGAGUGCAAUGUGUAUAUGCAUAUGAGUGGAAGGCAUAUAAGCAAAGACAAUAUUUACACAUAGUUCUAAACACCAUGUUUACAGCUAGGUUGCUGAAUUUCUCCAUAGCUAUAGAGAUUAAUUAACCAAGGUCAAAACACGAUGUCUAUCCCAAGAUCAGUAAUUCUUUAUAGCACAAGAAAAAUAAAGCGCAUUGCAAAGUUUAUAAACCAACCAAUACAGCAUGAAAACAAGAUGAAUAGCUAGCAAGGUUUAUUAAAUUGAAUGAUGACGGUCUGCAAGCAAGUUUGAACACCAUCUUUACACAAGAUUGCAAAUGGAAAAUGCCCAUAUGAAGCACUAACAUGGAUAUGAAAUCAUUCAUCAUAAAGCGUAAAGAACAACCAAGCCAACCAUAUGCAAAGCAUGAAUGGAAUGCAAUGAAGGUGCAAGAGAACAUUUUUGGAUGAACACAUUAUGAUGAUGGCAAAAUGCAAUGCGUGCAGAAAUAAUAAAUAUGAACAUGAAUAUGAUGAUCAGGGGCGGACCCACUAUUGUGGCCUGGGUAUUCCUGGGCAUACCCAAUAUUUUUGGGAAAAUGUUUAGUAGUUUUUAAUGGCAUAUACAUGUAUAAUAUAGUUUAGGUGUUAAAAUUGAUAUUCACAGCUAUUUUGGGCUCCAAUUCGCGUCCAAACCAACCUAGCCCACAGACCACACCCGGCCGGCCAGCCCAUCGGCCCAUCUAGUCACUGAUCCUUCCACCACCACACUCAGCCCAUCAGUCGGUCAGGUCCCGAGCUCCUGCCUGACCUAGUCUGCUACCGCCGCCGGGCGCCAAGCACAGCCGUACGCAUUGCACCGCCCCCGUCCACCCACGUCCGUUGGGGGGCCAAGCCGCGCCCCCCAGCCCCCGCGGUGAGAUCUCGACGCCCGCUGCCCCCAGACCCCAUUAGGCCUCCAUCGGCAAGUCCACCCACAGUCCCACGGGACGGGGCAGCCUUUUGGCUUUGGGCGCUCGGGGCGCGCCAAUGCCAGCGCAGCCCCAGCAGGCGACUGCCCCCCCCCCCCGCAUCAGGCCUCAGCCCCUCCCCAGCUCCCCCUCCCCCCUCCACCAGGACUGCUUGUUGGCCCCCACCGCGAGGUAAUCGAAAUGGACUGCUCAAUCACUCAAUCUGUUGACAUGAUGCACACGGNNNNNNNNNNNNNNNNNNNNNNNNNNNNNNNNNNNNNNNNNNNNNNNNNNNNNNNNNNNNNNNNNNNNNNNNNNNNNNNNNNNNNNNNNNNNNNNNNNNNNNNNNNNNNNNNNNNNNNNNNNNNNNNNNNNNNNNNNNNNNNNNNNNNNNNNNNNNNNNNNNNNNNNNNNNNNNNNNNNNNNNNNNNNNNNNNNNNNNNNNNNAUUUUUUUGCAAUGAGCAUACCCUACUCUGAAAUCCUGGGUCUGCCACUGAUGAUGAUGGUCUAAACAUAAAACAAGCCAAGAUUAAUUAGCCACAACUGAAAUUAAGCAAAGGUUAAUGUCAUUGACCCUAGCUCUAUCCUAGCUUUUACAAAAGUCCCAGCACAUAUAGUGGUUGGGCCCACUCUCUCUGCUUCCCUCUCUGCUGCAUGCAUGCACACGAGCAACGGGAGGCCCCACAAAGCCCAGAAGGGUUCGGCUGAACCCGGCCGAUCCAAUCUGAGCACCACUCCCUCCCAGCCUUCGCGCAGAUGCUCCUCCAACAUUCCUUGACCCCUCCCUCAGCGUCCCAUUGGGUUUAACAUUGCAGGAGAGGAGUCCCUUUUUUAAAAUCUCAACCACCUCCUCUCCUCAUUCACUCCACUCUCAUCUCCAUCAAACUCACCAAGAUCCACAUCGGAAAUCCCUGCUUACCACCAUGGCUGGCAAAGCCCUCGUCCCUUUCACCAACUUGGGCUUAACCAUUGAUCUCGAUGGGGAAAUCACUCCGGAAAUAGGGCAGUGACCCAGAGCAAAGGUGAUGCCAGAGUGUAGAUAGCAGUUAGCAUGCCAAAUUGUGAACCGCAAGCGCUCGGAUUAGUUGUUUUUUUUCCCUUAGAGAUUCCCCCAAGGUUUAUCAAUCCAUGGAACAAGGGAUUUGCACAUUUCACUAAGCAUUAAUCAAUGUAAUUGAAAGCUUUUUGAAUAAGAUAUGAUUAUGCUAACAAAGGAACUAAGCAAUCUAGAUUAAGAUGGAUAGAGAGUAAAGGUUGUGAACAAGAUAGAUUAAACGCUUAUAGAUGCAAUCACCAUGCAUGAAUGAAUUAGAUCUAGGUGUUAUUGUGAGUGGUUGUGAACCAUACCCCAACACUUUCCCACCCGCAACAUUGUCACUACAUGUGGGUACUCAACUAUCGAAACAUAAGAACACAUCAAGAUGAUCAUUCUAGGUAAGCAAAUAAGCAACCCAAAGUAGCGCUGGCCAGCCUUUUCAUGAAAGAGCAUCAUCAAGAUAAGAUUGAUAACAAAAUAGAUCUCAACCAAAGGUUCAGCGAUUACAAAUCAAGAUCUCCGUAUAACCCCGAUGACAAAUAGAGGUAUUACCCCCAUGAUCUUACACAUGUUGAUGAAUUUUAGGGUAAAGGACGCCCUGUAGAUCAACUGGACCAAAGAUGAUGAUGAACAGGGGCAGGGAAGGCCCAGGCUGAUCAGCCUGGGCACUUUUGAGCCGAUCAGCUUAGGGAGUUUCCUCCUCCCCUGGUGCUCCUCUUCGCGUGGCCUCCUCUGGAUCCAAUCUUCUCUUCAUUUCUCCUACUUGUGGUGGCAAUGGAUGGUGUUUGCAUGGUGAUUUCCUCUUCUCCCCAACUCUCCCUCCUUGAAGUCCAUGAGGGGGUAUUAAUAGUCUCCAAUAUGCGGCAGCUCUGGGUCAAUGUCGGUGAAAAAACCCUAGAGAUCAUCGUACACUUCACGCUGAGGAAACAAGAGGUCGACCGAGCCCUGGGAUAGACCAAGAGGAUCAGCCUAGAGGGUCCCAGGCCAAUCGGUCUAGGCCCUUCCUAGCCCUUCUAGUCCUCUCCUUCCUCGUGCUGGCUUUUCUCGAUGACCCUUGUCCAAAUAUCCAUUAAGCUCUAUAUACAUACCCCCUUGAUUAUGUCGUAUUUCCUGUCAAAAUACAAUGCUCCAAAAUACAACACAUAUGCAAUAAUAGGGUUAUUUCAUGUGCCAAUUGGUGCGUUAGUAUACGAAUAAGCAUGAAAAUACUGGUUAAAUGACACUAAAAGUGUGUCAAUAACGAGCACCAACAAUCCCCCCACGCUUAGAUCUUGCUCGUCCUCGAGCAAGUCUAGCGACUAAAAGAUCUUGAAUUAAACAUGAGCAAGCGAGUCAAGUACCUAGCCUUGAAACAAAAGAUUAGAGGAGCAGCAAAGAUAAUCAAAGUCUGGGUGUUCAAAGAUUUAUCUAAGCAAAGAUUCCCCUACAACUAUUAUUCAGAACCAAGUAACUUCAAGAAUCAACUACACUUAUUUUCUGGCUUUUUUCAGAGGGUUUUUCUUUCAUCACAAAACAAUCUCCCUGCAACAAAAUUGAAAAAAGAAUUAUUUUCCAGGUGCUUACAUGUCGUUUAAAUGAAUGUUCGCUAUCCUACUUAUUUGCAAGCUCUCAUCUCUCAAAAUUCAUUCAAUUAUAUGGUGGAGCUUGGGUAAGGUUAGCUAGAAUCAACACGUAUAUUAUUGAAUUAAGAAAACCCUCUAACGGUAGCCUACCUUUCGAGCCAUUGAUCAUAAGAAUAUCCACAUAAUGUGAAGUUUUCAAGGAUGAGAAUAGAAUGGUGGACAUGUGCAAAGGCAAAGAAAUAUAGUGACUCUGAGGCACAAGCAAUGUCCUCGUCGUUGGAUUGCAUAUGGUUGGAAUGAAAAUCUGUUCCUUAAACAAGUCCAUCUUUUCUUUGCACCACUCUUGAUCUUCAUGACAGUAAAAACUCCUCCUUUAUUUCUUUCUCUCUUUUCCUAUUAUUUCUUUUUAUUUGUCUCAAUACUUUUCUUUCUUUAUUUCUUUAUUUUAAUCUCUUCUCCGAACCUCUUCUGAACACCACACAAUAAAAAUCAGUUUUAGAUCCUUCUAGAGACCUUCCAGGAAUUUGCUACAUGAAAACCGAGGCAAGGAGACCCCAGGCCGAUUGGCCUGGCCACUCCUUUGCUCUCCUCUAGCUCUUCUUUCUUGUGAAGCUUCCUUAUCUUGUAUCUUUCCAAAAAUUUCAUAAAGCUCAACUAGAAACGGAACACAUCUUCAUAUAAUGAGUUGUGUUCAAGGAAUUGGUAAUAAAAUUGAGAAAUUUGUGGUUCGGGUUUACGAAUUCAGUACAAAAAUAUGAUUAUUCCAAUGAAGAACUCUCAUUACUGAAUAUUGACGAGGCAAGCAUUCAAAGAUGGUAAAAAGGAUAUGAUCAAUUCUCAGAAUUAAAGCAAACCAAGAGAGAGCGAUCCUAAUUCAAUUCAAAGUGUCAAAUGUUGCUUAUGGUGGUAUGAAUAAAUAUUUUUAGGCAUUGGGUAGGAUAAAUAAAAACUCUCAACCUGGUUAAAAGAUAUUGAUCAAUCUUGUUUUUGCAGAGGUUUUAAAUAAAAAAUAAAAUUUUAAAUCACCUCCAAUUCAAAGCCUUACUCAUAAAUCAUAAUCAAAACUGAAGCACUUGAUCAUCAUAAAGCAUGGGUAUUGCAUAAACAAAUCGAUUACUAAAACUCCACAACUACGAUUUAGAAUUCAAGACAAUGCUCAUAAUCUAAAGUUGCAAAGACAAAAUAAAAGACAAGCAAGCCAAGGUAGACACUAAAAACACUUGCACGAUCCUUGAAUUUUAUUCAUGCUUCUUCUCACAAAGACGCUAAAGUAGCCAUGUAGGCCUAAGUCUUCCCAAAAGCUUAAGAAGACUACUACUUUAUCUACUUUUGGUUCUAAUAAAAACACUAAUCUAGACUCUCACAUGAUUCGACUCGACCAAACUAGAUCCAAAAACUCAUACGAGCGACAAUCUCCCCCCCCCCCUCUCAAAUCUACGACCUCCUCGUGGUAACCAUAUGGAGUACAAGGAAAAGACGCUUGUAAACGCACUAAUGACGCUACCCGGACUACUUGCACACGGAAUGGUUGCUGUUUCCUUUGCUUUGUUCUUCGUCAUGUUGCUGCACAUCCCGAAGAGCUUCCUCACGUUCCUCUGCAAGAACUUGAACUUGAACUUGUCCUCCUGACGGCAAUCAUUAUCUUCUGCCUUUUGAUCCAGAGCUUGUAAGGCUUGCAUGAUGUCAUUGAACGCAUCGAAGAGGUAGUGGAUGUUCUUCCUGCAAGCUGUGGAACAUGUACGAUCAUGCUCCUACGAUUCUGGCCCGUCGUCUUCUAGAUCCUCCUCUUUGCCCUUGUCUUGACGGUGGCCAUCUUGCUCCUUGCUCGUCUUCUUGCCUUCAGCCCGAUCCCAGUACGUGUUGUCAUCUUCUUCAUCAUCACGGCCUGCAGCACCCUAUGAUCCAUUGUCUAUCUUGUAUGAAAGAAUCAGAAGCUUGUUCUCCUCAGGGUGUCUUGCGCGGUGCAGCGUUUGCAAGUGCAAGGCUUGCUAGUUCUUUUUACACAUUGUAAUGUUCAUUGCAUGCUCUAAUUGUUCUACAUUUGUAAUUUCUUGGUGAAGUUUGGUUACUGAUCCACUGUUUGAUUAACUCUUGGGCCCAAACACUGUACUACUUCUGAUUAGAUAUCUGUAUCUUAACUUUGACCAAAAAAAAUAUCCGGCAGUUUUUGCCAUUAAAGUUUCAUAAAUCAUCUUGCAAAAAUCGUACUAUACAACAAGGGACGGUUUAUUAUAAAAUAUACGUUCCCCUUAUCACAUGCCACUUCCACUCAAAAGGCAACGAAUCAGUUUUCAAUCCUGAGUGAGCAAUUUGCUUUUAUUACCGAUGCCUCCUAUUCCCUUGUGCACCAAGUUCAUUUUGGAUAGGACUGCAAAAAGCGACUAACCAGCUCGGAUUCUCCACCUGCAAAACCGCAUCUGCAGCAACCAACCCCACGCGGUGGAAAAAAAAACAAAACCCAGAAACCGGACGGGGGUGGAUGUGGGGCUCGGAGCCCAAGCAAAAAAAGGAUCGGGAGCGCCGGAGCAGGCCAUCACCGGAUGUUAGAGAUAGAAAAUGGUUGAAGUUGGAGUGGAAAUCAAACAAGCCUUGGAGCAAAGGAAAAAAAAGAUCAAACCACUCAAGCAUUCAUUUGAUUUAGAAAAGAGAACAUUUGUUAAGGUGGGGAGUUGAAAUCAUCUUUUAAUUAGUUCCACGUAUCUGGUAUCAUUACAGUUGGUUGACUUGUGUAAGUAUAUAAGUAGCUCUGCCGAAGCCUUUGCUCCUAUAAUUUAGUAACUAGUACAAAUGGAUCAUUAGGAAAAUCAAGUUGCAAUCAUUUCUCAGCCAACCAAACCUAUCUAAAUCAAAUUAUUGUCCAUGCCCGGCAUGCACAGGUGCCUGCCAUGCAUGCAUUGUUGCUCCAUUGUAAUAACCAUUAUUGUCCAUUGAUGUUCCAGCGCAUGUGUGCACUGUGCAGACACCAAGCAUCGAGAUUAUGUACUAGUAAGGUACCAAGAACACGUGAAGCACACGGGGGAGGCUGCUCCACUCGGCAUGCACAGGUGGGGCACGGCACCACUACUCGUCUCCUUCAGGCAGAGGACAAGUGAUGUACGCUGAUCAACCACUAGUAGAAAAACGACUUUCCAUCCACCCCCUUUUGUCCCGGUUUAAAGUUGGCCCGGGAUAAAAGGUUCACCAACCGGGACUAAAACUCGGUCACUGGUGGGGGGCUCACCAACCGGGACCUUUUAUCCCGGUUGCAAAGGCUAGUGGGAAAAAAAGACUCUGAGAGGCCUUUUAUCCCGGUUUGAAACACCAACCGGGAUAAAAGGUGGUCUUUUAUCCCGGUUGGUGUUUCCAACCGGGAUAAAAGGGUCCCCACGAGUUAAUACAAAAGGAUAGUAUCCCCUAUAUAGUCAGAUGUGGUGUGUAGGUGGGAUGGCAAGGAAUCUCCGCCCUCUCCACCUUCGGUACUCCAUGGGAAACCAUUCCUUUGGAACCAAGGAAGCUUGAACAGUAUAACGAAUAAAGUUUCAUAUAUCCAUUUGAUUUCACAUGAAAUAAAAUAUCCUGUCAGAACCAAUGGUUUCACUGAAGCUCCAGGCAGCGAGCGAAGGGGUGAGAGAGGAUAACGCUUACUGUGUGUUACCAUCACGUGCACCAUGGAUGACCAACGCGCAGCCGAGAUGAAACGGCGGACCUAAACAGGUCCUCGCUAUUUUUGCAGGUUCUCGACCAGGCCAGUUCUUUGGGCCAACCUAUAAUUCACGAGUUAAACAUACGGUGGCUGUAGAAAUGUUCUAUUCUUUUCAACAAUACCAGCUGGUUCCUCCGUUUUUAUUCCACCAAUACAAGCACCACCUUGUAACAUUUCCUAUGUUUUUUUUCCUUUCGUCUGUUUUCUCACUACAUGCGUUGCUCUUUCAUGCAUUUUUUUCCAUUCCUGUAUUCCAAAUAGGUCUACAUGAACACAAAAUGAACUAGGGGACAGAAAAAGCCAGUGAAGUUAGUUUUGAGCUUCACCAGCUACUUGCUACAUAAAGUGUGCUAUAGUCGCAGAAAAGCUAAGCUGGAUCAGACGUGGCCGAAACCAUGCCAAAGAGCUAGGUCCCUAGCUGAUGGCAACACAUCAGAUGACUAGCCUGCUUUUUUGUAAUAAUGAUAUUGAGCAAUACACUGCAUGGCUAACCUGCUUUACAAUAAUUGUCAUUUUAUAAUAUUGGUCAUCACGAGAGAUGCACAUUGCAUACACCGGUCCAUCCCUAUAAAUAGCCAAGCCUUUCAGCCAUCUUGGGCACCUCCUCUCAGGGCCUCGUCUCACCAUUAGACAUCUCGUUCCCAGUUAUAAUUUGCGAGGUUAGAUCAGGCUGCGCCAUGGCGUCCGCAGCUGCUGUCAAGAUCGCCGCCAUCUUCAUGCUGGUGCUGACCAUGGGCCACCUGAUGGCCGAAGCAUCACCGCAGCCUCGGCGUCUGCUUGCAGAAACGGAGCAUGCUGCGGUGUCCGGGAAUCCUGGCCUCCCAGGUGAUGCUAGCGUCAUGCAGGUCCUCGAACCCGCCCUAGUUUCUCCUCUUGCCUGCAAGCCAGAGUGCACAGUCCCUUGGCCUCCUUUUGUAUGUAUCUGCUAGAUCCUCUUCCUGGAUCAACGGAACUUCAGGGAAAUGGCUGUGACGUCGGCCAAAGAAUAAAUUGGCUGAACAUAAUAUACCCCGGGUAGUGUAGCUUGGGCUUUUGUUGAGCGUCUGGUACUAGUUGUAUUUUGUUUGCUCAUGUGGCUUUGUUUCUGGUUGCAUAUUGUCUUUCCUAUCGCUCUCUGUUGCAGCUAUGGUUUCUGCCAGGUGUGUGUCAAUGCGGUUUGUAAGCGGUGCUUGUUCCUACCUUCUGUUUUCAAUAAAAGAAGUCGGAGUCUCCCUCCGACUCUUGUUAUCAGUCAAGAAAAAUGAGUUGUAUCAUAUAUAUCUGCGUCUUUUUUCUAUGUAUCUCUGGGCUGCUUCAGCUGGAAGUUUAUCGUAAGUACGUGUAUCAGGAUGAUCGUUUGAAUUAAAACGAAAUGAUAAUGUGUGGCUGCUAGAAAUGGAAUGAGCAUCUUACUAUAUUACUAAUUGGAAGCCUCCACGUGAAGCCACCUAGAAAUUCUAGGUGGAUGUUUUAAAAAAAAGAAAACCAAUAGAAGCCUCCACCACCUAGGAAUCCUAGAUGGACGCUCUAAAAAGAGAGAAAUCCUAGAAAUUCUAAAAAAAGAAAAAAAAUAAUAACAAUAAGAUUUUUUUUGCAGUCAGUUACAUAUAUUUUUUUGAGACACCGUGCUGCUAGCUCUUGCCAUUGCGACCAAUAAAGCAAGCAGAUAGUAAGAUGACAUGCGUGUGGAUUGAUUAAAACAGAUUCUGUUAGUUGAUUCUAAAUCAUAUGUAUCCUAAAAGGAACUAGAUAUGUGCGUGCAUGGUCCCUAGCGAUGACAUGUAGACAUGUAUUGCAAUUUCUUUUUUAAAAAAUAUGUCUAUCUCUAAACCAACAAACAGAAAAAAUAUCAAUCUAAAUCUAAAUCUCUUCCGUUCUCACACGCCUAUUAAAGAGAACACAACCAAUCCCAUCCAUGUUCCAUAGAAUCCAUCUAAAAGCUUGCUCACUGCGGACGGCAAAUCAACGAAAGAUCAUCCUCUCCAAAUAGCUAGACGGCAUCACCAUCUUUAUCUCACCAACCUACAGAGCUACAACGAUGUUGUAGAGAUCAACUAGGUAACCUACCAAUCACCCUCCCCUUUUCUAUAUGCUCUAAAGAACACGUGGAGUAAUUAUAGGCCUAUAGGAGCCGACUAACCUAGAUUAAUAUGAAAAAUAUUCCAAUAUUAAAAGCAAGCAGAUAGUAAUACUUGCCUUUGAGCAUUUUUCAAGAACUGUUAUUCCUAUUGAAUGUUCAAGUGCUACGGCCAGGCAUCGAAUGUCUGCACGGAACCUUCCUAUUGAAUGGUUACUCUAGAGAUCAACGCACCGCGAGACAUUGUUUUUGGAAUUUGUUUGAUUCCCCUUCUACAAUUAGAUUAAUUUUUCAUGGUAUAUAUUACUACUAUUAAAUUAUUUGUUUAUUAUCUGGCCUGCUGCAUGUGUGGUAUAGAUGACUUGCUUCUCACCAUUGUUCUCAAACUGUUAUUCCUAUCCAAUCUUUCUAUCGAAAUAUAUUUUAAUUACUUGAUUGUUGUUUGUGUACCAUAACUUCUGUAUAGAAAAAUUCCAUGUUUGUAGAUAAUGUCUUUUGUAUAGAAAAAUAGCCCAAUUAGGUCCAUCACCAUCUUUUGCUUAUGUAGUUGAACAAGUUGCAAUGCUGAACAAAACUUUAAGUGAAAUUAGACUAGGAAAAGGAAUUGUGGAACAUUAAGGCAAGGGUAACCAGAUUGUGGAAUGCAACCUUACUCAGUAGUGGCGAACAAUUAAGUCUUGACAUGAUCCUUAUUGAUCAAGAGGUAUGAUAGAUGUUCACUUUGAUUGCAUUUUUGGUAUAAUUUUUGGCUUACAAAUUAUUAAUGAUGAUGCAAAAUUAGGGAACCAUGAUCCACGGUGUUAUCAAUAAGCCCUAUAUGGAAAAGUUCAAACCAUUGAUUGAAGAAGGCAAUGUGUACAUAAUUGCAAAUGUCAGAAUCACACCAGAACCACAGAAGUAUCGGCCAGUGGGAAAUGACAGGAUAGUCAACUUCUUACCCACAACUGCACUAAAAAAGGUCAAAGAUACUGAAGACAUUCCAAAGUAUAGUUUUAACUUCAUGAGCACGGAUAUGCUUUCAGCAAGAAUAAAUGUGGACAUGUACCUAUCAGGUAAAACAUUACUGGUUUUUCAAUUUUUACACUUCCACUCAUUCAAUGACCAUCUAAUAAUAAUUCAGAUUUAUGUUUCAUAGAUGUUAUAGGUAUCUCAGCUCACAUUGGACCGAUAGAAGAAACAAGGACAAACUUCGGAUUUACCAAAAUCCGUGAUAUUGUGCUCCUGAUCGAGUAAUUCUCAUUUCUUUUGUAGAGAACAACUAUGAAACUUUCAACAUUUACAUGUAUGGUAUAGAACUUCUGUUGAACUAAAAGAUAUCUUCUACAGUGCCCCUACAAAUAAUUAAUUUCGCAGUUAGGUAUUUAAAAUAUUAAUUAUUCACUUUUAAUUUUGUGGCCAUGAAGUUAAAGUUAGAUUUUGGGGAGACAAAGUUGAGGAAGUUGAUGAUAAGACAAAAUCCCAUGUCAUUGCAAUAACAUCUACAACUGUGAGGAAAUUUGGCAGUAAGUCUUCAUUCAAUAUGAGUUAUUCAAUAUUAGUCAUUCAACAAACUAACCUCCUAGGAAAAAUAAAUAAUUGAUAUUUUAUCAGGGUAUUCUCUAUCGUCAACCAAUGCAACAAAAGUUUAUGUAGAUCUACCUAUUCCUGAAACUAAGGAUGCGCAUGAUAGGUGAGAAAAAUUAGAUAUUGUUUUUCUAUUUUAAUCUAUGUAGCAUGCACUCUAACAUGAUACAUUCUUUCGUAUGAUGAAAAAAUGUUAGUUCAAUUGAUAAUAUUGUCAAAGAGAUUCAUUAUUGAGGACCAUCUAAAAGGGAUAUUGGAAGACCAAAUGCAGUACAAUAGAAGAACUUUAGAAGAAUUAAAUUUGAUAUUAUUUGAAACAUCAAAUCAGGUAUGGAUUAGUAUGUUCAUUGUACACUAUACUAUUUAGAGACAUACAUACAUAAUGAUGGUAUUGUUCCUACUUUCAGGAUGAGGUAUUUACGAUGAGGUAUUUACUAUUGAAGCAACAAUAAAUGAAAUUAAUGCAACAUAUGGUUGGUACUACAUCUCAUGUAGUAGAGGCGAUUGUAAGAAGCAACUUGAAAAGAAGUUUCAUCACUACUAUUGCAAUAAAUGUGACAAGAGAGCCGAACCUAAAGCAUGGUAAAUUAUUUAGUAGUUUACAAUCUUAUUAUAAUACUUCUAUUUCUAAUUGGAGAAUAAUAUUUGCAAAUUCAAAAUUAAGCUUCAAAUAAGUGAUCCAACAACAAGUGCAACUUCUGUACUUUUGACAAGGAAGCAGAAAUGAUAAUUAAUGAAUGAGCAGAUUCGAUGAUCACCUCCGUUGAUCAUGAUAAUAAGUAGCUACCAAAAUCAACUAUGCAAAAAGUAGGAACAGAUCUUAAUCGGCUAUGCAAAAAGUAGUAAAUUGAGCAAUAAGAUAUAAAAAAGCUGACAGUCCUAAUUCCAAGCUGUAUAACUGGUGAUAAAACUAGAACAACAUGCAAAACCUAGAAUUCUAGUGAUUAUCGAUAACUGGUGAAUAAAUCUAAACAAAACGACAGCAAUGCGCCCGAAGUUAAAGCUUAGAUAUUACUUGAUAAGCGGAACUUAUAGAAUCGGCCGGAGAUCAAGUUGAUGCAGCCCCGCCAACCCGUACGAACUCGUGAAAAGAAGAAAAGUAUUGGCGAAGUCGCCUGCUCGAAAGUAAAGUGCGAGGAAAUAGUAGUUUGUUGUAUUGAUUUGAUGAUGAUUACAGAUCUAUGAAAGCGGCUAUUUAUAGCCAGUUACAACCAAUCUCUUAACUGACUAGGACUCUAUCUCUAAUUUUAAACGAAAACGAAUAUUUACAAGCAUAAUUCGUAUCGGAGUUGGUCAUCGUGUUCCCAUGGGCCGAUCUCCUUUUUAUCUUCAUAGCUCACUUUAGGCCCAUAUUGGCCCAACUGCUCCAACCUCCCAAUCGGCCGAUUUCCACCAACUCCAUCCGCCGAAAUACUACAGCACCAAUCGGCCGAUCCUCAACUGUAGCACCAAUCGGCCGAUUCCCAAUCGUGACCUCCGUGUUUCGCCGCAUCAGCUGAUUCCUUCCCUUCUUGACGCCGAUUUCAUACGCGUCAAAAUCUGGCAUCAACACAUGCCCCAAGUUUCGGAGUAAAACAUAAUCUUUACUUCAAAAUUCCUUUCAACUUCCCUUCCGAAACAAACGCAUUGAAAAUACCCUUCCGUUUCGCGGUCUUCUGCCUGAUGAUUGCAAUCUUUUCGAAACGGGCGCCCACGACAACCACUCCUCCUGAAAAAAUCGAACCGCCGGCGUGGUAAAAAUUCCGCUUUUACCCUUUCUCAGACCGCCCUUAGAUAUCAGUACGUCCCGUACUUCUUCUUCACGAGCCCACGUCUUCCUUCUUUGGCGCACUGACCUCCUUCUUCUUCCGGCGUCUCUUUAGCCUCUAACCUCUCACUCCGGCGAGUUCUUCCAUCUACAUUCCACCCCACCUUCCCGAUGGCAACACCUUCAGGCACUCCACCAACAUCCGAGGUCCCGGAGACGGCUCCAUCAGCAGCGGCUCCAACAGCAAUGGUGGCAGCUCCAUUGGCAGGAGCAGGAGCUCCAUCGGGCGGGAGCGGGAGCUUCAUCAACGACCACAAUGAGCUUCAUACCAGAGGUUUCUACCAAAACUUUCCUUUCCGCUCCUCUAUGUCGAUGCAUUUACCUUAGAUCAUUUCUUACUGCCCCUUCCAUUCUUUACCUGUUUAGGCAGUUAGGCACCACAUUACUAUUCGCCUCACCGAAACUCCCGGCCUUAUCUAUUUUGGUCCCAUGGGAAACCCAGAUCCAACCGACCUAAUCAAUUUGGAAACCCAUAGGAUCCCUUUCAAGCAAUCAACCAUGGACCUAGAUCACUGGUCAGGUACCUUCAGAUCAUGGCCGAAUGAAACCCCCGGCUGGAGGGAAUGGUACAAAUGGAUAGCCGCCUCAAAAAGAGUUCAAUGGGACGAGCACAAAAUCGGCCAGUGCAUCGACUUAUCUUUGUCCCAAAUGGAAAGGAAUGAGCCUUUAGUAAUAGCAGCCUCCUACUUUUGGUCCGAUGCCCUAAACGCAUUCCCCUUAGGACACGGAGCUAUGACCGCUACCCUAGCCGAUGUGGUCAUGUUGACCGGCCUUGAUAUCUCCUCUCCCGAUACUCCUUUCCGUUACUUGGCCAAAACAUCCCAUCGGCUAGAGACGAAAGGAAUCGGCGGGUGGAAAGGAUUCAUCAAGUGCAACAGAAGGGCCGGGACAGCCCAGGAAAGAGAGCAUGCGGCCUUCUUGAUGAUGUGGCUAGAAAAACACCUUUUUUGCGGGAGGGCAGCCGGUCCAUCCACUAACACACAGGCUUUGGCCGAGGCACUAUCGAUAGGUGCCUCUGUUCCUCUUGGAAAGCACCUAUUGGGAUCGGUUUACCAUAUGCUGCAUCAGAUCGGCGUCAAGCUAUCCAAAGGAGAGCCGAUUGGAAACCCAGGUGGACCCUGGUGGUUCAUCAACUUGUGGCUUAAUCUAUAUAUGAGCAAGAUCUCCCAGCAGCGAGUGGAGUACAUGAUGUUCCCCAACAUCGAAUCGGCAGAGAAUCCCACUGUACGGUGCCGGUGUACUUCCUUCGGUGAAGCGGCAUCGGCCUUCUCCGGUUGCUCAUAUUCUGCUGCCAAGGUGGCCGAAUACUUCAGAUGCUUCUACAAUGGCUUCAGCAAAGACGCAACCAGCUUGUUCCCUUAUCAAAGGGAGGAACCACUCUUCGAGCUCCCCUCCUGUUUUGACUCGGCCACCAGCAAAUUUGAUGAGGACCUCACAGAUGAAUUGAUCAAGCCUCUCGGGGAAGGAUGCCCCCACUUAUGAGUUUUACCAUCCUUCCGUCACAGCACGGCAAUUCGGCUUGGGUCAACUGCCGAUUUAUGCAUACUUCACCGGCCGAGCAAAAUUUCGAGACGAGCUCACCAAAGGUCUCCACUACUACGAUCGGAUUCCAGACUCCAGCACCAUAGACUUGGCCAGUUGGAUAGUAGCCCCUUUCGCUGUUCAGCAGUUCAAGCUAUGGUGGGUGGAAUGGAAGCAACAUCUAUUCUGCGCCUCUACGGCGAUAUAUUGUAAUCUCCUGAAUCCCGACAACAUCGAUCCGAAUGCUGAGGUAUCGCUCUCUUUCUAGCUGAUUUUCAACUCCUUUUUUUUUAUACUGACUCUUAUUAUUAUUUCAGUCUGAGAGCCAUGCUCCCCCAAAAUGCAGUCGGAGUGGUCGGUCGAUAGAGGACCGUUAUCCAUACACAACAUUCCCCCUCAUCGGCUAUCACGCCCCCUCCGUUGAUGACAUAGCCGGCCGAGCGAAGCAAGCGCAGAAAAAGAUUAUCAAGAAGACAAGUCGCCGAGUACGCGCCCGCACAGAAUCGGCCGAUCCACCCGUGGUUGCAUCGGCAGAAAUUUCGGCUACGCCGACCCUUCCGGUCGCUGAAGAAGUUGACCUCCAAGCCGCUAAAGAGGCCGGAGCGGCUGCCGCGUCAUUGUUGGUGGAAGCUAUUCAGGUAAACUCACCAUCCGAUUUUCCUGACAGUCAUUUCAAUACUGACCUUUCCUUUAUUAGGCCGUGCAGAUUGCCUCAGCAGAUCCACAGCAAUCUGCAAUGCCCCAAGCAGAAGUUGAAAUACCAGUGCCCCUUCCCGUUGAGGUACAUGAUCUCUCAACUCACUUCUUUAAUAUUUGAAUGAUGAUCCUACCAACCUUGACGCAGGUCAUCGGCACGUUAACUAUGCUAUCCGACUAGCCAUCUGCCAAAGAAGUCCUUCAAGAGGCCGGCCCGAGCAGAACGCCGAUCGUUGUCGAAUCCUCUUCUUCCGAUGAGCCAAUGGCACCAGUCCCCGAGUCGAUAGUGGUUGUUCCACAAACGCAGAUGGAGGAGAUCCAUUUCAAAGAGGUGAGAAGUCAUUUGACUCGCAUUUACCGAUUCGUCACCACCAUCGGCUGACUCAUUUUCCUUUUAUUUAUCAUUCACAGGAAUAGGACACUCCCAAUAAUAGCCUCUUCUCAUUUGCGGUCGCGCUCUCUGAUGACGAGGAAGUUGCUUCUCGUCAAGUUACUUUGAGCUCCAUCCCCGAUGACGUCCGCGCUAAGCUUGAAAGUAUACGGUCCCUUCUUUAAGAGGACAUCAGCCGAUUGGUGGAGGACGCCUCGCCGAUUCGGCAGCUCUUUGGUGACGUCAACGGGCGAGUCCCAGAGGAAGCAGAAGAAGCCUUGGCACCGGCCGCUUAUAUCGAGUCGAUGCGGAUCCCGGUCUUCAGGGCUCUGCGUCACAUGGCCGAUCGCGCCAAGCUGGCCAAGACUCGUGAGGAAGAGGACUCGUACAAGCAACGGGCCCAGGAGGUACACCAUCGGAUUCACUUCCUCGAGAAUUCCCGACCUGGACUCGUCGGCACGAUAGAUCGCCUCAAGCACCGAAGGGCGGAACUUGCCAAGGAGAUGGAGUAGGUAACCAAAGAAAUAGCUAUUGAAGAGAAGAAGCUUCAGGAACUCCCUUCCGUUAUCGCCGAUUUAAAGCAGGAGAGGCAGCAUUUGGCCCAUGAGGCCCUUAGACUCCAUCGCCAUAUGUCAGAAGUUCCAGGGUCGGCAGAUGAUGACCAACGAGUCUUGGACUCGGCCGAUCAGAUCAGGCAUCGAGCGAUUGCGGCCAUUAACGCCCUUCUGGGUGACUUGUAAAAGUACUAGCCGUUUUGUACGAACAUUAAUGCCUUUUGACCGUCCUUCGCGGCGCUCUCCUAUUUAUUACCCUUUUUACUCUGACAGGACGCGUCUUACCAAACCUCCGCUCUUCCUCUUAUUAUAAAUACCGGCCCUGGUUUCGCUCUUGAGAAUACCUGCUCCACUCGAUUCCUUUUUCCCCCAUUACGUUUCCAUCGGAACGUUCGUAGUCAUGUCUUCUUCAUCUUCUUCUUUCUCCUCUCCUUGUAUCAAUCAGGUACGAGGUCCGUCUUCGCCCUUUUUUCAGUUUGAUCCCUUUAAAUCGUUCCAACUUUUAGGCGGCUAUGUGCUAACUUCUUCAGCCAAGGCACCUUAUCCCUGAACUCGAAUGAGCAAUCGAACUCGUGCACUCUAAUGAGUCGUUGUCGCAAGAGGACAAGGACUUGAUCAAGGAACACCGUGAAGAACUCAGAGAUCACGUUCCUGCCGACGUCUAACGGAUCUGGGACUUCAUCGACGGCAAUGAUUACGGGCGACCGCAAGUUGACAGGAGCCACCCACUUCCUCUUCCGGUUGUUCUUGAAAACGCCGCGGUAGGGACAUCGCGCCCGGUGAUGGAUCGGAGCCAUCCUCUUCCUUGCCAAGUUGAGGCGGAGGCCGCGAUGAGAGAUGUGGCAGAACGAAGCAUUCGCCUUCUAAUGGAAUUAGGUAGGAUUGAGAGGGAACUCAAGAAGAAGCGUAGUUGAGUAUUUUUUGUUCUAAGGGCGAAGUGUACUGUGUCGGUCGUGUAAUUCAUCGUUCGUACUGAAUCACAAAUCGGCCGAUUUGAACGAUUAUUUUUCUCCUUUAGGCGAUUUCUUCUCCCGUAUCGGCUGUGUGAUCGUUCAGGGAGCGAUCUUUCUGUCUUGUCAAUGCCUUGCGAUCGAUUCUUAUGUUCCGACCCAUAUACUGGGGUAAUACCUUUUCAAGUACCUCCCGUUUAAGGCCCUAGUAAAUUCUUCUCCUUCGAUCAUUUCCAGAAUGUAAGCGUUUCCCAGGGCACAUCGGCCGAUUCUAUACAGCCCUUCCCAAGUGGGAGACCAUUUACCGAAUUUAGGAUCUUUUGAUCCAAUCGGCAACACUAACUUCCAUACCAGAUCCCCUUGGGAGAACUGCUUGACUUUGACCUUCUUGUCAUACCAUCUGGCCACUUUCUUUUUGUUUUCCUUGAUACUGAUCAAGGCUCUCAAACGUUGGCCCGCCAAAUCGUCGAGUUCCCUAUUCAUGAGCGAGGAGUAAUCAUCGGCCGUCAGCUGAUCUUGAAGCGACGUGCGUCUCGACCCUGUUCUCAACUCCCAUGGCAAUACUGCCUCAUGACUGUACACCAAUUGAUAAGGAGACACCUUGGUAGCCCCAUGGCAGGCCAUCCUGUAUGCCCAUAGAGCUUCGGUUAGACAUAAGUGCCAUUUUUUGGGUUGUUCUUCGAUCUUCCUCUUGAUCAACUUGAUUAUCCCUUUAUUGGAAGAUUUGGCCUGGCCGUUAGCCUGAGGAUAGUACGGGGAGGAAUUUAGCAACUUGAUUCCCAUAUCGGCCGUGAACUCCUCGAACUCUCCCGACGUGAACAUCAUCCCUUGAUCAGUUGUGAUAGUCUGAGGGAUGCCGAAACGAUAGACAAUAUGAUCCCUCACGAAAUCGACCAUAGCGGCCGAUGUUACGGCCUUUAAUGGAACCGCCUCCACCCAUUUGGUGAAAUAAUCUGUGGCUACCAGAAUGAAUUUAUGUCCUUUACUUGACGGAGGAUAAAUUUGUCCAAUGAGGUCUAUUCCCCAACCUCUGAACGGCCACGGCUUGAUAAUUGGAUUCAUAGCCGACGCGGGCGCGCGUUGCACAUUCCCAUAUUUCUGACAAUCUUGGCAUCCUUUAUAAUACUUGAAACAGUCCUCAAGGAUUGUCGGCCAGUAAUAUCCAUUAUUCCUAAUCAUCCACUUCAUCUUAUGCGCCGAUUGGUGGGCUCCACACACCCCUUCGUGCAUUUCUCCCAUCAGGGUCUUUGCCUCCUCCGUCCCUAGGCAUUUGAGUAGAACACCAUCAAUCGUCCGGUAGAACAAAUCAUUUUCCAAUAACACAUAUUUUGUGGCCUGAAAUCGUAUUCGCCAAUCCACUUUCUUAGAUGGGUCUUUUAAAAAAUCGGCGAUCUCUUUUCGCCAGCCGUCGGCCGCGAGUUCCAGAAUCAUGGCGCCUUGAAUCGGCCGAUACCCGAACGCGUGCUGAGCCAGCCUGUUGGCUUCUUCAUUGUAAUCCCUGGGGAUAUGCUCAAUAACUGUGGAUUUGAAUUCUUUCAGAAGUUGGAGGCAAUCCUCAUAGUAAACCCUUAAUACAUCAUCUUUGCACUCGGAUCUUCCUGUCAAUUGGUCCACGAUGAGCAUGGAAUCUCCAAAAACCUCGACGGUGUCGGCCUUAAUUUCUCUUAACAAUUGUAACCCUUUCAGGACAGCCCGGUAUUCCGUCUGGUUAUUAGUGGCGGAUGCUUCUAUCGACAGAGAGAAAUCAUAGCAUGCCCCCUGAGGCGAUAUGAGAACGAUGCCGAUUCCCGAUCCGGCCCCACAUGACGAGCCAUCAAAAUAUAAGGUCCACGGUACUGGUUCCACGACAGCGAUUUUUGGUCCGCAGUGUUGGGCGACGAAAUCAGCCAUAACCUGACCUUUGAUGGCGUUUGCCGAUUCGUACCGUAGAUCAAACUCUGAUAAAGCCAAAAUCCACUUUCCGAUCCACCCUUUCAAAAUCGGCAAUGACAGCAUAUACUUUACUACGUCAUUCGUGCAUACAACCACGCAUUCUGCCGAUAACAAGUAGUGCCUGAGCUUGGUGCAUGAGAAGUAAAGACAUAAGCACAGCCGCUCUACCGGGGGAUAUCUUGAUUCGGCGUCCAAAAGUCUUCUACUAAUAUAAUAUAUUACCCGUUCCUUUCCUUCGAACUCCUAGACCAGUGCCGAUCCGAUAGCUCGCUCAUCGGCUGAUAAAUACAGCUUGAAUGGCUUACCAGUUUCUGGUGGGACCAAGUACUGCUUGAUGUCUUCUAGUGCCUUGCGUUGCUCUUCUCCCCAUACGAACUCUUGGUUGGGUUUCAAUUUCAACAACGGUGUGAAGGCCUGGAUACGUCCAGAUAGGUUGGAUAUGAACCAGGCAACGUUGGUAAAGAAAACUGCUAAGAGUAAACUAAACAACGCUACAGUAGCAACACUAGGAACGGAUCUUAAUCGGCUAUGCAAAAAGUAGUAAAUUGAGCAAUAAGAUAUAAAAAAGCCGACAGUCCUAAUUCCAAGCUGGAUAACUGGUGAUAAAACUAGAACAAUAGGCAAAACCUAGAAUUCAAGUGAUUAUCGAUAACUGGUGAAUAAAUCUAAACGAAACGACAGCAAUGCGCCCGAAGUUAAAGCUUAGAUAUUACUCGAUAUGCGGAACUUACAGAAUCAGCCGGAGAUCAAGUUGAUGCAGCCCCGCCAACCCGUACAAACUCGUGAAAAGAAGAAAAGUAUUGGCGAAGUCGCCUGCUCGAAAGUAAAGUGCGAGAAAAUAGUAGUUUGUUGUAUUGAUUUGAUGAUGAUUACAGAUCUAUGAAAGCGGCUAUUUAUAGCCUGUUACAACCAAUCUCUUAACCAACUAGGACUCUAUCUCUAAUUUUAAACAAAAAUGAAUAUUUACAAGCAUAAUUCCUAUCGGAGUUGGUCAUCGUGUUCCCAUGGGCCGAUCUCCUUUUUAUCUUCAUAGCUCACUUUAGGCCCAUAUUGGCCCAACUGCUCCAGCCUCCCAAUCGGCCGAUUUCCACCAACUCCAUCCGCCGAAAUACUGCAGCACCAAUCGGCCGAUUCCCAAUCGUGACCUCCGUGUUUCGCCGCAUCAGCUGAUUCCUUCCCUUCUUGACGCCGAUUUCAUAUGUGUCAAAAUCUGGCGUCAACACAUACAUAAUGAUGGUAUUGUUCCUACUUUCAGGAUGAGGUAUUUACUAUUGAAGCAACAAUAAAUGAAAUUAAUGCAACAUAUGGUUGGUACUACAUCUCAUGUAGUAGAGGCGAUUGUAAGAAGUAACUUGAAAAGAUGUUUGAUCACUACUAGUGCAAUAAAUGUGACAAGAGAGCCUAACCUAAAGCACGGUAAAUUAGUUAGUAGUUUACAAUCUUAUUAUAGUACUUCUAUUUCUAAUAGAGAAUAAUAUUUGCAGAUUCAAAAUUAAGCUUCAAAUAAGUGAUCCAACAACAGUGCACUUGUGUACUUUUGACAAGGAAGCAGAAAUUAUAAUUAAUGAAUGAGCAGAUUCGAUGAUCACCUCAGUUGAUGAUGAUAAUAAGUAGCUACCAAAAUCAAUUCAGAAAAUAUGUGAAGAAACAUUGAUUUUUCAAUUCAAAUUGACCGAGUACAACUUGACAAGUUUUAGACCUGAUUAUACUGUUUCAAAGAUAUUUUUUCCAAAAGAAAAGAGCAGUUCUAGAAUUGGUAUGGAAAGUGUAAAAAAGGUAACACUUUAUUCUUAAGUUUUUAUUGCACUUUUUUCUUUUGAAUCCUUAAUAUUUAAUAAUUUUACUAUAUCAAUGAAACAAAUUCUAACCUAAAUUUACAACUCAGACAAAUGCUACAUGAUAACUACCGAGAAUGAAGAGGUAGACACUGAUGACUCUUUUACCGAGAAAGUAACAUUCGUAGAAGAAGCCAUAAGGACUGGGGAAAGAUUGGCUAGAAAAGUAUACUCACUUCCAUCUAAGUAUUCAUUCUAUUUACAAUACAUGCAAAAAAAUAUUAUUCAUGCAAAAUUGCAGGUCUACUAAGCAUUAAAGGAAUAGCGGAUAGUGCAAUAUCUAAUUUGAGCAGCAUGCAUUACAAAGUGCUCUACUGCAAUUAAAUUAAAAAACAUGAUAUAUGUUGAAUUCUUAGACUUUAUUAUUAUACUUUUCUAUGUGACAAUUCACAAUUUUUUAGAAAAAAGAAGAUCCCAGAAGAAGUGACCAUGAAAAAAGGUCUAUGCCCAGCAAUAAGAAAAAAUGCAAGCAUAGAAACAAAUCCGUAGAAAACAUAGAAAAUAAGGUACUCCAUAAACAAAAGUAUUCUCUUAUAUUUUUAUUAAAUAUUUCUUUAACACUUGACAAGUUCUUUUUUAGGAUCAAUAUAUCAGCAAUUCAGAUGUCAUUGGAGAUGAAAACCUUAGUUCGUCCAAAAGGUCAAAAAAAACAUCUGAAGAAAGGUGUUUGGCUGAAAAGGAAAAGCAAGAAAGUUGUAAUGCAGACAAACACAUGCAGAAAAAUAUAAAAACAUGUAAUAGGGAGGCAGACCAAUCUUGCAAGGAGGUAUAGACGAAACGUGAUACACGACCUGCCUACCUUGUCGUGGAUACCCCAAGAAGAUGUCAUAGAGGUGCAGACCAAGCUAGCAAGGAGGUCGAAACGUGAUACACGGCCUGCCUACCUUGCCGUGGAUAUUAGCCCUAAGAUCAUUCUACUGUUCAAGGAAUAACACUCAAUGCUGCUGCUGCUGCUGACCUGGCUCCAUAAAGUUAUACUCCUCUAGGUGCUUGCACUAACUUUAUCUGAAGUAUUAUUCUCUCUGCACUGUAUAUAUGGUUAUGGAGUUUGCUGGAGUAUCCUGGGGGAAGAACCUACAUAAUACGUCUUGGAACUAACUGACAUUGAUUCACAGACAAACUCUACAAGGUGCUGUUGUUGCCAUUUUAGAGCAUCCAAAGGACUAUAAAUAACAUAGUUUACCAUAUACCAUAUACCAUAAUAUGUUAGCUAAAAUAAGAGCAUACACAUGUUGCAGGAGUCCAAAAGCACCGGUUGAGGACCAGGUACAUUGAAUUACUAGAAAAAGACAGGGGACAAGGUUUAGGUAACCACAUGAAACAUUUGAAUUUACUGUACCAUGAACACUUAGUUACCAUGCCGGGAGCACAUAGUUAACACUAACAUUUAGCCACUUUAGAUCACCCCGAAUCACCAAUGACCCUCAAUAGUGACAAAUUUUGGUUUAAAUGCCGUCACCAAUGAUCCUCAAUAGUGACGUAUUUAGGUUUAAAUCCCAUCACUAAUAACCCUCAAUAGUGACCUGUUUUGGUUUAAAUCUCAUUACCACUUAUCCUCAAUAGUGACGUGUUAAAACGCGUUAUCUCAAUGGCAAAUCAUUGGUGACGUGUUUUAAAAAAACAUGUCACUGUGAGAGUCAUUGGUGAAGGGUAAUUAAAAUGCGUCACUAAUGUUGUAGCAUUAGUUAUGAUAAUUUAGUAAUGCAAAAAUCUACCAUCAGUAAUGAGCUUUAGAGCCAUCGCUAAUGUGGGUUUCUUACAUAGUGAUGCAAGCUCUACAAGGUGCUGUUGCUGCCAUUUUAAAGCAUCCCAUGACUACAUGUUAAUAACAUACUUUACCAUAUACCAUAAAAAUAUUAGUUACAAUAAGCACAUACGCAUGUGGAAGAGUCCGAAUGCACCGGUUGAGGACUAAACACAUUUAAUUACUAGAACCAAAUGUAUGUCCAGAACAAAGACAGGGGUCAAGGUUUGGGUAACCGCAUUAAAAACAUUGGAUUUUACUGUAGAUGAACACUUAGUUACCAUUACCAUGCCUUGAGCACCUAGUUACAACAAACAUUAAUUUAGCCACUUUAGAGCUUCCAGAAUCGCUAUAAAUAAUAUACCUACGCCGUACCAUGAAAACAUCAAGAAGAGAGACGGAUACAUGGACCACCAUCAAGCGAGUACUGACAGCACGCACAAGAAUACCCAGAACCUGUUAGCUUGUCUGUAGUGAUCUGUUUUCUUCCCCAUAAAAUCCAUGAGUAUUGCCACAAAUAAUGAAAGAGGCUGACCAAGCUAGCAAGGAGGUAGAGCAAACGUGAUACACGGCCUGCCAAGAUUGCCCUGGAUACGCCAAUAAGAGCGACAGAUACAUGGAUCACACCAAUAUGGUGAAACGUAUAUUCAUCACACAAGCAAAGCUGGUCAGUUUAUCCAUGGUCAAAUUGUGGUCUUUGUUUUCACUUGAGAGCUAAUUGAGGCACUAUAAUAUGGGCAGGCCUAUCUUCAACAGACAUGACAGCUACAGGGAACUUGACAUAAUUUGCUGGACCGCCUGUGCACAAUUAUUUGUUUUAUUGUCCUUGCAUAGAAUGCUAAAAUACUCUUUACAAAAUGUUGGAUCUAAUAUUUGAAAUAUAGAGUAGUAAUCAUAUAUUGAUCAACAACUUGAAAUUAUCUGUACAUUCUCGGUGAAGCUGUUGAACUAAUUUUUGCAAAUUAUUAAUUAAUUCAUCUCAUUACGUAAAGAAAACAGUAAGUGGAUAAGAUAUUUCGUGGACCACAUCACUGCAAACAUGUCAUGGAGAGACAGACCAAGGAGGCAGGACGUGAUACACGACUUACCCUAGGUUGCCGUGGAACCGCCAAGAAGAGAUACGGAUACAUGGACCACACCAUCUUGGGAGUAGUGACAGCAUAUAUGCAGAAGAAUACCCCGUGCCUAUUUGCAUGCAUGUCUCAAGUGAUCUGUUUUCUUCAGAAAAUACAUGAGCAUUGCCAGAAAGAAUGGCAAGAGACAAACAUGUCAUAGAUACUUGCAUGUCUUGCCUUGGAUACGCCAAGAAGAGGGACACAUACAUGGAUAACACAAAUCUAGUGACACGUAUAUUCAUCACAAAGGCAAAUCUGAUAAUUUUAUCCAUGGAGCAGACCAAGCAGAAAUUGAUGACGGACAUGUGAUCUCUGUAUUCAGUUGAAAGCUAAUUGAGCUACACUAAUAUGAGCAGGACUAUAUUCAAGAGACUUGUUGAGAGCUACAGGGAACUUGUAAUAAUUUGCUGGGCGGCCUGCGCACAAUGAUUUGUUAUACAUAGUUGAAAUAUUUCAAGAAUUUAUCAACCUCGUACUCUGAAACCCUUGGUGCAAUGUACUCUGCUUUCCGAGGUAGACUGUUCACGUAAAAUGAGGUCAUGCGUAAGACGGAAUCGGAUUGGAUUCGCAGGGAAUCAGAUUUGGAUAGCACCUUUUAGCCGGUUUUUAGUCAAAUGCAAAUUCGGAUCCAGAUGUGGUUGAAUGCGAGUUCAAAAUUCUACUUGGAUAUCCAUUUAAUUUAGGUGAUAGCAAUUAGCACAAAAUGUUGGAAGAACAAAAUCAUAGUUAGACAUACAAUUACAUGUAUUGUUAAAGUAUAAUACAAUACACCAAGAUUAUUCCUUCAAAAUAUUUCUUAAAAAUAUUAUAAUAAAUGAAUAAAUAUAAUUGUGGCCACCAACAAAUAGUCGGUGGUCACUAAGUUGGAGCCAUUUCUGGUUACUAAUGCGGCCUGCUCCUCGACCAGCGACGACAGCUGAGCUUGUUCCUUCUGACACCAAAUCAUCAGAGUCUUCCCUCCACUACUAUAGAAUGCACCUUUAGCACCAAUUGGGAAAUCCCCUUCAGUAUCGGAUGCUGCAACCUGUGCUAUGAAAAUGGAGACUAAAAGCCUCGGUCUUGGGUACCGGUUGCAUGACGCAUUACUAAAGGAGGCAAAAGAGAAAUGUAACAAAAAAAUAUUUUGAAUUCCAAGAAUGUUUCACUAUUCAAGAUGACUAACUGAGAGUCAUCAGACAAGAUACUAGGAAUGUGGGUGCUUGAAUGCAUUUGUACAGAGGUCAUACUAUUUACAAACUCUUCUGUGUUUCCAUAUGACUACCUACUUCAAUGUCACGCGAGCCAUUCAGGACACAUGGCACACAAGCUUGCAUGUCGAAUCCAUGAUUAAUUAUUUCCACUUGUGAUCUCUUACCAGUAUUUGUCCAGACUAGAAACGUGCAACACAUUUUUUGGAUAUGGACACGCAUAUAUUUGGACUAGUAUACAGGUCACCUUUGGAUGAGUACAAGGAUGACCGGGAGGGACUAAUGGAUACAAGGAAGGGACCAUCAGGAUUAAUAGUGACAUAUGCCACAUGACAAUCUUCAUUGUCAUGCAAUCCCUAUCAACAAUCAUGGAAUCCCUAGUGUACUAAUCCCUGGAGGGUUGUGUGGAAAUUUAUUUUACCUUGCGGUGAAAAUCUCAUGAGCAGUCAUUAGUUAAGCUGACUAGCUGAGAUAUAAUAGACAAGCUAGUAAGAUUGGGAGCAUCAAUGCAUCCAUACAGGGUCACAAUAUCCUUUCCAUUCACUUUUAUAUAUAACCCUACGAAUACAAGUCCAACGAAACGCGGGCCUUUCGAUCAAGAUAAAUUAAAUGGCCCACUUGUAUUUCUAAUCCAGGAUUAAUUAUGCCCUCUGUUCAUCUCUUGCAAGCACGUGCAACACAUUUUCACGAUAUGGACAUGCAUGGAGGUUAUUAUACUGUUUGGACAAACUCUGAUGUGCCAUGACCUGGGCCUGUUUGGUUUGAGUUGCUUAUUAUAAGCAACUUAAAGUUGCUUAAAGUUGCUUAUUUGAAGUUGCUUAUUUUUAGUCUAAACUGUUUGGAUACCCUUGCUUAUGAGCAUUGAAUGAGAUGGACAUUGUCAUAUUUGCCCCUUGUGUAGCUACCCCUCCAAUUUGCCUCCCCACCCUUCUUCUUCCUGCACACGCCCGAUCCCGGGGGCCGACGGCGGGCAGGGAGCAGCAGCAGCUGGCUGGGGCGGCGGUGGGGCGGGAGCGGCGGCGCACACCAGCAUGCGCUCGCACGCCAGGUGCUGGAGCGCGGCGAGGCAGUCGUCGUAGACCGCCGGGAGCGGGUGCUCGGGCGUGAGGCGGUACUCGACGGAGACAUCGAGCGUUGGGCGCGUGGCGGCGAGCGCGUUGAGGAAGCGAUGGUAGUGCGGCGACGUCGCGGACUCCGCCACGAAGCCGCCGCCGUGGACGUACACCACCACGGGCAGCUUCGUCUUGCCGUCGGCGGCCACGGCCGCGGCCUAGGGUGGCAGGUAGAGGCGGAUGGAGCAGGAGCCGAGGUCGACGUCCCCGGAGUCGACGCCCGUGGCGGCGUCCAGGCCGGGCCCGACCGGCGGCGGCACGAGCGACGCAGCCGCUCUUGUAAAUCCAGCAGGUCUGCGCGGAGGCGGGCGGCGGGCGGGAGCGGCGGCGGGUGGUGCGGAGGCCGGCGGCGGCGGGUGGCGCGGAGGAAGGGGAGCUGGUGAGUGGUGACAGGGGAGGGGGGAGAGAGAGAGGGGGGUAGGGUGCAUUGAAUGAGGGCAGGAGGUGUAAAGUGCACCUUUUAGUCCCCAUAAGCAACCAUAAGCAGCCCAAGAGUUGCUUAUUUACUUAUAAUAAGCAACCCCAUAAGCAAGAGUGAUUGGUUUCAUAAGCAACUUAUUUGCUUAUUUUAAGUUGCUUAUGCGUAAGCAUGUGAAACCAAACAGGCCCUUAACCUAUGGUUGUGGCACACAACCAUACAGUAGAUAGUAUUUAAUAAUGCUAUUCGUUUGGUAUGUGCAGAAGGGCACGCAUGAAAUGUCUGGCCCACGGUAAACAAGUACGGACGCUGCAAAUAAUCUACUCUGCUCGUCCAGUCCCUAGCCUAUAAAUAGAUGCCAUGCUAGCUCUUGUUGUGCUCACAAUUAAUCCGAUUACACACGAGCUUCUCUCCCUGGCCAAGACACAAUCAUAGUAUGAUGAAGAACAUGGCACUAGCCGGCAAUGGUAUGAAGAAGUUAAUCCUCGCUGUUCUCUUACUGUGUCUAGUUAUAGGGCAGAUACAAGUGGAAGCUAAGAGCUGCUGCCCAUCCACCACUGCAAGAAAUAUCUACAAUACCUGCCGUAUCACGGGUACAUCCCGUCCAACGUGUGCAAAACUGUCAGGCUGCAAAAUUAUCAGCGGGGACAAAUGCAAGCCCCCUAACGACCACCUCACCCUUGACCCGGACACUGGUAAAUAAUAAAUUUAUCUCACUUGAUUUCUUUGUGUUUUGAGUCGUUAAUGUAUUUUCCAUCUGAUGAAACGUAUUGGUUUUGCAUUGAAGAGGAAGUUAAUGUGCUUAACUUCUGCAAGUUGGGGUGUGCGUCGUCUGUGUGCAACAACAUCAACGCUGGUAAGCACCUUUUGCUCAGACAGAGAAAACAAUAAUCAUUAAUUAGCGGCAGCUAGAAUCCUAUAAUCUAAUAUAUAUAUAUAUAAUUUUAUCAGCUCUGGGAAAUGAAGAGGCGAACGAUGCCGUUGAGAGUUGCGACCAAGCCUGCUCUAGCUUCUGCAACGUGCACGUUGGCGCUGCCACCGUGGUUGCUUAAGCAAAUGCAUCCAACUGGAUCGUCCUUGUGCUGAAUAAUUGGAUAUCGUAUCCACUUAAAGCUGCCUUGUGUAGUACGUCUUUGUUUGUGUCUCUCUUUAUAUUCCAAUAAGGUCGGUGAUCUUGAUGCCACACACUCAGACGUGUGUUCAUCUCCAGAUACUACUCCAUGCUACCUACCCUUUGUGUUUUGUUCAAUAACUGGGUAUCAUAUUCCGGCCAGUGUGCCAUCUGUUUUGUGUUUAUUUCCUUCUAGUUCCAAAGGGGUCAUCAUGAUGUUACCUUCUUUCGAUAUGGUGCUUUGCAUGACUACUGUUGUAUGGUACCAUCUUGUUGGCCAAUAAAUACAUCUUAUCCUAUGACCCUUUGCUAUGACCCUUUGCAAAUAAGUACAAGAUUGUUAAAUACUCGGUAUAAAUUGACUACUGUUGUGAGUUCCCUUUCAGCUUAUUGUAGGCAUACAUUAUUGCUAGCACGGUGAAGACAACCAACACGAAUGAUCAAGUAAACGUACCGGUACUUUUGUAUACCAACACCCUUGCUUAAAUGUACCGGUGUUACUCCCCAUUGGCACAUAUAUUCUUUUAUGCUAGCCGGCUUGAAAAUUAACCGAUUAAAAUAAUUAUUUCAAGAUAGAAAUAACUUAUCGGCUUCUCGAAGCAUGUGUAAUGUGAAUUCAAGGACUCGAUGGAAGUUGAAUCGCUUCAUCUAGAUUGCUUUCAGGAUUUUGGGUAACUAAAUUUAACAUUUGCACAUACAAAUGUUAAUGUACAAAUGUUAAAUCUAGUUACCCAAGCAGAAUAUGAAGAUACUCUAUAGUAUAUAUAUACUAUAUAAAUCUAGUUAACAUUUAGUCUAAAUGUUAAAUCUAGUUACCUAAAAUCCUGAAAGCAAAAUGUAUAAAUAUAUAUCUUUUAAGGAAUCCCAAAGCAAGAGUUCAGUGGCAUUCUAUAGUCCCAUGCUGCUAGUUUGAGUUGGUCGAAGCCAACUUAAAUAGGAGAGCUCUCUCACUUCUCUAAAUACGUAACUGAAGGAGAGAAGGGGGCUUGGGUUAUACAAUGCACGCACGCACGCAUAUUUGCGUUCUUUUCGCGUAACCAACCAUGUGACUUGAAACUUGCGACGUAGCGUGCUGCCAAGUCAAGU
rnacentral:lncRNA from 1 species